rnacentral:lncRNA from 1 species
AAUCAGAAGUCCAAAGAUCACCUUCAAUUCUCUGUCCAAGGUAUUGUUCAUCAGAAGCAUGUCUUGACAAGACCUCUAUAAUGGUCAAGUCAGUUAGUGUGUCAUCUUUUGGUGUGAUUGUUCUCAAAAACGCCUUUUGAUAGUUCUUAGAAAGCUCAUCAUACUCGGGGGAUCCUUUCUUAGGCAUUAAUCUUCUGCUUUUAGUUGGUCGGUUAAGAAUGUAACCACCGUACGGAUAUUGUCCAAAAUUAACAGCUGCAUGAAGUGCUGAAGCAAUCCAUAUGAGGGUAGUGCAAGAGUCAAUCAACUCUGUGCGAGUUUGCAUCUUAACCCACCAUUUAGCAUUUUUCAAGUCACCGUGACCAACCUCUACAAGUUCUUUCCAAAAUGCUUGGAGUUCAGAAUCUUGUCCAAUAUUUGCAUCUGACUUGUAGUAGAAAUUCACAUAUUCUUCAACCCAUGACUUAAUAACAGCCCAUAUCUCUAAUCCAUCAGCAGCAUAAGGGUAGUCCUCUAUCAGAAGGCGAAGGCCGUGUGGGGAACUUGGAUCCUUAACAGCCACUCCUCUAGAUAACAAAAAAGGAAGAUAUCAUUAAUAUCAAAAUAAAAACUUUGAUAUCAAUAUAUUAUUAACGGAAAGUUUAAAAUUGCGGCAAAAUAGAGUUGAUGCGGCCACAACCAUUGAUGUUUAGACAUUAAAAACCUGAAUAUCCCAUCUUAGAUUGAGGUUGCGAACAAAUUUUCAAUCCUCUUUUUAACUAUUGAAUAUAUGUCUAGGAUCUAAUGUUUUUUAAGGUUACCUUUUGAGUAGAUCAUUAGGCAAACCUUGCUCUUUAAAAUUCCAAUCCUUAUAUAAUACAGCAGACAACUCUAGAGAAUAACUUCCCAUCAAGAACGUCUUCUCAAUAACACCCUCUGCAUUGACCAAAACAUUCCUUGCAAGUGCAUUAAUGUUCAUUGUGUCACGAUAGUGCGGAAGUAAAAGCUUAUGAAUAGGAUGAACCACACUAAGAUGCCUAUUUGUUGCUAUGAUGAAUGGCUCAACAACAGCAUGAGUGUUUAACCUGUCAGACAUAUAGAUAUUAAUGUAUAACUCAUAGAUAUAUAAAGCAUGUUUGACUCUCUAUAAUCUUUUCAAUUGAAUUUAUACCAAUGGCUGAUGAGUUGGUGAUGGCAAGAGUCGUUUACAACAACGUAUGCCUUGGCAAGGAGCCAAAUAGAAGCUUCAACACCUUCACUUGCAGGCAAGUAAAUAUCACUAACAGGACCAAAGCUAUCAGCCUGAGGAUGUGGGCUACUUAGCUCAAUGGCCAACGGCUUCAAAGUUCCAUCAUUUUGUAAGAAAAGGAAGGUUCUCGUAGCAUAUGCCUUUGUAUCAGCUGCAUUUAUUUUCCUCAGAUAUGGAUAUAACGAGUCGUGGUAAUCAAGUAUGUACAAUUUGUUGGUUUGGAUAGCCUAUUAAAAAAAUAUAUAAUUCAGUCAUUGCAAUAAUUUGAAUAAAAAUGAAACAAUUUUGCAAAACAAUACCAAAAUUAUUUAUUUCGAGUAUUGAUGUUAAAUUUUGUAAUUACUUGUUCAACUGUGAUGCCACCCAUGUUUUGUUGAAGCUGUUCUUUGGUUAUUGUGCUGGUAUUAUCACCGUAGAGUUGCCUAUCUAGCUUGCUCUUUGGUGGAAAUUCCUACAUUAAAUAUAUCAAGCAAUAAUAAGGUUAACAAUUACAAAACUACGAUGAAAAAUGGAUACAAAAUUCUUAUUUUAGUUUAUGUGUUUGCAUAACAAUUAUUAAACUAUUAAGUUUACCUGAAUUCUUUUGAUGAUGUGUGGAUUUACACCAGCAAUCAUCUCUCUUGUAAAUUCUUCGUCAGUCAUCCAUCCAGAUUGAUUCACUUUUCAAAGUAAGAGAAAUAUAAAAGUUUUAUGAAAUUAAUUUCUUUCCAAAUUUUGCAUGACUAAAUAUGUGUUUCUAAUGGAUACCUUUAAUGACUUUAGGUGGUGGAAACUUUAGGGCCGAUUCACCAUCAGUUCGGAAGAGUUCCUUGAAAAAUGGUAUAGGGCUAAGUUUGCUAAGUGUACUAGUAGGUAAUUUAAUCCCACCAUCAUAAAAUGAUCGCACAUCAUCAAAGCUGUUAAAUUCUGGCUUAUUGAAUUGUAAUGUAAUUGCAGAUUGUAAUUGAGGUAUGACAUUUUGAGAUACUGAUUUGAGUAUGUAAACAAGAAAAUCUGAAGACUUCAAGUGACCAAAUGAUUCAUCUCUUGGAAGAUAAAUAUACUCGCUCCGUCUCUCACUUUUAGGAUCUGCACAAAUACAAAAAUAGCAAAAUAUGCAUUAGCAAGAGGAAUGUCUUAGAAUCAUAAACAAAUGAAAAUUUGGAUCAACAUACUUAAGAUAUAACAUACAUAAAGUGUUUAAAUAAAAUAUAAAAGCAUAUAACCUUUCUUAGCUGGUUUCCUGCCGGUUCUCCCUCUUCGAGGGUAAGGCAAGGUGUUGGAUCCUCCAAUAACGGGACGAGCCAAGCUUGCUUUCUUGUCAGGAUCACCCACAUCAUUGUAGACAUCGUAGUCAUAGAUCCUUUCCCAUUCUUUACGCUCUCCUGUUCCAUCUCCUCUUAAAGUGUUCAACUCUUCUUGUCUAUAGUAGACUAAUGGAGGUGGUGUUUCACUUGGAAGAUAUGUCUAUAUUUAUAUUUUAGUUAAUAGUGUCAAAUUUUGGAAAAUGUAAGAUAUUUAAGAUGUAAGAUAAAUUUGAUAUUUUUUGAUAAUUACCUUGUUGGCAAAGAAAAUGCGUUCAGUUUUGUACUUUCGACAAUUGUAAAUCCAUGAGUUGCAAACAAAGUUGAUGGUUCCAUGGUUAGGAAUAUCUUCAAGUGUUAAACUUACAAGAAAGAAUUCUCCUAGCAUGAAAUUCUCAAUAUAAAAUGCUCCUGGAAUUCCCAUCUCACUAUCCCAUUCAAAAUGAACUUUGUAUGCAGACUGUCCAGCUCCUAGAAUUGGUGCAGAGGUAACAAAACCUUCAAGAAACGAUCUCUUUCCCACUUUACCUUUUCCACUUUCUACAAAUAUGUCACAAGUUUGUUUUUCAAUUUCAGUACAGAUUUAUAUAAAAAAAAAUAAAAUCAGUUAUGAUAAUUCUCAAAAGAAAUAUUAUAGCAAUUCAAAAUCUAAUACUUUUUUGCAGCGUUCAAUAUCUUUUUAGCUGGAAAAAAAUCACCAUUGAACUUAAAGAUUAUAGUAUCAUAUUAGUUAUGUCUGUAAAAUUUUAAGUAAAUUUAAAUUAAUUGAUAAAUAAUGGAGGUAUGUGAAGAUUAACUAUAUUUUUAUUAAACAACAUUAAUAUUAAAUUUCGUAUACGUCUCAAUAACAUAUAGAAAAAACUUUUGUUUUUUUUCUAAUCUACUUAGGGUGUUGCAGAUCCGUAUGCGCGCCAUUUGCCUAAAAAUAAUAACAUAUAAAAUAAUUCUAAAUUUCUAUAAAUUUUUUACACAGAAGAUCUAAAUAAUAUAACACUAAAGUUUAUCUAUCUCUAAAAAAAGUCCAAGGAUAGACCAUACUAAUUUUAGUAAACAAUAAAUUUUAUAAGGAAAAAUUAACAAAUACUCUUAAAAAAUUAUUUAUAGAAAUUAUAAUAAUUAUAAAAAAUGAAGAACAUGUGUAAUAUUUUAUCAAAGUUUAGUAAAGAAAAAUAGUAAAAUCUAUCUUUGAACCACAUGGUUAGAUUUGACGUAUAGAAAUCAAUUGUGAAUUUAAAAUAUGAAAAUUUUUACUGUAUACUUGCAAAUUGAAGUAUAUCGGUAUUUUUGUAUUGAAAAAAGAAAAAGAGAUUUUAUAACAAUGAGUUAUGAGUAUACAUCCAUUUAGUGAGCAUUAUGUUUGUAGACAGUAGUGUGAGAGAUUAAGUAAUUAUAAGAAGAAAAAAAAAAAAAAAGUAAUUACCAUCAGCACUAGUAGCACUAAUCAACCUGAGAGCCACGGAAGAGCACAAGAUUGAAGCGUAGGUGUCAAUUAUAGAGCAAGUGAGAUUACCAAGAACCUUGAAUCCACCUGUGACAUUUAAACCAGCGGUGAGGGCGUUGAUAUCCAACACAUUCCUAUGCAUCAAUAUCACUGUCCCCUUCACCUUUUGGCUUCUGUGAAAUGGAUUUGUAAACAUCUUUGCAACUUCUCCAGCAAAUUUGUUGUGCACUUUCUGGCAAAUGAAAGAAAACUUUGUGGCUUGCAAGUCACUAUUCUAAUUUUGUUUACACUGCUCUCAUUAUAUACUGUAAGUCUUGCAGCCUAGGUCAACCAUCAAUGUAACUAAAGGGGGUGGUAAUUUAGUAGAUUUAGUAAUAGUAGAUAGAUAGAUAGAUUUGUUUUUCAUUUGGAGGUCUAGAGGGGGUGGUAAUUUAGAUUAAAAAAAUGUAAAAAUAUUGGAGCCCUAAAGUAAGAGUUUAGUCUAUAUAUCUUAUGUUUCGGUUCAACGAAAGAGCUUAUUGUUUAGGGUUUAGAAAAUUUUGAUAGAAUUAUACAACUAGAAGAAUUAGGUUUUAUCAAAAAAAAAAUAGUAGAAUUAGGUAAAUUUUAUCUAUCUAAGAGUUUGGUUGGAUAUAUACUUUUUAGGCAAAAUUUGUUUAACAUUUAUAUUUAUUUUAAAAAUAUGACAUGAUAUUGAUUGAUUGGAUGAAGGGUACAUACACAAUAAAACUACGUAGGUAUCAUUGUGUUCCGGGUAGAUUUAUUAGAAUAAUAUAGUGGUCAUUUGAACAUUAAUUAAUGGUGAUAGAGUUGUUGAGAAUGAAUAAACUAACGAUAGCAUAAGUAAAUAAAAAGCAAAUAGAUAAAUUGCGAGUAAAAUAAUAAUUUGAUCGAUUGUGUAUGUAUAAAUCAAAAUUUACAAUUUGUAAAAAAACAAAUCAAAAUUUACAAGUGGUAUUUAUAGACAAAAUAACAUAACAGGUAAUUCUGUUGUCCUAUAACAUCCUGACUUACAAAAUUAAUCCACAUGUUUAUUUAGAUGUGCCAUUUUUCCUAACAAAUCCACAUGUUUGUAUUCAAGAUCAAAGUUAAUGUAUUAAAAACAAAAUAUAAUUAUUAUUGUUGGUACUACGAAGGUUUAAUGUCAGUAACUUACAGUGUUAGAAACCACACUGGAAACCCAUUGUUUUGGAACAUGCUUAGAAGUUGGAACAUGAGAAAGUGUGGUCCAACUCAUAUCUAAAUAAUAUAUUAGUAUCGAACCAGAGACAUUGGAAAGGAGUAUACUUUGCCAAUAUUACCAGAUCAACUCAAAUGGUUUACUUACAUCUUAACUUAAAACUUUAAAGCAUUAAAUAUAUGAAUUCUCUUGCUUAUAAUGUUGAACUUAUUUUUUUUCCUUCAUGGAAUGUAGAACUCUUAACAAGUAAGUCUAAACCCUAUUUUCGCUCACACGACAACACAUUAUCAACCUUCCCUAUCAUCUUUCCCAAACCUCAUGUGUGUAAAGAGUAUUGUCACUAUCACACGAAAUGUUUGUUGUUUUGAAGGAGUAUUUUGCAUACAUAAUAUUGGAGAGUGUAUUUAUUACAAUUUAAAACUUAUGACAUGGUAGCUACUAGCUUAAAUGCAAUACGUGUAAGGGAAGACGAAGACCCAUAGAAGUCUACUCUUUUGUACUCUUCCAUCAUCUUAACAAAGACAUGCGCCUAUAUCUGUUUAUUUGGCCGUACACAAUAGUAAUAAAGAUAUUGUUAUAUUAUUAUUGAAAUUUAUAACUUAGGAUAAGAUAUAGGUUUGAUCAGACAGAUGCAAUAAUUUUUCUACCCUUUAAAAGCUAUAUUAUUCAAUGUGUAUAUCCACCACUAUAGUCCUUGUAUGGAAAUGCAUUUUCCCAUAGUGUGAAUGGGGAGACCUGGAGAUCAUCAUGAAGCAUCGACUCAAACACACAGCUUGCACUGUUGGAGAAAGAUGCUACUAUUAUCUCAAUUAUUGUUAGUAAUUAUUCAUAUUACGCAGAUUGAGAUCCAAUUCCUCAACUUCAUUAUCACUAAUAAACUACUUUAGUAACCAAACUAAAUAUAUAUAUGCACCAAGAUUAGGCGUGUUGCGGUGUCCGACACGCGUGCUGAGUCAUUAAUUAGUUAUUUUAAUAUAAUAUUUAGUUCCGUUUUAAUUAGAUUUAAGUUUAUUUUAUUUUAAUAUUAUUUCCUUUUAGAGCUAUUUUACUUCAGUUGCAUAUUAUUAUAUUUCAGGAAUGAAUAUUUGAUGGAUUGAGUCUUGGAGCAAAAGAAAAGGGGUUUGGAGCUGAUUCGGAACGAAAAUACGAAGAUUUGGAGACAAAAAUAUGUCUCCCCCAAGCCAGAAGCUUGGCACGACCCGUGCUCCCACUGGCACGGUCGUGCCACCUCCCAGGAUCUCCUUUUGCUGCUUUUGCUUAGAUUUUAAGCUACUCUAUUUAGUUUUGACCGAAAAGCCCGCAGUUUCUUGUGGAACAUUCUAGUGAUGUAUUGCUUAGGUUUUAAGUCGAAUGUAAACUAUAAAUAGAGUAGCUAGCUAUCACAACAAUUCAUCUUUUGCUCUCUGAAAUAAUAAGUGACAAUUGUUUCUUUGAAUAAAAGUUCUCCUUUAUUUUAUGUUCUUCUUCUUCUUCUUCUUCUUCUUCUUCUUCUUCUUCUUCUUCUUCUCUUCUAUGUUUACAAUGAACGUGAGUGAGUAGACUCUUCUGCCUUGGGAUUGUUGGGUAAGUCUAAAUGACAUAACCCUAAUCAAACCAAGCCUUGAACCCUAAUUUUAUAUAAAUUUACUUUCUAAUCUAAAUUCACCGUUUUAACAUGAAUUAACAAUUACCAAACUAUAGAAGCGAAAGUGGAGGGUUAGUAAUUGUUAAUUCAUCAUCUCAAAUAUCAAUUUAUAAAGCGAAAGUGGAGUUUUGAUAUUUGAACAAGUGAAUUUAGACAAGGAUUGCGAAACAUGAAAAUAGUCUAGCAAACCUUGAGACAUAUAAAGUUUCGAACUUCAAGGAUUCUAAUAGCAACCAACCAUGAAAAUAGGCGUGGUUGCUAGGGGAACACACUCACUGAGACUGAAAGGAGAUGUGAUAAGCUAAAGAGAAACUUGUCUUUAGAAAGUAAAUCAAAUAUAAAAUUAUGGUUUAGGGUUUGUUUGUGAAGGGCUUGUUAUUUAGAUGAACCAAUAAUCCCAAGGCGUUUUUUAUUUUUAUUAUUUUCUUUCAAUUAAAAAUCCAAACUUUUCAACUAAAACUCUUUUCUAAUCAUUGUUGAAAGUUAAGUAAAUUCAUAACUCCAUCCCCGUGAGCUUAGCUCAGUUGGUAGGGAUAUUGAAUAUUAUAUGCAGGAGCCGGGGUUCGAACCCCGGACACUCCACUUCUCCACAGUUUAAUUGUGUGAGCUCUGGCCACUAGGCUACUUGACAAAAAAAAAAAAAAUUCAUAACUCCCUGUCGGAACGAUACUUUUGUUUACUACAUCUGUAAACCGUGCACUUGUGGUUUUAUCCCAUCAAAGCGUUGGUGUUUGACAUUCUUAUGACACUUAUACGACAUAUGUUGGACCAACUAAGUCUGGUGUCCCAAAAAUUUAUUAUUUUUAUUUACUUCAACACUCCAUGGAUCGGUGUCUGACAUCUGUAUGACACUCAUAUAACGCAUGUGUCGAAAAACUCAGACAAGUAUCCGAAGUUUUUUUCUUUGCUUCGAGACACCUUAGACAUAUCUAAGACGUAUCUACAAGAUUAAAGAUGUGUGAAAACAAUGUUGAUCAAUGAAGCCGUUAAAGAAAUUAAUCUUUUUAACAAAAUUUUAAUAUUUUUUGUUAAAGAAAUACAUUGCUCAAUUUACAUGUAUAUAUUUUGAUUCUCGCUUUUUGUCAAUGUCAAGAUCCUUCUUCAUAUCAGAUUUGCCGUGUUUUAGUUUUAGUUACUUCUUAGUUAAGUUUACUUGUAUGAGUCAUAAGUUUAAUUUUUUUUUAGGGAUGACUCAUAAGUUUAUUUAGUUUGUUGAGGUAUGAGUUAUAUGUUGGUAUAUCAAGUAUGAGUAAGAGUUCUAUAUUAAAAUGUGGAUGAUGAACACGUUAUAAUUGAGAUGAUAUAUAAUUUUAAUGUCUUAAUGUUUUGGGUUAAAGUGUGUGUCAACCACACAUGUAUUGUUGAUUUGAGCUUAAUGUGAAUGAUCUUUAGACUUCCCUAAUCAGCAAAAACAUUAUGCAACGUAAUUUUUCACUCCAAUAUUCUAUGAUAAAUGCUCAUCUUUCAAAAUUGACCAAUAUUCAUUGAUUUUUUUUUGAAGGAAACCAAUAUUCAUUCAUGUUAACUGUAUAUGCCAUCAUUCACUUUAUAAAUUUCCACUCAACGACUCCGUACCUUGCCAGCCAACACCUCUUCCAUGUCAGCAACGCAACCCAUCAAUAGCAGUUACACACCUAUAGAUAAGAUCCAAUCAACCAAUGAACCAAUCCAUAACAUUUAUACAGACUUAUUAAUUAAGAUUUAAGACCAUUCCAUUAUAGCAAUAGACAUAAGUCAGCAAUUCAAAUAAAGUUUAUAACCAACAUAAGUGUAUGCUUGAUAAAUAUUUCGUCUCUAACACGUAGCGACAAAAUUAUAUAGAGAUAUAUUUCCUUCUCAAAAUGUCCCCAACUGUUUCACCUUUUUUUAGUAGUGAGUCUAGUGACCAUCCUCAAUCUACAUUCUGCAUCAAAAUAUAUAUUGUUCAUGUUUAAUUAAACUAUAUAAAUCUUAUACACUGCAAGGCCCACAUGGUACUUAAGAAGCAAUUGCCAAGUCUUUGAUACAUUAAAUGCAUGCUUGUAUUUUAAUUUUUUCCCUUAAUAGCAAAGCAAAGUUAUAAAUUAAUUGUCACCAUGCAAAGUUUGAAAGCUCUUGACAUACAAUUAUGUUGGGUUCAUGACUUUUGGUGGAACAGGAGGAGUGCAUGACUUAGCAACUGUGAAGGCGUUAGUAUAACUUUUAGGUGGCCUAGUAACAUAAAAAAUUAAUAAGAAAUAUUAAACUUUAUCAUAAGCAAACACUUUCACAAUAAUUUUUACUUUCCUAAAUAAAGGUUUGAACAACCUGUGAAUCAAUGAAUUCUAAGAUGUGAAUCGAUGCCUAUUAUUCGUUUGAAGGAACCAACCUUGAUGAGUGAGCAGGUGUGGCUGAGUGAUAAAAAAUAUCAAAUUUUAUGAUCAUAAGCAAACACACGUUCACAAUAAGUUUUACUUCUCCUUCCAAAAAAAUAAUAAUUAAUUUUUUUACUUUUUCAUAUAAAGCCUUUGUUAGAGUUGUUAUACGUAAACCAACUAAUGUGGACAAACACCCUUCUACCACUCUUAUAGGUGGCCAAUUUUAUAAUAAAAAAUUCUUAUUAUCCAUAUCAUUUGUACAAGAAAAAAAUAAAAAAUAAAAAAUAAAAAUUGUUGUUUUCUCAGUUAUUCACUCUAGUGGCUCUCUUUUUCUCCACCGCCGCUGCCCCGUCCUGGCCUCUCUCACCACUACCAUCAUAUCCUUGUCAUCGUACCUCCGCCCCACCCCCUCUGCAACACAACACUCCACCAACACCACAACUGUCGUGGCCUUCACAGUUCACACCAUCCAGAAGUCUUCCCGUUCACCGCCCUCAAAUCGCACCACCACCACCAUCAUUAUGUAAGAUCUAGCCAUUACCAUCAUAGUUGCCGCCGUUCUCACCACACUCCGUCAACAUCCUCGUCCUCGUCACUACUCAGGCGAGGGAGAAGAGAAAAAGAGAGAUAGAUAAAAUUACAAUUACAGAAGGAGAGAGAAGGAGUAGAGAGAAAAAAGACACGCAGAUAAGAUUUGAGGGGAGGAAGAGAGUUCAUAGAGGGUGAGGAAGGGAACAUGAAAUCUCAUUUUUACCCCUUGUUUUUAAAUAAAACUACAGAAUUGUCAUCCACAUCAGCAAGUGGUACAAAGUGUGUACAAAAGGGAGUGGUCCAUCUAUCAUUUUCCCUUAAAGUUAAGUACCACGUGGGCCCUACAUAGUACUAGAGUGAUGAAUGUGGUGUAAAAAGUUUGGGUGGCGGAAGAUUCUAAGGGAGGAGUGCCGCUUGAGGAGGUGCCAUGGCGGAGCUAAAAAUAAUUUUUUGAUUGGAGCAAUUCUUUUAAUGUGUGUAAAUUUAUAUUUUCUUAUUAAUUAAAUCAAGUGAUUAAACCGGUGUUUUAAAGAUAUUUUAACAUAAAUAUUAUAUAAUUUUUUAUUAUAUUACACAUAUACUUUUAAUUGAAAAAAGAAUUGUGUUUUAUUCGCACAAAAUGUUGGUGAGAGAAAAAUAAUGUUGGUGAUAGAUAUACAACUUAGUGGUUCGGUACUCUUUUAGUGGCCAACUGGUUUGAACCCCUUGAUGGUUUUUUUUAAUAAAUUUAUUAAAAAUAGGCAUAAGAAAUUAAAAAAGAAUGGCAGAUAUGAUUUGAACUUUUAACAUGAAGGCAUAGGAUCUCUCAACUUAAACGUUAGAACACACUUAUUUCUGACGCAACAUAUUAUAUAUAAUAUAACUUCAUACUAUAAUAUGUGAAUAUAUACCUAUUAAAAUGAUUUUUUUAGUGUUUGGGUAAGUGAGUGGCUCCGCCACCGAGGAGGAGGGUGAAGGUAGUGAGGAGGCGACAACGGUGGCUUCAAAGGAGGGUUGUAGAGUGUGAGCAGAGAAGGAUAGGUUUUUCCAAUAACACCGCCAUUAAUUAUAGAUAGAGGAAGGGGGUACGAUAGUUCUGGAAACACCUGGAGGAAAUGUGGAGGGAGAGUAGGUAGGAAAUAGUUGGAUGCAGUAGGGAUUUUUCGCUUACAAAGGAAUGACAAAAUUUAUUUUAAUAUAGAGGAUGAAACAAUACUUAAGAAGUCGGUAGAACUUGAAGAAGUUGAUGAGUUGAAUAAAGGAAGAAAGGAGAAAGCAAGCAGUGGUCAAUGAUUGUAUUGAUUUAUAAUGUGAGAAGCUUGGGGAAGAUCGAAAAGGAAAAUGAUUAACUAGUUGGUGCGCCAACAAAAGGUUGAUAUCUUUCGCGUGGGAGGGUUUUGUCGGGGUGUGCUUGGAGUGAGGAUUCUUUUAAAAAUGUUCUUUUGCCAUUAUAUCUAUUCCAAAUAUGAUAUAAUUGCAAAGAGGAGAUUCUGUGAGAAUCUUUUGAUGGUUACAGAUACUUUGAGAGAAGGAGCUUGGUGUUCGGUGGGUGAUUUUAAUGCGUGUGUAGUUUGAAAGAGAGAAGGGGGAUAAAUUUUGAAGCUUCUUCGGGACAACCAUUGAAAAUGAACUCUUUUUAAUAAUUUCUUGAGGGAGGUGGACAUGCUGGAUGUGACCGCUACUGGUCGUAGAUUUACUUGGUAUAAUUCAAAUGGGAGUGCGAUGAGUCAUAUUGAUAGAGCUCUAAUUAUCAAGAAAAAAUGGUCUAACAAUUAGGGUUAUGUGGCUUGGUGGGUCUUAUCGAGGGAUAUAUCAGAUCAUUACCUCUUGGUUUUUAAAGUUGGAGAUAGGGGUUGGGGUCCAAACCCAUUUUGCUUCAAUAAUUUUUGGCUGGAAGACAUGAAGUUUAAACAAGUAGUGGAGGAUGUACAAGAAAAUCAAAAUGUUAGGUUUGAUGAGAGUGGUGUUGAAAACAAAACCUAAAGCUUUGAAUAUUGAACUGAGAGCUUGGAAUAAUUAAUGAAGUGAGGUUGGGUAUGGAGAUAUAGAAGUUGGUUGUCAAAAUUGGUGGAUAAUAUUAUGGAUCUAGAUGUUAGAGGCAAAAUCUGUUCUUUGAGUCGAAGAGGUGGAGAUUAGAGAAAGAAAGUUAACGAGUUAUUAACGAGAUUAGGGUUUAAAGAUCUAAGUGAAAAUGACUUUGGGAGGGGGAUGCCAAUUGAAAGUACUUCCAUAAAUGUGUGAAAGCAAGAUCAAACCAGAACAUAAUAAAAGUUCUUAAAUCUAAUUAAGUCGAUUAAAAAAGACACUUUUUAAGUAGGACGUUCCAUCCAAUGGCACCCACGCAAAAGUAGGAUGCUGCCACAUAUUUUGUUCAACUUGCUUUUUGAAAUUCUCUACCACCUCUGUUUUCUGAGUGCAGAUCUGCUCCAGUACAAAAUUGCUCCAGUUCCCAGUUAAUGUAACUGAUGCGUGACAUGUGGCAGGGUCAGAUUUCAACGGAUCAGAUUUUAAAAACAAAAUCAGUUUUUUACUUUGACACAAAAAAAGAGCUCUGUGAGAGUAAUAGCACGCUUACGCCCUUCUCCGUCACUCCUCUCCGCCCCUCUCCCUCUUCUUCGUUAGUACGUCGUCGUCCCUCUUCUUCGUUAGUACGCCGCCGUCCCUCUUCUGCAUUUCAAUUGGAGGAAUACAGUGUUAUUCGUUGUUGUAAACAUUCUGUUGGCACAUAGUGUGAUGUUUGUUAUUGCAAAUAAAAGAUAUCGUUGUUGUUAUUGAUUGAAAGCUUGUAACAGCGUGACGGCGGCAGCGGCGGACAGUUACAGCAGCGCGGCGGCGGAGUAGGGCUGAAUAGUGGUAAAUUAAGUUUGAACGUGUUUUGUUUCGACGGAGAAGAGAAGAGAAAUCAUUUCUAUUUUUUUAAUUAAAAAUAACUUACUUUGCAAAUUUAAAAUCUGAACCAUUGAUGUUGUUUUUGCCACGUGUCGUCAAUUUGUUCAAAGUACAGGACAGUUAAUGGAUUUUAUAAACUGGAGCUGAUCUGCACUCCUGUUUUCUAGUACAGAAAAUACUUUUUAUGUUUUGUAAAAAUGACUUCUUAAGUCGGUUUCGAGGCCGACUUAAUAGUAGACGACAUAAGAAGUAUUGACUUCUUAAGAUAGAUAUGACCCAACUUAAGAGAAUGACUUCCUCAGUCGCGUAAACUCUGACCGACUUGGCAAAGUAUUAUUUUAAUAUGAAAAAAUUGCCACGGGUAAACCAUGACCCAAAAUUGUUCAAGAAAAAACCGUGGCCAAAUUUUUUUUGGAAAAAAAUUAAAUUUGUUCGACAUAAGUCGGUUUCGAGUCCGACAUAAUAGUAGCCUGAUUUGCUCGAUUUCUUCAUGAAUUACUUCAAGAACACUGCUAUGUUUCGGGAAUAAUAGAAUUACAGACUCAAAUAUAAAAAAGAUUACAAAUGUCCCGAAAUCAUAGAUUAAUCUAAUACUUCUCUACUUUAUUGGUAAAACCUACUAAAAUUGAUAGAAAGACAUGCUAAGAAUAACGUAAGAUGACCUGUCAUCACUACCGCAUUAAGUCUAAGGAAGUUGGGAUCACCUUUUGUAUGUGGUAACCUGGUUAAAUUAGCUUGGUGAUUUCAAACUAUGAACUCUGAGUACCAGUUUAGUUAAAAGAGAUCUAUGAUGUUGGAAGAAUGUUGGAAGGCUAGCUUAGAUGAAAAGAGUUGGAUGACUAUAGAUAUACGUUAUGUAUUAAGCCAUCAGUUGUACUACCUUGUCUAUUGUAUACUCGUUAGUCGGUGCACUAUUACUCAGAUAUGAAUUAUAUUUAAUGUAAUCGCCAGUUAGUACAUUUUGUAUUUAGAUACGACUUAUGGAUUGUACUCAACAAUUAGGACUUUCAUCAGAUUUAUGAGGUAGUAUAAUGUUAUGGUUCAUUACAUAGAGAAAGUUGAAUUAUUUCUUACUUUCCAAGGAUGUAAGCUUAAAGUCCAAUAUUGUUCCGUGUAGGGACGAUCUUAUACGAAGUAUGGUAAAUUUUACUUCAAAUAACCACCCAAAUUACGGAGUAGUUUUUACUUCUUUCACCUAUUAUAUUCCUUGGUGAUUAAUUAUUUUUCAUAUUUUUAUUUCAUUAAGGUUCUAGAGCAGGUUGAGCAAUUGAGCUAUCAACGGAUCCCAACUUAUUCUUGUCAGAAAGUGUCACUGUCACCACUCAACGGGUGUGAAAGGAUUGUUACCAUUCAUGGAAGCCAUGUGAGGUAGGAAAAACUAAACUGAUACCAUAUUUGAACCAUAUAUAUGAGACAACUGGUUUCUGAAAUAAGGUACAAAAAGACACAAUAGUUCUUAUUGAUUUUAAGUAAAACAUUAACAAUAAAACAACCAUAGGUAGGAGGUGAGGGAAUAGAAUUCCGUCUCGUCUGUUAUUCAAAGCAGCAACACAAUAACCAUGACCCAAUUUAGAUGGAGAUACUAUUGGGAAUGCCUCUGCAAGUCAAUCCUUCCUCACUAGAAGGAUAAAGCAAAGUAUAUGGCAUCUUCACUGGUCCAUAACGAUUCCUCAGUGUCUCAUCGUUGUUCCUUUGAGUGAGUUUUUUCUCAAUUUCAGCCAGCUUCUUUCCAAACCUCUUGAAAGCCUCUUUUGGUUGUGAAUCAGAAGUCCAAUUAUCACCUUCAAUUCUCUGUCCAAGGUAUUGUUCAUCAGAAGCAUGUCUUGACAAGACUUCUAUAACAGUCAAGUUAGUUAGGAUGUCUUUCUUCGGUGGGAUUGUUCUCAAAAACGCCUUUUGAUAGUUCUUAGAAAGCUCAGCAUACUCAGCAGAUCCUUUCUUAGGCAUUAAUCUUCUGCUUUUUGUUGGUCGGUUAAGAAUGUAACCACCGUACGGAUAUUGUCCAAAAUUAACAGCCGCAUGAAGUGCCGAAGCAAUCCAUAUGAGGAUGGUGCAAGCCUCAAUCAACUCCUUACGGGUUUGCAUCUUAAACCACCAUUUAGCAUCUUUCAAGUCACCGUGACCUACCUCUACAAGUUCUUUCCAGAAUGCUUGGAGUUCAGAAUCUUGUGCAAUAUUUGCAUCUGACUUGUAGUAGAAAUACACAUAUUCUUCAACCCAUGACUUAAUUGCUGUCCAUAUCUCUAAUCCAUCAGCAGCAUAAGGGUAAUCUUUUAUCAGAAGGCGAAGGCCGUGUGGGGAAGUUGGAUCCUCAACAGCCACUCCUCUAGGUAACAAGAAAGGAAAAAAUCAUUAAUAUCAAAAUAAAAACUUUUGAUAUCAAUAUAUUAUUAACUGAAGUUUAAAAUUGCGGCAAAAUACAGUUGAUGCAGCUACAACCACUGACAAUUCACAUGAAAUUUUUUGAUGUCUCAUCUUAGAUCGUGGUUGUGAACACUUUUUCAAUCCUCGUUUCAACUACUGAAUAUAUUUCCAGGAUCUAAUGUUUUGUAAGGUUACCUUUUAAGUAGAUCAUUAGGCAAACCUUGAUCGGUGAAAACCCAGUCUUUAUAUAUUACCGCAGACAAUUCUAAAGAAUAACUUCCCAUCAAGAACGUCUUCUCAAUAACACCCUUUGCAUUGACCAAAACAUUCCUUGCAAGUGCAUUAAUGUUCAUUGUGUCACGAUAGUGCGGAAGUAAAAGCUUAUGAAUAGGAUGAACCACACUAAGAUGCCUAUUUGUUGCUAUGAUGAAUGGCUCAACAACUGCAUGAGUAUUCAACCUGUCACACAUGUCGAUAAUAAUGAAUAACUCAGACAUUUAAACUAUGUUUGGCUCUCUAAUCUUGGGAAUAGAAUUUGUACCAGUGGCUGAUAAGUUGGUGAUAGCAUGAGUCAUUUACAAUCACAUAAUUCUUGGCAAGUAGCCAAAUAGAAGAUUCAACACCUUCACUUGCAGGCAAGUAGAUAUCACUGAUAGGAUCAAAGCGAUCACCUUUUGGAUUCGGGCUACUUAGCUCGAUGGCUAAUGGCUUAAAAGUUCCAUCAUUUUGUAAGAAAAUGAUGGUUCUAGUAGCAUAUCCCAUUGUAUGAUCAUUGACUUCAUUUAUUUUGCUCAAAUAUGGAAAUAUUGAGUCUUGGUAAUCAAGUAUGUAAAGUCUCUUGUUAUGGAUAGCCUGUUCAAAAAACAUUUGAUUUAGUCAUUACAAUUGUUUGAAUUAAAAUGAACCUUUUUCGCAAAAUACUUCCUCCGUCUCAUUUUAAUCGUCAUUUUUGCAUUUUUUUUAUCUAUCUCAAAAUAAUUUUUAUUUUAAAAUAUUAAUACAAUAUUUAUCAAUUUUUUUAACUUUAAUAUACUCUUUUUUAUUGAAUUUUACUUCAUUUAACUAUUUUACUAACUACCAUUGAUAAAGGUGUUUUAGUAAAUGACACUAUUUACAAUUGAAAUCAAUCAACUAACCGCACACGACUCAAAUACUAUAAUUAAAAUGAGACGGAAGGAGUAGAAGUAACAAAAUCAUUUAGUCAUUACUUCUUCUACAGUGACCCCAUCCAUAUUUAGCUGCAACUGUUCUUUGGUUAUUGUGCUCGUAUUAUCACCGUAGUCUUGGCUAUUUAGCUUGCUCUUUGGUGGGAACUCCUACAUUAUAUAUAACAUGUAAUACUGAGAUUAACAAUUGAAAAUAUAGUAUGUAAAAUGGACAAAAUAGAGUUUAAUUUUCUGUUUGUAUAGAAAUCGUUAAACUAUGAAGUUUACCUGAAGUCUUUUGAUAAUGUGUGGAUUCACACCAGCAAUCAUCUCUCUUGUAAAUUCUUCAUCAGUCAUCCAUCCAGACUGAUUAACUGCUCAAAAUAAGAGCAUUGCAAAUGAUCCAUGAGAUUUCUUUCCAUAUUUUGUAUGAAUAUAAAUUACUAGGACUAAAAUCGUAGUAGUUCUAAUUCCCUGGGUACCUUGAAUCACUUCAGGCCGUGGAAACGUAAGUCCAGGUACUUCCUCAUCAUAGAAGGCAUGCACAUCAUUAAAGGUAUCAAACUCUGGCUUAUAAUUGCAUUCUAUUUCUAUCUCAGAUAUGAAAUCUUGAGAUGCUGAUUUCAGUAGGUUAUCAAGAAAUUCUGAAGACUUCUUGUGAUCAAAUGAUUCAUCUCUUGGAAUGUAAACAAAGCCGUUCCGACUCUCACUUUUAGGAUCUGUUCAUGUACAAAAUAGCAAAUAUGUAUUAGCUAGAAGAAUGACUUUAGAAUCAUUUUCAACACAAAAAAUAAUGCCAGCAUUAUUAAGAAAGUAAAAGAGAGUAUUUGAGAGAAGACAUAAAGAGAAAAAUGAAGUAAAAAUUGUGUUAUUCAAUUCAGUUUGUUACAAUGGAGAUGAACUCUAUUUAUAAGCUAAUUUCUAACAUAGCAUCUCUAACAAACUUAACAGCUGUACAAGCUUAUGUGGCAAGUUAGUUAGAGUUAGAAGUGGUUGCUUGCUCCUCAAGUAAUCUUCCUUCUUCUUCCAUUCUUAACAAUCAUAACAUACACUAUACUUUUAUAAAUAUCAAGGCGACAUUAAUUAAGUCUUAUUGAAAUACACCAGGGAUCACUUUCGUUUGUGAAGUAAUACCUUAAAAAAUAAUAUACCCAAGUGUUUAAAAAGAGUAUAAAAGUUUAUAACCUUUCUUAGCUGGUUCCCUGCCGGUUCUUCCCCUUCGAGGGUAAGGGAAAUUGCUCGAUCCCCCAAGAAUUUGACGCGCCAAUUGAGGUUUCGAGUCAGGCUCACCUAAAUCAUUGUAGACAUCGUAAUCAUAUAUUCUUUCCCAUUCCUUGCGCUCUCCUGUUCCAUCUCCUCUUAAAGUCUUCAAUUCUUCUUGUCUAUAGUACACUAAUGGAGCUGGUGUUUCACUUGGAAGGUAUGUCUAUAUUUUAAAUCAUAUGAAGGUGUCAGAUUUUGGGAACUAUAGUUUAUAUUUAACAUGCAAGAUAAAUAUGGUAUAUUCAUUACCUUGUUGGCAAAGAAGAUGCGUUCAGUUUUGUAGUUUUGAGCAUUGUAAAUCCAUGAGUUGCAAACAAAGUUGAUGGUUCCAUGGUUGGGAACAUCUUCAAGGGUCAAACUUACAAGAAAGAAUUCUCUUUGCUUGCGAUUCUUAAUAUAAAAUGCUCCUGGAAUUCCCAUGUCACUAUCCCAUUUAAAAUGAACAUCAAAUUCAGAUUGCCCUGCUACAUUCAAAGACGUUUCUUUUCCGACUUUACCUUUUCCACUUUCUACAAAUAAAAUAUGUCACAAUUUUGUUUUUCAAUUUCAGUAAAGGUUUAUAAAAAAAAAAAAUCAGUUAUGAUAAUUCUCAAAUGAAAAAUUAUAGCUAUUAAAAAUCUAAUUCUUUUUAUAAAAAAUUAACAAAUACUUGUAAGACAAUUUUUUAAAGAAAUUAUAAUAAUAAAAAAUGAAGAACAUGUGUAAUAUUUUAUCAAAAUUUUGUAAAAAAAAUAGUAAAAUCUAUCUUUGAAACACAUGUUUAUAUUUGACGUUCUCUAAACAUAGAAACCAAUUGUGAGUUUAAAAUAUGAGAACUUUUACUGUAUACUUGCAAAUUAUGUUUGUAGACAGUAGUGUGAGAGACUAAGUAAUUAUAAGCAAAAAAAAAUAAGUAAUUACCAUCAGCACUAGUAGAACUAAUCAACCUGAGAUCCACGGAACUGGCCAUAAUAUAGGUGUCAAUUAUAUAGCUAAUGAUACCAUGAACAAGAUUGAUAACACCUUUGAUUAAACCAGCGGGACUUGUAGCUGAAGUGAGGGAGUCUAUAUCAAACACAUUCUUUUGCAUCAAUAUCACUGUCCCCUUCACCAUUUGGCUUCUGUGAAAUGGAUUUGGAAACAUCUUUGCAACUUUGUGCACUUUCUGCUUUUCUGACAAAUGAAAGAAAACCUAGUGGCUUGCAAGUUUCUAUUCUAAUUUUGUUUACACUCUCACUCUUACUAUAUAUAUAUAUAUAUAUAUAUAUAUAUAUAGUAAGUCUUGCAAAUCAUGGGGGCUGCAUCCAGCACGUCAACGACCUAGGUCAAUACAGCAAGGUAAUUAAAAUCAAACCAGUCGGUUGAAACGGUACCUUUGAGUUUGGUUGGAUAUUGCUUUUCCUCUAGUUAAUAAUACUAGUUUGGUUCCUCUAGUUAACAUCUGUACCAAAAAAAAAAAUAUUUGUUUAACAUUUAAAUUAUUUUAAAAUAAAUUAAUAUAAAAAUAUUACAUGACAUUGAUUGAUUGGAUGAUGAGUAUAUAUCUAUUAAAAAUUGUAUAGGUGAUAGAGUGUUGAGUAGUUGAGAAUUAAUGAAGUAACGAUAUCAUAAGUAUAAAAGGCAAAAGGAUAAAAAUUGCGAGUAAAAUAAUAGUUUGGUUUAUUGUGUGUCAAUCAAAAUUUACACGUGAACUUAUAGAUAAGGUGACAUAACAUGUAAUUCUAUGUCAUGUUAAAAUUGAGAUUUUGCUUUAGAUCGAAAGAGAUCAGCAAAAUCGACAAUCGUUAAAUCGCAAUUAAAAUUGAUGGAUUUUAUCAAAAAUAUAAUAUUAAAUAUAUUUUAUAAAUGGUAUAUAGUGAUAAAUGACUUAGAUUAUAAUAAAUUGUAAGACCGCAAUCAAAAUCGUUGAAUUUUUCUUAUUUUAGAAUUAUACUAUGGGUUUGAGUCGUUAAAGAUGAAAAAAGUCACAAAAUCUUAAAUUUUAAGAUUUAAGUCGGUAUUUUAACAAGUCUUAACAUCAUGGCUUGCAAAUUCAACAUUGAUUGUUGUUAGAGUAAAUUACACUCCCCUCCCCUCAAAGAUGCUUGAAUUACAUUCCCCUCCCCUCUUAAGUUAAAAUAUACAAUCCCCUCCCCUCUUAUUCAAAACAUAUUAGAGAAAAUUUCACUCCCCUCCCCUAAGAGAAGCUUGAAUUACAUCCCCCUCCCCUCUUAUGUUAAAAUCUACACUUUACCCCCUCAAUAUUCUUUUUUAUUAUUUCUAAUAAUCUAGCAAAAAAUAAUAAUUUAACACACUUAAAAAAAUAGUAUUGCGAGUCUGUUUUAAUAUAAUAAAAAGUUGAAUACAUAUUUUUCGCUAUUUUUUAUUCACAAUUUCAUUAACAUGUAGUUUUAAACCCUAUUAUAAAAUAUUAAACAACCCAAAACAAAAUUAAAAUAUGUGAAAAAUUACUAAAAUCAUUAAGGCAUGAUUAUUUAGAAGUUAAUUUUAUACUCAGAUUUAUAAAAUCAAUAGCAAUAUAUUUAAAUUUAAUUAUCAUUGACAUUUAAACUAUAAAGAAAUGAAUUAAUUUUUCUUAAAUGGUGAUUCAAAAUUAAUAUAUAUUAUAAGAAUAUUUAAUUAUGUUCAAAUAGAUUAAAGUGUAGUGCAUAUUUAAUUAUUAAGGGAAUGGUUUGUAAUUCAAGCAUCUUAUAAGGGAGGGGAGUAUAAAUUUUAACAUUAGAAAAAAAUAUUGAGGGAGUAAAAUGUAUAUUUUAACUUAAGAGGGGAGGGGAGUGUAAUUCAAGCAUCUUUGAGGGGAGGGGAGUGUAAUUUUUUAUUGUUUUGUAUUGAUCCACAUGUUUAUUUAGAUGUAUCAUUUUUCCUAACAAAUCCAAAUGUUUAUAUUCAAGAUCAAAGCUAAUGUAUUAAAAACAAAAAAUAUCAAUUAUUGCUGGUCCUACCACGGUUUAAUGUCAAUAACUUAGUUUAGAAAUCACACUUGAAACCCAUUCAAUGUUAUCCACCACUAUAGUCCUUGUAUGAAAAUGCAUUUUCACAUCUACAUUUUCCCAUGGUAUGAAUGGGGAGACUUGGAGAUCAUCAUCAAGCAUUGACUCAAACACAAGGCUUGCACUGUUGGAGAAAAAUGCUAUUAUUAUCCUAAAUUAUUGUUAGUAAUUAUUCAUAUUACGCAGAUUGAUAUCCAAUCCCUCAACUUCAUUCACACACACACACAUAUAUAUAUAUAUGCACCAUGAAGUACACACCUCUCUAAGUGUGUCACGGUGUCCGACACCAGUGCCGGAGCCAGAAAAAAAUGUUUGGGUGGGCCGCUAAAAUAAACUAUAAACAAUAAUAUGUAAACAUAAAAUUAAAGUACUAAUAAGCAUUAAGCUUGAAGUUGAAAUUGCAAAGUUUGACUAAAAAGCUCGGGUGAAUGCUUUAAAAAAACAAAUUACAUAUUACUAAUGCUAUAAAUUAUGAUUUUUUUAUUUAUUUUAUAAUACAACUCUUAAUUGGAGGAAUUUUUUACAAAACAAUAUAAAAGAGAUUUGAAACCACCAAAAAUUAAAAGGUCUGUAAACCUCCGUUAACUAGCCAAGUAUAAGCAUAAAAAAAAAAAUCACAUAUGUCACUUUUGGAACCACCGAAAAUCUAAACGGUUGAAAAAUUGUUUAAAAUCUCGCAAAGCUGACUUAUGAUCGUCGAUUUUUUACUUUUUCCGGGUGGGCUGUGGCCUACCCCGGCCCUUAAAGGGCUCCGCCUCUAUCCGACACACGUCGAUAUUUGACAUUCAUAUGACACUCAUAUACAACACAUGUUGAACCAACUCAGUCUAGUGUCCCAAAAAUUAAUCAUUAUUUUAUUUUCUUCGACACACCUUGAACAUAUUUCUAAGGGUAUCUACAAGAUUAAAGAUGUGUGAAAUCAAUAUUGAUCAAUGAGGUGGUUAAAGAAAUUAAUAUUUUUAACAAAAUUUUAAUAUUUUUUGUUAAAGAAAUACAUUGCUCAAUUUACAUGUAUAUAUUUUGAUUCUCGCUUUAGCUAUUUUAUAAAUAAUACUAAUAUAUGAUUUGAUUAUAAGAAAUUAAUAAAUAUAUAUGUUGCGAUGCCAAAGUCUUAUGUUUUUUAAUUUUUACAUUGACGAUAUUAAUAUAUCCGUGUCAAUGUCAUGUGUCAAGUGUUCAUGUCGGAAUACAUGUCAUAAAGAGUGUGUGUAUAUAUAAUUCAAGAUCUUUAUUCAUAUAAGAUUUGCCGCGUUGUAGUUUUAGUUACUUCUUAGUUAAGUUUACUUGUUUGACUCAUAAGUUUAUUAUUAGUUGUUGAGGUAUGAAUUAUAUGUUAGUAUAUCAACUGUGAGUAAGAGUUCCAUAUUAAAAAGUGUAUGAUGAACGUAUUAUAAUUGAGAUGAUCUCUAAUUUUAAUGUCUUCAAAUUUUGGGUUAAAGUAUGUUGUCAACCACACAUGUAUCGAAAAUUUGCACUCCAAUUCUAUGAUAAAUGCUCAUCUUUCAUAAUCGACCAAUAUUCAUUCAUGUUAACUGUAUAUGUCAUCAUUCACAUUAUAAAUUUUCACUCAACUACUCCUUAGCUUGCCAGCGAACAUCUCUUCCAUGUCAGAAACCCAUCAAUAGCAGUUACACACCUAUAGAUAAGAUCCAUUAACCAAUAUCCAUGACAUUCAUACAUACUUAGUAAUUAAGAUUUAAGACCAUUGCAUUAUAGCAAUAGACAUAAGUCAGCAAUUCAAAUAAAGGUUAUAACCACAUUAUUGUACGUAAGUAACAUAACUAAGUGCAUGCUUGAUAUGCAGUGAAAUUGAAAGCAGACAAGAAAAUGCAGCAAUGAUAGGUUGACACUCUUAGGGUGUGUUUGGUUGUGGAGAGAGAGAAAGUGAUAAGAGAGAAGUAGGUGAGAGAGUUUGAGAAGAGAGAAAGAUGUGAGAAAUAAAGAUAGUGUUUGGUAUAAAAGAAAGAGAUAAGAAAUUGAGAAGAGAGAAGUGUUGAUUAUUUUUAAAAGUACAAAAAUACCCCUUAAAAUAAAAAUCUUUUCCUAAAACUACUCUAUUUUAUAUUUAAUUAAAUUUAUGAAUUGAUUAGUUUAAUUAGUUAUCUGGGUUAUUUUACUAAUAAUAAUAACAAGGUAAGUUAAUUAAUUUAAUUAUUAUUUAAAUAAGCCUAUUGUGAAAAAGAAAGAAAGAAUCACGUGACAACAUUGCAUAAAAGACAAAAAAAAUGUGUUGUUCUCUUAAAUUAAAGGGCAUAAAAGACAAAAUUAAAGCAACAAAAGAGUAACUUCUCUUCCGUUUCUUCGCUAAUUAGGGGAGAACAAAAAAUGCAUGGGACCCACCAAUUUUGUCCCUCUUCUCUCUUUCUCACCUUUGUCAAACUAGAGAAAUGCCACACUUCUCUCCUCUUUCUCUCCUUAGUCUCUCUCUUCUACAUUUCUCCACUACUAAAGAGAGUUUUAAUGUAUACACUCUUUUGCAUUACUUUAAAAAAAUUAAAGUUAACCAAAUAUAUAGUUUAUGUGACCACGUUUUUUUAGUUACGUGGCCACUAUUUUUAUGACAUACAUGCUCAUAAUAUAUUACUCAUGUUUAAUUAAACUAAAUAGAUCUUUUUUGGGACUAAAUAGAUCUUAUAUCUUAUAUCAUAAGCAAACACUUGGAUUUUUCCACUGUAGGGCCCACAUGGUACUUAAGCAAUUGCCAAGUCAAAAUAUAUAUGUUUACUUAAACUAAAUAAAUCUUAUCUCUUACCACUAUCGGGCCCACAUGGUACUUAACGCAAUUGCCAAGUCUUUGAUGCAUCCCCUCAAAAACAAUCUUGAUGCAUUAAAUGGAUGCUUGUAUUUUUUCCUUUUAUAGAAAAACAAAGUCUUAAAUUAAUUGGCACCACGCAGAAAGUUUGGAAAGCUCUUGACACACAAUCAUUUUGGGUUCUUGACGUUUGGUAGAAUAGGAGUGCAUGACAUAGCAACUGUGAAAUCAUUGGUAUAACUUUUAGGUGGCCAGAUAAUAUAAAAAACUAAACUUGAUCAUAAGCAAACACUUUCACAAUAAUUUUUACUUCCAUAAAAAAAGGUUUGAACAGCCUUUGAAUCAAUGACUUCUAAGAUGUAAAUCGAUGCCUAUUAUUCGUUGAACUUUGAAGGAACCAACGGGUAGCACUUGGAUGACAUAGAGUUGGGUGACAUUGACCAAUCACAAUGUCAUAAUGCUUGUGUUUCUCUCUCUUUCACAAGUAUUGUGACAUUAUAAUUGACUAAUGUCACUAAUGUCAUCCAACUCUAUAUCACCCAAAUACUAUCCUGAAACCAACCUUGUGAGUGAAGCUGAGUGAAAAAAAUAUUAAACUUUAUGAUAAGCAAACACACGUUCAAAAUAUAUUUUUUACCUCUCCUUCCAAUUUAUUUACUUUUUUUUACUUUAUCAUAUGGAGCUUUUGUUAAGUACAAGGUGGGUCCUAUAUAUUAUUCGAGUGAUGGGAGUGGUGUAAAAUUGGUCUUCUAUCAACUAGAUCACUCCCAUACAAACUGACGAAAAUAUCUCUAACGUAACUUAAAUCAAUCUGAAAGGGAGCGUGAGUUAACUCACACUGGGCUUGCGUUCAGGACCAGAACAUCAUAAACAUCUUUUUCAAUAAUUUUCUUCAUUCCUUCAUUCAUACAUACAUCCAUUUCUGUCAAAAAUACAUGUUUUCAUCAUUCAUUUAAUGAUUCAUUCAUUCACUCAUAAUUUAAAUAAAAAAAAUAAACGAAAAUUAACAAAAAUGUCAUAAAAAAACGCAAACGCGCAAAUGUAAAUAUAUAUUGCAUCCAUAUCUACCAAAGUGUAAAAAAUACAUCUAAAUAUACACAAAUGUUAGGAAAACACUAUAUAUAAAAAAAAAAUCUACUCCUAUGGACUAUGGCUCCUAGUCCUCCGCGGAACCGGCUCCUCCUGAAGCAUGCGAUACUCCGACCAGAUUCCCUCCAUAAUUUCAUCAUUAAAAAUGCUAAAAACAAACAUAUUUUCAUGUGUUAAAUAUGUCUUUAGUCCUUACAUUUUGCGCCCCUUUGAAGAAUAGUUCCUACAUUUCAUUAAAUGUUUUUAAAAUCCUCACAUUUUCUCUCUGUUAUCAAAAUUAGUCCUUGCUGUUAAUUCUCCAACGGAAUGCUGAUGUGGCAGUUAGUGGGUCCCAAUUAUUUUAAGGUUAAAUAUGUUUUUUGUCUGUACAUUUUGCGUGACUUUGAAAAUUAGUUUUUACAUUUCAAUAAAUGUUUUUAAAAUCCCUAAAAUAAUAAGGACUAUUCUUCAAAGUCACGCAAAAUGUAGGGACCAAAAACAUAAUUAACCUUAAAAUAAUUGGGACCCAGUAACUACCACAUCAACAUUCUAUUAGAGAAUCAACAACAAGGACUAAUUUUGAUAACGGAGAUAAAAUGUGAGGAUUUUAAAAACAUUUAAUGAAAUGUAAGGACUAUUCUUCAAAGUCACGCAAAAUGUAGGGACGAAAAACAUAAUUAUCCCUAAAAUAAUUGGGACCCAUUAACUGCCACAUCAGCAUUCCGUUAGAGAAUUAACAAUAGGGACUAAUUUUGAUAACGGAAAUAAAAUGUGAGGAUUUUAAAAACAUUUAAUGAAAUGUAAGGACUAUUCUUCAAAGGGAAGCAAAAUGUAAGCACUAAAAACACAUUUAACCCUAUUUUGAUUGAGACAUUUUAUCAAACACCUAGAGUUCAACAUAAUUUCUAACAAUUCCUAACUCUAACCUAACUCUAACGUACCAUAUUUCAAUCAAACCUACUCUAAUCAACUUCUAAAAAACAAUUUAUAACUUAAUUUAUCAUUAACAAUAAAAAUAUCAAACAUGCAAAUCAACUCUAAAACUUAAAAUUUCACAAUUUCAUCCAAAAAAAAAAAAACUAACAUUUAAACCCAAAAAACCCAAUGCAAAAGGUUAGAUAGCACUUGUGAUGGAAGUAGAAUUUGAUAUUGAUUUGAUUGAGUUCGGUGAAAAUCGCACAAAGUGGGAGAAAUUUCAUAAAAAAUGAGUUUGAAACACAAUGGUUAUAUUUUUGUCUGUUGUCGUUCUAUAAUAACACGCAAUGUGAGUUAAGUCACGCUGGGUUACAACGUAUGUGAGUUAAUUCAUGUUGAAUGUACCGGGCGUGACUUAUGUCACGAACGUGGGGGUACUUUCGUCCAUUCAGUUGGGAGCGAGUAUUUAUUGAUGGGAGAAGAGCAAUUUUCUAAAAACUUUGGGUGUGGUGGAAGAUUCUAAGUGAGGGUUGUAUGUUCUGUUAUGUUAAAAUAACGGAUAACUGAUAAGUUUGCUGAUAGCUGAUAGUUUAUAGCUGAUAGAUGUUGGUUGAUGGCUGAUAACUUAUAGUUUAUAGUUAAUGACUAUUGACUGAUGUUGAUAAGCUAGUUAAAGUGUGCUAAAAUUAACGGUUCAAUUAACUGAUAAAUAUAAAUUGACAUAAAAUGAAUUUUUUUUAUUCAUAAUACUUUUUUGAGAGGACCAAAGCCCAAUUUAAUUGAAAAAUUUAAUAAUUAGAAUUUAUAAAAAAAAAAAUCUGAAAAUAAAAUGUUUACUAGACUUUCCACCCGUGCUGCCGCACGGGUCAUAUACAUUGUAGAUAUAGUAGACAAAAACAAAUCUCAAUGCAUAUCAAAGAGAAUGAAAUAUGUGGUCCCAAAUAUAUGCAGAUGUUGGAAUUCGAACCUCAGACACCACGCUUAUUCACCAAAAAAAUAUUAAUUUUUAUCAAUCGUGUGUUACUUCAUUCCUUUGUUAAAAUUAUAUGUCAAUAUUAUAUUAUUGGUAUGUUACUUCAUAUUUUUCUUUUUUUUUUUGAAAAAAUGUUACUUCAUUCUUUUGUAAAAAUUAUAUGUUAAUGUUAUAUUAUGUACCUAAAAAUAGUUCAUUCUUAACCUCAACAUGUAAAAUGUUUUAUUUAAAUAAUUUUCCUUUUAUCGAAUAUUUGGCCUUUACCGUAAAUGAUACCCUUUAACUGUUUGUUGAAAUGUUUCUUCCACCUGUUUAUAUAGAUUGCAAAAUUCAGGUGCAUUUUGUGGUAAAUAUUUAACAAAGAGAGUUCAAUUCUAAUUUGGAUGAAAAGUGUAAUAUUAACAAAAAAAAAUGUUGCUAUAAUCUUUCAAAACCCUUUUAUUCCAAUAGGGCGAUUUGUUUUGUUGAAGAAAUAGGGCGAUUUGUGUUUUGAAGAAAUAGGGGAAAUAAAGCGAUGCCGAUUUGCUUUGUUCAUGAAAAUAGGAGAUUAGGUGUGAGCAUUAGCGUUGUUCAUGAAAAUAGAAGAUUAGGUGUGAGCAUUAGGGUUAAAACGGUAAAAUUAUGCAACAGGGUUUAGGUUAAAAUUAGGGCUCAUGAAAAUAUGAGAUUAGGUGUGAGCAUUAGGGUUGUUCAUGAAAAUAUAAGAUUAGGUGUGAGCAUUAGGGUUAAAACGGUAAAAUUAUGCAACAGGGUUUAGGUUAAAAUUAGGGCGCAUGAAAAUAUGAGAUUAGGUGUGAGCAUUAGGGUUGUUCAUGAAAAUAUAAGAUUAGGUGUGAGCAUUAGGGUUAAAACGGUAAAAUUAUGAAAUAUGAUUUAGGUUAAAAUUAGGGCUUACGGGUUACCUUUAAUAUAUAAGAAGAUUAGGUGAGAGCAAUAGGAUUGUUCAUGAAAAUAGGAGAUUAGGUGUGAACAUUAGAGUUAAAACAGUAAAAUUAUGCAAUAGAGUUUAGGUUAAAAUUAGGGCUUACUUGUUAACUUUAAUAUAUAACUUUAAUAUAUAAGAAGAUAAGCCCUUAACUUUGCCAAAUCCCCAAAUUGAUUCAACCAAAUUCUUCCUCCCCAAAUUGAAUCAUCAUGCAUCAUUCCUUCAUUAUAUGUCAAUUAACCGGUUGGUAUGAAGUAGAAAAUCGAGCGAUGUUGCAUUAUUUCAUUUACCGAUACAUGCUUAAGCAAAGACCAAGAAAAGAGAACAUGGCAAUAGAGAUGGAAUGGUUCAUUACCUUUUUAGAUUGAAGAAUGGAUUGGGGAGUUACGAUUUUUUUAAAGAGAAAACUAGUUACAAACCCGUGCUUCGCACGGGUUCAAUAACGUUUUUGAUAAAAAAAAAUCGAAAGAAGAUAUGUUAAAACGACGGAACAUUAUGAUUCAUCAUAAAAUAUGUAUGGACUGGUUCCAAAGCAUUAUAAAGAUCUGCUGUAGAAAAAGGGCAUGUUCUAUUUUGUUCAAAAGAUUAUGAAAACAACAUUAUAAUUAACAUGAUACUAAUUUGAACCAAUGAAGAAACCAACAAUGUGCAGAUUAACGUUACAUAAUAGUUAGGUUUAUAAAAGAGACUCCAAGUGUCAAAGACUAACUAAAAAGAGAUUUUUGCCAAUAUUUACUUCAGACAAAAUGAAAAGAACAAAUGACAUCCCAAAGUCAAAAUAGUUUACGAUUACAGACCAAAGCGAUACGUCAAAAUAGUAGAAGUUCAAAUAGUUCAGCAGCAAAUAUCUACUUUAGAACAACUCGAACGUGCAAGUUCUUCGGUGACUUUUCGAGACCAAAUAUGAGCUUACCACCUUCUAUCAUCACACGUUCUCUGCAGAAAUUGAUCCAUAGCCCACCCAAGUAUUUUUCAUAGCUUGCUCUUUCGGCGGUAAUGAGGCGACACUUAUACUUUCUCUGUAUGCGAAUAUAGUUACAUAUAAUUUAUAAAAUAAAGGUAGCUUAACUGAUUUAAGCUAAAGAAAAUGUAUCAUGACUUCUAAUUUAUCUUCCUAUAAAGUCUAGAUAAAUACAUGUAUGUGCAUUAUAUGAACCCCGUUGACCAAUUAACAUUGUUGAAACAAAUGGAAAUUAAGCAUCACUCCCGCAUGUGCAUCUAUAGCUAGCACCAUUUGACAUUGAUGUCUUCGAACAUUUGGUGCAACUCUUAUAAUACCAUCCAAACUGGUUAGGAUUGAAUUUAGUUGUUUUCCAAAUAGUGAUGAAGUAUGUAUCCUAACCCAAAUUAUGCACAUGAAAUAAAGAAUAAUGCAAUAUGUAUUUUUAACUUGUGCAUCAAAAAACUCAAAGCAUGUUCGUGCAUAAAAAAAGCAGACCAUGACUAAGUUUAUAAAUUCAGUAAUUGGCCUAACCUGAGGCAGAUUGAAAAAAUCGUUGUACAAAGUACGUUGAGAAGAAGCCGAACUCUAACUUAAGUUAUGACUGAUACUUUGACUCUGAGCUUGAGAAGUGUUAAGGUCACGACAACAAUUCAAGAAACAUGGUCAAAAAACAAUCAAAUCAAAUUGUGAAAUAAUAAGUUACUCUAAUACUAUAUUUUGAAAUCAUAAUGCAAACUUACUAAGUCUUAAACUUCUCAACAACCGGAUAAUGUAGGUUGAUGAGCAGCCUCGAACCUGACCAAUUGUUACAUAUAUUUGGGUUGCCAAUGACUACAAAAUGGAAGAACUCAAGGUAAAUAGAUGGUAAAUGAUCAAGCUACAGAGUAUUUUUCCCAUAGUGUUACAUCAACUAUAUUCCCACUGCAUAAGGAAAGACAUCUUUCAGGUCAUUAUCAAACUUAUACAAAAUUCUAUCAUCUGACGUUGACAAAUUAGAAAAUAAUACCUUUUAUCUUUCAACACAAUGUUCGUACACGGUUUCUUUCUAGUCCCAAUUGGUGUUGUCUUGACAAUCUCAUGAAGAAGCCCGAUGAUUUCUUAAAAAAAAAUUACAUCUAUAAUAAUAUUAUAAUCGGAGAAAACAAAGAAAUAAAUUAAAGCACAUAACUAUAUCAUAUAAAAUGUCAGAUUUGAAUUUUCCAUCUUGAAUUUCCUUAAAUGACUUAAAACGAAAUUCAUGAGUAAGAACGUUAGUUAACUUGUCAUACUUCUGCACCUUUGUAUCAGAACCAAAAACAACCCUAAAGAGAUUAAAUACAAUGUCCUUAUCAAACACAUGACAAUUAUACAAAGUAUAAGUCUUGUUUUCCUCGAUCAAAGCCUUUCAAUGCUCCAAUUCUCUAUACCGAGUUAUUACAUGAACUCGAUCACCCUAAAUUCGAGAAAGAAACCAAAAAAUGUAAAUAAAUCAAAAUGUACACUAAUAAGUAACAUUGAUAAAUCAUAAAGGAAAUUACAACAAAUCUUAACUAACUCAUCUAAUCUUUGCAUCACAAAUAAUGAGCUUCAUAUGUUGAUUCUCAUUACUACCAUUUACAAUCCAAGAAUCCAGCACUCCAAAUCCUAUUUUCCAAAUGUCCAAAUCAUUUUUUAGAUCCUUAAUGUAGUCAUAAUCCCUUGACAUCGAAAGUCCUAUAUAAAGAUACAAUAAUACAUCAUUUAAUUUUAUUCCCUUUGUUCAUUCUGAUAUCGAAAGAAGCUAACAUAUCCUAUGUGAUCAAUUUUUGUAUCAUCAAAUCAACCUGAUCUUAAAUGCACAAAUUUCUGAAUCAUCAACUUUUUGGACGUCAAUGAUAUGACCAAAACAAAUUUCACCAAUCAACUUUUGUACGGCUCAAUCAUAUAGGAAAGAAUAAACCAAAUAUGAAAAUUGUUAUGGCUUUAUGAUUACUCACAAAAACUAAAAUAACCCACAUACAUCAAUUUUUUUUCAACCACAGUACCAGAAGCUAAAAUAACAAUUGUGUCAAAACCUUAUCAUGAGCUAAAAUUCAAUCAUCAUGAUUUAUCAAUGUUACUUAUUAGUGUACAUUUUGGUGUCUUUCAAAAAGAUAAGAAUUUAUAUUAUAUGAUAUUAUAUUUGUUACAUUGUUGGUGCCAUGGAAACAUAUAUGUUUAGUUUUUUCGAAUAAGAAGAAGAUAUGCAUAGUUUGUUAUAAUAUAAGGGUGCAAAAUAUAUAUAUAAGUAUAAUUUUUCUAGGCAUCUAGACCUUUUUUGAAGAUAAGAAUAAAAAUAAUCAUACGCAUUAUGCAACGUCAAAAAAAAUUAUACGCAGUAGCGUAACAAAAAAACAGACACAUAUAAAGUAUUACUCUAAGCGCUAAUAUGUGUGUUCGUAUAUAUUUGCGAGGUUGAAGAAAGAAAAUAAAAAUAUUUGGUAUCAUUAAAUGACAGCGUGAAUAAAAAUAUUUGUAAGGUUGUGAUGAUUAAACAAUAUUGAAUUUAAAUGUAUAAGUGAUAAAAAGAUAAUAAAAUUCCUUUGAAAAAAAAGGUAAUAAAAUUAAAUGGGACCUCCUUAAAAAAAAUUAAAUGGAACGAUUCCAAAAAAAAUUAAAUGGAAGAAAAAAUCAUAUUGAAAUAUAAUAUUAAAAAAUAAAAGAAAAGGUUCCCAGUGUGAGUUGAAAAGAUGUGCUUUUGAAAUAAAUUGUCGAGAAGUAGUUUUUUAAAGUAACAUUCAACAACUUUUGGCCAAAGCUCAUUCCAUUCAAUUUUAUGCAUUAAAAAAAAAUUACUUUUUGUAGUAAGUACUUAAUUGAUAUUGUGUUUGUGUUUGACCUAACUUCUCCUUAAAAAUGUAGAAAAGUUGGAAAAAAAGCCGGGUCAAACGAUACCUUAUUCUCCUACAACGGCAAUGUAGAAGCAACUUAAUUUUGGACAAAAAAUUGAAAAAUAGUUAAAAACAUAAAAAUUGGAAAUAAAAUAUUUGGUAUCAUUUAAUGACAGCGUGAAUAAAAAUAUUUGUGGAGUUGUGAUGAUUAAACAAUAUUGAAAUUAAAUAUAUAUGCGAUAAAAAGAUAAUAAAAUUAAAUGGAACAUUCUUAAAAAAUUAAAUGGAACGGUUCAAAAAAAAAAGUUAAAUGGAAGGAAAAAAACAUAUUGAAAUAUAAUAUUAAACAAUAAAAGAAAAGGUUCCCAGCGUGAGUUAAAAAGAGGUGCUUGUGAAAUAAAUUGUCGAGAAGUAGUUUUUUUAAAGUAACAUUGAACAAAUUUUGGCCAAAGCUCAUUCCAUUCAAUUUUAUGCAUUCAAAAAAAUACAUUUUUUUAGUAAGUAAAUAGCGUGAGUUAAAAAGAGGUGCUUGUGAAAUAAAUUAUCGAGAAGUAGUUUUUAAAGUAACAUUCAAUAAUUUUUGGCCAAAGCUCAUUCCAUUCAAUUUUAUAUUCAAAAAAAUUUCUUUUUUUUAGUAAGUAAUUAAUUGAUACUAUGUUUGACCUAACUUCUCCUUAAAAAUGUAGAAAAGUUGAAAAAAUAAAAACCGGGUCAAGCGAUACCUUAAUCUUCUACAACGACAAUGUAGAAGCAACUGAAUUUGGGAUAAAAAAUUAAAAAAUAGUUAAAGUUAUCAAAAAUAUAAAAAUUAUAAAAUAAUUAAAAAAAUUGUGAGGGGCAAAAUGGGAAAUGCACCCAUAUAAUGGUGAGGUGGCAACAACACAAUUCCACCAAUUAGAAAAUUACAAAAAUACCCCUCCUAGGGGCAAAAUGGGAAAUUUAUAGAGCAUCAACUUUAAUAGUAGUAAGUAUAUAGAUAAGAAGAUGAAUGUGCAUCAUCAUCUUAGAAUGACAAAACAAUUAUUCUUUUUCUUUUUAUGGAGGAACGAUGGAUGCUUCAAUUUGGGGAGGAAGAAGGAGGAAGGAUUUUGUGUGAAUCAAUUUGGGGAUUUUGCAAAGGUAGGGUUCUUCAAUUAUAAACAUUUUAUUUUCAGAUUUUUUUUUUUUUAUAAAUUCUAAUUAUUAAAAUUUUUAAUUUAAUUUUACUAUUAAUGAUGUGGAAAUGAUGUGUCUAAUAAUGGUAUCAUGUUAGCAAUGUAAUAUAAUGUCAUUAAUGAACGCGCUACAUCAUUCAAAAAAAAAAGGAGGACAAUAAAUUUUUGUUGACAUUUUAAAUAGGAGAUCAAAAUGUUGGUUUUAGAAAAUGGAGUAUAAAAAAUUAACAAAAUUGAGAAAUGGAACAAAAGAUAAUAAACUAUAAGUUCAAAUGUUAUUUAAAAUAGCGUCUGAAAAAUAAGUUAUAUUAGUUCGUUAUGAAAAGAGACAGAUGUCAAACAGGACUUUUUGAUCAAACGACUUAUAAGCUAUAAACUCUUCUCUAUAAGCUACCUCUUUGCCCAUAGCAAACAGACCCGUGAGUGUGGGGGGAGGAGGAUGGUUUUGUCCAAUAACACCACCAAUAGGCUUGCGGAUAAUUAUAGAUGGAGGAAGGGGGUAUGAGUAUGAUAGUUCCGGAAACACUUGGAGGGAGUAGGUAGGAAAUAGUUGGAUGCAGUAGGGAUUAGUAGAACAUGAAGAAGCAGAUGUGUUGAAUAAAGGAAGAAGGGAGAAAGCAACUAGUGAUCAAUGAUUGUGUUGAUUUAUAAUGAGAGGCUUGGAGAGAUCGAAAAGGAAAAUGAUUAACUAGUUGGUGCGCCAAAAAAAGGUAGAUGUCAGGGUGUGCUUGGAGUGGAGAUUCUUAAAAAAUGUUGCUUUGACAAUAAUAUAUAUUCUAAAUGUGAUAUAAUGGCAAAGACGAGGUUGUGCGGGAAUCUUUUGAUGGUUAGAAAUACUUUGUGAGAAGGAGAAUGGUGUUCGAUGGAUGAUUUAAUACGCGUGUAGUUCGGAAAGGGGGAAGGGGAAUAAAUUUGGAAGCUUCUUUGGGACAACAGUUAGAAAUGAAUAUUUUCAAUAAGGGAGGUGGACUUGGUGGAUGUGACCCCUCUAGAUCGUAGAUUUACUUGGUAUAAUUUAAAUGGGAGUGCGAUGAGUCAUAUUGAUAAAGGUCAAAUUAAAAGAAAAAAUGUUACAAUAAAACACAGUAUUUAUUUAAGGGGAAAAUAUUUUUUUUAUAAUGUCGAAGUUACAUGCUAACAUGAUACGACACUGUUUUAAUUCGAAGGUGUGUUAAAACCUAGCAGCAGAUCAAAGGUACAGUACAACCACAAACCCAAGGUUACUUGCUUUCCAAGGCCACAAAAGGGACCUUUAACUCUGCUAUACUCUAUUUUGUGUAAAAUAGAGUGCACAUCGAUCUUCCCCUCAGAUAUACACUAUUUUGUGCUUCAAUAAAAAUUGAAGUGUUUCAAUUAUAAAAAUUUGUGAAGCGAAAACAAAGUAUUAACCGUUAAAAUUGUGAAGCGAAAACAAUGUAUUAACCGUUAACUAUGUGAAAUGAAAACAGAGAGAAUUGAUAUAAAUCUCGUAUUCAUAUCGCAUAUUCUGUGAUUUAACUAUGUGUACAAGAAGGUUUAAUAUUAACUAACUGUGAUAGAUUCUAGAUGACUCCUACAUUUCUAAUAUUAACUUCACUUGUUCUGUACAUUCUACAUUGUUACAGAAUUUGCCAAAUUUUCAGAAAAUUACAGAAUCUGUCCAUUAUACCUUGUUACUGAUGUAAAAGCUUGUCAAGUGUUGAUUCAUCAAUUUUUAUCUCUUAAGAAACAGAGCUUUAAGUGUGAGUGGAUGCACCUCACUUAAGAGCUUUUGAACAAGCAUUUGUUCACCAUUUCUCUGAGAAUUGUAUAUAUGUCGCUUGUUGCUCUAGGGCCUGUUUGAGUAAGAGUCAGAGGCAUAUAGCAGUAAAGAUAUUAUCAGAAGGCAUCAUCAGAUCCUAUUUUACAGCACUUGAUAUGUUUUUCAUCUCUUAAUCAUUUGAGAGUGAAAUAUCAUUUAUGGACUAAUCUUUGAACCAGCAGGCAGGAUUUCGGAAGCAAGUAUUUGAGGCUUUUGUGAGCAAUUGUUUGGUGCCUAAAGAGUAACCUUCGAAUAUCACUCCUUCCACAUUUUUUUCUCCUUUUCAGCUGUUGCUUUUGCCUUCUGUCGAACCAAGCAAAGUGUUCAUGUGCUCUCCACCAAAUCCAAUAUGCAUAAGCUCUUCAAGUAAAGACCUACUCAUAAACCAAAUUAUUUUGCAGUACCAUAAAAUGGAACAGAGUCAAUAAACUAAAUUUAUUCCCUAAGUUAUCGGUAUAAUGAGUGCGAGGAAGAUUAUGUACCUCAUAUCAUAUGUUUCAUCUAAUUCGAAGUUUGAUGGCAGAGUUCCAAAGAUGUCUAGCUUUAAUUUGUUUGAUGGAGGAAUUGUUUCUUCUAGAUCAUCUGAUUCAAAAUUUGUUGGAGGAAUUGUUUCUUCUCGAUGAUUGGAUUGAAAAUUUGAUGAAGAUGCAGAUGCAGUUUCUUCUUGAUCAUGAGAUUCAAAAAUUGUUGAAGGAAUAGUUUCUUCCUUAUAUAUCCAGUGAAAUCCACACUCUUUUAUCGAUACUUCAUCAUAUAGAUCUUCUUCAAUAAAGAAUCUAAAUGUAAGCUUUGGAUUGCAACUAGUGCUGUUCACAUCAUUAAUGGAUUUUAUUUCUUCAACUGCUGCCAUUAUCUGCUUGCAACUUGCUUGAUCAUACCAAGAAACCAAAUGAUCCGAUAUCAUGUGGAUUGAUGGAUCGAAACGCAAUAACCAACUGAAGAAAUUUGCUCUUGUGAAACUUGUUAUAUAGAUUCUUUCACCUGAACUAUUGUCCAAAUAGCACUCACAUCCAAAAUCCACAUCAUAUCCCAUAUGGCCUUGAGAAAGAACCAAGUAGUACGAAAAUCCCUGUAAAUUAGACGGAAGCUCAAGAGUGACACAAACUUGUGUAGAAGAGUAAUGGAACCAAUUUUCCAUGCCAGGCAUAGCAGGUAAAAAGUACCAAAUAAUUUCAUCAUCAUCAUAUAAAGAUGGUCCAGUUUCAAUUCUAUCCAUAGCAUCUUUCAAAACUGUUUGGUAUGAAUGUGGUUCCAAAUUUUUGCAGUUAAGGAGAUAAAUAAAACAAGGAUUGGGUUCCUCAUAUGGUUCAAUCGUUGAACUCAACACUUUCUCAAGAGAUUCACAAUUCGAGACAACCAAAACUGGAAUGAACUGUGAAAGUGCCGGAAUAGAUUGAAUCAUUUUACAAUCGUAAACAUCAACACGUUCAAGUCGGGGAAGAUACUUAAUGGUUUCAGGCAAGCUUCUAAUGUCCAUACCAUCCAGUGUUAAAGACUUUAACGACGAUAGUAAGGAGAUACUAUCUGGGAAUUCAGACAAUAUAGGAAUAUAAAUAAAGGUUAAUUCUUUUACACUCUGGAAGGCAGGACUAGAAAAUAAUUUAUCUAAGGUGAUAAAAGGGUCAUCUUCACGAUUCUGUGGACUCGAAAGCGAAAUAUGAUCGGCAAAGUUUUCUGGAAGAUCCACAAGACAAUCACUGAUUGGAAAGACAAACCGUUUAAGGUUUUGUUUAUGCAAUAUUGACGAUGGAAGUUCAUUCCGAUCCCACUCUGAUAAACACAAAUCCAAACCAUCAACGGAUGAAAAUGUGACUGAGAACUCUUUGAGAUUGAUGCAAUCCCUAGCUUCCAAUUUCCGGAGCGCUGGUGAACAAGUGUUACUCGAAAGGCUCUUAAGCGAUGUACACUCGAAUACAUUUAAAACUUCAAGCUUUUGGAGAAGGAAAAUUGAUGAAUCAACUUCAGGCAUGCUUUCACAAUAACGAAGUAUUACAUGUUUUAGAUUUGGGGAACCCGACACAUUUGGACACUCUAUCAGCUUUUUGGAGCCACCGAGGUCAAGUAUCUCUAAAUUUGGCAAAUCCUAUAACAAUAUACAAUUGGUCAAACAAGUUAGUGCAUUUUCUUAAAUUCUAUAGAUUUCACAACCAAGAAGGGGGAAUAAGUAUAAAGGCUCACAUGCAUUUUUUGUUUUCCUAUUUUGAUAAAACCACAAUUUUGGUCAGCCAUUUCUAAUUAUGCAAUUUUGAUCACCUAUUUUCUAAUUACGCAAUUUUGGUCCCUAAUUUUUAGAAAUUGGGAGUAUAUAUGUAAAAGAGUCUUGCUAAUGAAUGCUCACCAUCAUUUUCCAUUAUAAAAUACUUAAAACUUUUAACAAAACCAAAAAAAAUACAAGGAUCAUACUUACCAGUACUCCAUUCCAAAGUUUUUCCACAUGGCUUCCUUUCAAUGAAAGCUCCACAAGCAUUUCAGGACAAAAGGUGGAAGGCAAAGAUUGCAAUGGAUAGCCAUCCCAUUGAAAAUAUCUUAAAUUUUCUGGCAAUAAAUCAAGACCAUGUGGAAGGUUUAUAGAUUUAAUUCCCUUGUUGUCUUGAAAAGCAAGUAACCUUAGAUUUACCAUCUUUUCAAAUGAUUCAGGUCUUAAAUUAAUAUGUGUGAAUUCAGUAGCAUCUAAAAAUAUGGAUUCAACAUUCUCAGAUCCCUGUAAAAAAGUAAAUCUCAACGUUAGUAUUUCCGUAGGAAGUUGCAUUUUGUAUAUAAAGAUCAUAUGAAUAGGAAGGCAAGUGAGGGCAUCUCUUACUCUAUUAUUUUUCAAUACAUUACAAACUUCCUUAGGAUCACAUAAUCUACUGCGUUGUCCGGGAUUCUUAAGUGAUUCUUCACGAACAAUUUGUUUUCCUGUUUCUUGUAUCAAGUCAUGCAUUUGUAUGCAAUUUUCAAAGUCAACGCUUAUAAGAGCCUUGUCUAAAAGAUUACUUAUCCCUAUAUCAGCAAAGAAACCACACUCAUUUAAUAUUUUUGUUAUUCUAUUCCUUUCAUGUCCUUUGAAAAAGCACGCAAUGUCUAAAAAUAUAUCUUUCUCUUUAUCAUCCAAUUCAUUAUAACUCAAUCUGAAUAUAAAAUCAAUUUCAGUGUUUGGAAUUUCUUUCAGUUUAGCCAGUGCACAAUCCCAUUCAAUUUCACUUUUACAACGAAGUAAUGAUCCCAAUACUUUCAAAGCUAAAGGAUUUCCUUUGGCAUAAUCAACUGCUCUUUUUGAGAGCUCCACAUAUCCAUCCUUAGGUGAGACUUUUCCAAAAGCAUUCAAGCUGAAAAGCUGGAGGGAAUUUUGGGAAUUCAUCUUCUUAACUUCAUAAAUUUUUUCAAUCCCUCCACUUAUCAAGACAUGCUUAUCCCUAGUCGUCACAAUGACUGUGCUACCAGAUCCUAGCCAACCAUGUCCUACUCCAAUCAAGUUUUGCAGAAGUUCUGAAUUAUGUACAUCAUCUAUUACAAUGAAAGAUUUCAUGCGUUUGAGUCUUCUCAUGAUCAUUGAUGGUAUUAAUUUGGAAGUAUCAAUAUCAAGAUCUUCCCUGAGUAACUUGGAAAGAAGUUUGUUGCAUGUGUAAUUGAUCCCAUGUCUCUUUGAUACUUCUGUUACCUUUUCUAAGAAGCAACUGCCUUCAUAUUUAAAAGAGACCCUUUGAAACAUAGCAGCAGCAAGGGUUGUCUUACCUGUGCCUCCCAUACCCCAAAGUCCAAUGAUUUGAACUUCUGUUAGAUCAGAUUUUAUUAAAGAUUGAAUGCUCCAAUAGUUUUCAUCAAGUAUGAAAUUACAUGGAAGAUCAUUUGUAUACUGUUGAUUUAAUUUUCCUAAUACAGCUCUAGUAAUGGCUUCAAUCAUUUCAGAUUCAGUCCUAACAUGUGCAAAAAAAAAAAAAAAAAGUUAAUACAUAUCAUAUGAAUGCCAACCAAAGGUAAAAUCCAAUUCUUCAUCUGAAUCUUAGAAUUAAAAUAUUAGGAAAAACUAACAAAAUACUCAAACAUUCACACAAUUCAUUUUCAUUUAUAUGCAUUUACAGAACAUACAUGUAUUGAAUUGGGCUUGAUCCUUAAGUGUACUUAAAUUAACAUUUUUGUUGAUCAAAGAUAAUUUUCAACCAAAUAGUAUGUCAGGAAAGGCUGUUACCAGACCAAAAUUAUAAUCGACGUAAUUCUCAAUAUAAAAAUAUCAUCAACAUUAAUGAUUAAAAAUAUAAAGCACAUGGGAAUAAACAUGUAUUUACAAAUGAUUAUUUUACUUUAUUAGAUCCUACAUAGUCUCUUUAGUUUCUGUUGUGAAUCCGGUUGAAACUCACACCAAUGAAAUAAACAAUGAUGUGUGGAGCAAGUGAUAGUGGUAAUCAAUGAGAACAAAUGGUUUCCAAGCAAACAACAACAAAGCAGCCCUAGACUAGUGUAUAGCAAAACCACACUAAGAGAUAACAAAGCAUAAACAAGAUAAGCAAGAAAGGAAGAACAAAACACCGAGAAGAUUGUUGACCCAGUUCAGCCAAUAUGGCCUAAUCUGGGGGAGAGAGCAGCUCUCCAAUCCAAUAUGAGAAAGUGUUACAAAAGGUUACAAGAAACUCUAGCCUUCAAGCUUUACACAAGACAAACCCUAGAUUCUACCCUUUGGUGUUUCCCCACUCUCACAAGAUGAACCCUAAAAAAGAGAAGUCACUAGAGGAAGCUUUUGAUCCUUCCAACUAAUGAACUCCUCACUACCCAAGGUGAUUACAAUGUUUUUCCCAACCCAAGAGACACUCUCAACAAAGACACUCAACCCUUUGGUUCCCUCCUUUGCUAUCCAAGUUCUAUCUCUAAGCUCUUCCAAGCUCUCUCUCAAAAAAGCACAAGAACACAAUAUAUACUAGUCUUCCUCUGAAGAAAUUGUGCCACGAUUUCCCACAAUCGUGUCACGAUUUGCAUCUGACCCAAGGUUGACAAGUCCUUAUUAGUGAUACUUAACGAGCAAGUUUCUGAAUCGUGUCACGAUUUCCCAAGAUCGUGCCACGAUUUGGCGUCCUGCAAACUAGCUCACGGCACCUUGAAAUCGUGUCACGAUGCCAAAAUCGUGUCAUGAUUUCUCUGUUCUUCCAGACCACAAAUUUGAAGCCAAUAACAACAGUUUCUUUAGUUUGUUAGUCUCUUAGUCUUAACUUGUUGUUGUCGUCGUUGUCUAUUAUGAUCAUGUUGAGUUUAUUGUCUUUCUAGUUCCUACCCACCGUGUAUUUUUUCGUGUGAACUAAGUAGGUAUCAUAUACGCACAAUUGCAAAGAAUAAUCUUUCAAGUUGCAUAUGAUUAUAAUAGAUGGUAAAACUGUCCUUCAAAAAAUUUAUUUAAUGAUGUUGCAUUUCAUGAUUUAAGAUAUUCGGUGAUUCUUUCCUUUUCAUAUUAGUAACAUAUUUUACUAAAAAUACAAGGGAAUCUAGUUACCCAAGAGUAACAUAUUCUGUCCUUCAAAAUUGAUUUAAGUUGUUAUUUUCUAGUUUGCACUCAACUUGAAUAUGCUUCUAAACCUUAUGAUUUUUUAGCGAUUUAUUUUUUUUGCGUUUUCAUCAUAGUCAAUAGAUCAUAUAGCGUCAAUCUUCACUCAAUUGCGAUCAAUUAGCAAAUUUGAUAGGUUUUGAUGAUGAUGGAUAAUUGAAAGGUGGGGAUUCCGCAUUCAGAUGGAUGAGUGGGUUGAGAUUGGUGGUUCGGUUAGGUAAUCAGGGUUAUGUAAAACAAAAUGUUAAAUGAGCAAUAAUUCGGUAGUUAUCUAACGGAGGUAGAAAAUCGAAAUUUUUAAAAUGAACAUCCGAUAGUUAUCUACCGGAUGUACAAAAUAGAUUUUUUUUUUCUUUUUAAAAUGAACAUCCGGUAGUUAUCUACCGGCUGUACAAAAUGAUAUUUUUUUAUAUGAACAUCUGAUAGUUAUCUACUUGACGUGUUAUUAAGGACAAUUUCAUAAUUUUAAGAGGUCUAAAGAGAUAUGAGAGGGGGGGCCUAAAAAGAACCUUCCUUGUUAGUUUACCUAGAAGCAAUAUAAUUAAUGCAAAAUUACCAUAGGGUUCAUUCUCAAGACACCAAAAACACAUUACCUCGUGCAUUUUUAUACGUUAGAUUUUUUUUUUGUUAAACCUUUGUUUCUAAGGGAAGGUGCCUCUUUUUUUUUUUUUUUUUUUUAUAUUUUUUAUAAUUUCUUUUAACCCUAUUGUUGAAAUAAAUAAAUAAUUUUUCAUCUCCCUUUCUUUCUCUGGCCCUCCAUCAUAUACUUUCUUUCUUUCAUCUUUGUGUUCUCUUUACCUGCUUUGGUUGUUUUUUUUCCAUAUCAUUUUUUUUUUGUGCUUUAUAUAUAUAGGAAUAGUACUAUAUUAUUAGAGUUUUGCGUCGGGGGUUUACUAGUAUAAAUUCCAUACUGAAGUUUUAUUGCAUAAGAUUUUCUAUGAUAUAAUAGGAAUUUUUUUACUGAAAUAUUCUUAUUUCUUUCAUUGUAUUCUUAUGUGAUUAGGUGCUUUUAGAUGUGAACAAUGAAUUGUAACAAUUUCCUUUAAAAAAUAAAGAAUUGUAACAAUCUUUUAGAUAUUUAUUAAUUAAUUAUCGAUUUUAAUCACAGAACCAUGAUUUAGAGGUUUCUUCGGUUCGAUCUCCGAUCUGAUUUUUACAACAUUGAUAUUAAUUUGACGGGCAGACCGAUAAAAUUUAAUUUUAAUGUAUGCAAAAACAGAAAAACCUGUAUGUGGUGGAAUGAAAACCAGACAAAUUAGCUGCUUGAAAAAGAGCAUUCUUCCAAUUUUGCAUCAUCUUAUCAUCAUUUUUGCCUUGUUUCUUGUGUUUAAUCAACGCAGUGCCAUAACUACCAGUCUGCUUCCGCACGUGUGAAGGGUCAACAUGGUAGAACACUGGAAUAACAACAACCUUGUCAUCUUCAUUUUUGUUACAACACUCCAUUAUUUCAACAAGUUCGUUCAAACACCAUGUUGAAGAGGCAUAGUUUUCCGAGAACACCACAAGAAAUAUAGUGGAUUGUUUGAUUGCUUUCACUAGUUCUACCCAAACUUCAUCUCCUUUCUCGAUCCUGUAGUCUAUGUAGGUAUAAAUCUUGCUUCGGCACAAAUCAGCGUAAAGAUGGCUUGUGAAUCCAGCGCGAGUGUCAUCACCUCUAAAGCUGAUGAAAACAUCAUAUUUCUUCAUAGGCAUAGUAGCAGCAUGAGAAGAAGAAGAAGAAGAAGAAGAAGAAGAAGAAGAAGAAGAAGAAGCCAUAUAAUCUAUGAGUUAUUGUCCUUAGAAUGUGGGAAUACCCACAUGUAUAAAAGCACAUUUUCAUAAUGUGUGUGGACCCUUCUUUAAGCACUUUGCAGAAAAAUGGGAUGAUAAAGUGGAACACCAUGAGUGAUGCCUUUACUUUUUCUUUUGAUUUAUAGCAUAUGAUUUAUUCCUUUUUUUUUGGCAGUAUUUUUUUUAUAGUAAGGUUAGCAGUUACCGGAUGGAAUAUGGGAUUUCUUAGAAUUCCUUCUUUUUUUAGUGGUGGCCGGGGUUCGAAUUUCGGACCUUGCAUAUUUUAUGCAUUGUCCUUAUCAACUGAGCUAAGCUCACGAGGACUUAGAAUUCCUUCGAUGUUUCUUUAAAAGUAUUUAUUUUUGUUGAAUGAAAUUUUAUGUUUGUUUUGAUCCGAUAAAAGUGAAUAUCCAGUAAAAAUUGCAUUUAUCUAGUAUGUUUUACUGUUUUUAUGUUAUGUGAUCUAUUUGUUUCUUCUAUUUAUGUAGUGAUAAUUUUAAUUUUUUUUUUUUUUUUUUUGUGCUUUAGUUAGGAAAGAGGAAUGGGUUCUGAUGGAAUCAAAGCUAAUUUGAGAUUUUGACAUUUGAGGAUUAGAAUUUUAUUCUCUUAUAUUUAGGAAUCAAAGCCAAUUUGUCUUGAAGAAUUUUAUCUUGAAGAAUAAAUGUGUGAAAAAUUUGAGAAUUUUAUUCUUUUAUCGUGUGAAGAAUAAUUCUAAUAUGGAAUUGAAGAUAAUAUUUUGGCCAUCUCAACAAACAAGAACAUUAAUGUGAAAAAAUCCGAAUUUAAAAAAUAUGUAGGUUGUAGGAAUUACAUUUUAGUUCAUAAUCAAUCCAAAAAGAGACUCUGUAUCCGAUGUAAUCUAUCAAUUUGAAUGAAUGAAUAUCAUUUAUUUUUGUCAAAAAAAAGAACAUUAAUGUGAUUAAUAACGGCAGACCUUGGUAGAUGAUGGAUAUAGAACACGAGGAUAAUGAUAAUUUAUCUCAUGUGCAUAAAACACUAAGGGUGUGUUUGGAUUGAGGGUUUAGGAGGCGAAGGAGGGAGGAAUUUACAUUUUUUUUAAUUACGGACUAUAUAACAUGUUUUUCUAAAAUAAAUUAAGUGUGAUUGAAGUAUUAUACGAUCGUUUAUCAAGUUAAUAUGUUAAUUUUUUUAAAAACAUUUCAUAGUGUCCGUAUUUUAAAAAUGAAAAACCACCAAAUUAAGUGGUCGAGUUUAUUAUGACGUUGGUAGUCUGUUACGGCUAACCUUAAUGGUUUUGGGUCUUUUAGCAACACUUAUGAAGUGUUACAAAUUUAUUUCUUGCCUGUGAUUCAUCGAAGAGGCAUUCCACAAAGUUCAUUUAAUUAUCUUACCAUCAUUUAAUCUCUUCAUGAAUUACAUGUUCCCCGCAGAUUCAUUGUCUUUUACCCCAUUUCUCUUAAUAUAUUAUCUAUUUAGUGAGAAAUAAAAAAAAAAUUGUGAUACUACUCCUAAUUAAAAGUUAAUAUACUAAUUUGUUUAAUGAAAUAGACGAAUAACCAUGUUAUCAUGGAACAUGUUCCUUCCUUAAAAAUAAAACCUUGUUAUGAUGGUGUUGCAAGAAUUUUCUCUACUUUUGGCACAUCCGUUAUAUAGAUUCGAAGAUAACCCGUAAUCAAUAUAUAGGAGGCAAUGCUAGAACAUCAAUCAUUCAUACCAUGAGCCCUACAUGCAUGGAGUUAUGUUGAACAAACCAAAAACACCCUCCCAUUUGAAAGGUGUGCUAAAGAAGUGGCAACUAGUUCUAGAACGGUUGUAUUUGACUUUAAUGAUUAUUUAAUCAGUGAUACAAGAUAGACCUAAAUGAGAAAAGCACUAUUCACAGUUUCUUAAAUUUGUCUAUUUAAACCCAUGUUUAAUCGUCGACAAUUAAGUACCUUCAAAAUAUGUUUUAGGUGAAUAGUUUUUACAAUCAUGCCUAAUCAGUUUUGAUAAGAAAGGCUCAUUAUAAUUAUAAAAAUAAAAAAAAAAAUUAAAUAGCUUGGAUAUAACAGCGAAAUUGCUAGGAAUUUUAGCUAGAGUUUUACUGCAAAAUUGUUGUGACGAUAUAUCCUAGCGAUAUAGUUACGACACAUAAACUUUUGAACAAUAUUUUACUAUAAUUUAAUUGGUAAUUAGCUACAAUUUUUUCAUAUAUUAUUUUCAUUUUAGCUAGUAAAUAUUUUGCCAGAUCAUUUUCCGUUCAAUGCAUGCUAUGACAGCUAAUUCAUAAUUAUUCUCUAGCUAAAUGUAUUUGCGCUAGAGAUUAGCUACAAAUUUGCUUAGAUUUCAAUCUUGCAGCUAAUGGCAGAUUUUCUUGUAGUGCACGCAUAAUGAUUUUGAUUUAUUAUAUUGCCUAACUAUAAUUUAUCAUGUCAUUUUUUGUGCCGAUCAAGAUUCACUUCAAUCAAUAUUUUACCACAUUCACACAUUCGAAAUAUCUACAGUAGUUGGAUCAAGAUCAAAAGAUCAUGAUCUAACGACCGCUGAUAUGCCAAAGAUGAAUGUAGAAAAAAUAUUAAAUACUGAGGCUGAAUUAAAAUAUUAGGAAGAACAAGAACAAGACAAAUACAAUCUAUGUAUAGUAUACCAUAUAUUUUGCAAAUUAAACAGUGAGAUUUGUGGUCACAACUACAAACUAAAUAGGAAAUAAUUUGAAAUGAACCUAAAAAUAAGUGGUUUCCCUAGAGAAAGUCGAAGAUUUAAAAUCAAGGCCGCAAAGGAAACCUGUAAUUUCAAACCAUGAAGGCACUAAAUGUAGGUGGCAAUGACACGAAAUCUAACCAUUUUGAAGUUCUAACUCCCUUCUUAGUAGUGGCGGAGCCUUUCAUGGGCUGGGGUGGGCCACGGCCCACCCGAAAAAAUUAAAAAAUCAACAAUUAUAGGUCUAUUUUGUGAGAUUUUAUGCAAUUUUGUGUCGAUUUUAUGUUUUGGUUGAUCCAAAUUCUUGCAAAGUGGUGUAGUGGCCCACCCGAAAAUUUAAAUAAUUCAAUUAUAGUUUUAUUUUGCGAGAAUUUAUACAAUUUUAUGUCGAUUUUAGGUUUCGGAUGAUCCAAAUUCCCGCAAAUUGGUGUAGUGGCCCACCCGAAAAAUUUAAAUAAUUCAAUUAAAGGUCUAAUUUGCGAGACUUUAAACAAUUUUUCAAUAGUUACUUUUAGUGGCCCACCCUGACAUUUUUUUUCUGGCUCCGCCACUGCUUCUUAGCCAUUAUUUCAUUAGUUAAAUUUACUUUGAAAUCCAGAAGUCCUAGCUCAACUGGCAAAAUGCCGAAAUUGUUAGGCCGGAUGUCAUGACCGGGGUUCGAACCCCGGUACCUCCACUUGUGUGUGUGAGUUUAUAAUGGCUUUGCCAUUUCGUCUAUCUACCAAAAAAAAAAAUUACUUUGAAAAUUGAGAUUCACUUUGUAGCCAUGAAACGGUUUUAUAACAGAGUGAAUUUGAGAUUCACUUUGAUAUAUAUAUAUAUAUAUAUAUAUAUAUAUAUAUAUAUAUAUAUAUGUAGUUUCUUUGGAAACAAAUAGGUCAUGGAAGGAAAUGGGAGAUGCAGAGAAGAGCCGGUCGAUAGAAAAAGACUAUUGUUUUUUGGUAUUGUCGAUCUUACUAACAUCUUGUUUUAAUUUUUUUUUACUCUUUCAAUUAUUUAAAUAUUUAGUAUGUAUAUUUUUAUCAUUGAAUUAGAUUUUAUCCUUUAUUUAGUAGAAAAUUAAUUUCAGUAUAAAUAUCAUAAAUUAAUUUUUAUUCGAAUUUGUAGUGGUAAAUAAAAAUAAACGAAUUAAAUUUAAUAAAUAGUAUUAGGUUCUAGUGAAAAACACAAAACUGUUGGUAAAAGGCAUGUUUUUUUUGCUACUUUUAUUCAUGACGUUUACGCACCGGAUAAACCGUAGGUAGAACUUAAAACUUUUGGUGACAGUCACUUGAACUUUUCCUCUCAGACACAACCCUUGAAAUUGGGCGUACGUAAUUGACGCCUUUUUCUAGUAUUGAAGGACUUCUAUGGACAAAUAUUAUCUUUCUGUUGAUGUCAAAUUUCUUGAAGUGAUAUGUUGGGGGUAUAAGUGUGAAUAGUUUGUUGGAACAAAAUGUGUUUCACAAUGAACCUUAAUGAGUUUUGAUGAUAACAUGGUAUUAAAAAUUGUCAAUUGGUUAUUACUAAUUAUUGUUCAAGUGUACAGGACCAAAGGCUAGUCAAGUAAUUUCAACAGGUCUUGGAAGAACAAUGAAAAGCAAAAGAAUUCCAAGCAUCUGAAGAAAACUGCUCCUGAAGUUGAAGUGCUUCUGAAGUGAUGACGUCAUCAGAAGCAAGGUUUUCAUCAGAAGCUAUAUCUUCACCAGAAGCUACAUUUGAUCCUUUAAUCAAUCUGAAGAUUCAAAGUAGCUGGUUCUCAAUUCAAUCUUAUCUAAGAAGAACGAAGAAUUGAAAGGGAUGUACCAACGGUCAUAUGGAUAGCACUGAGCAUUUGUCCCUCGUUAACAGAGUUGACAAAGUACAAGUGUACAACCACUACCUCCACUACUCUGUUUUUGUCCACGCUACAAGACAAGACAACAGCUAUGCCUGCAUAAUUUGUGUCCUCAAGAUGGGAAUGAAUUUGAAGCUUAUUCUUCAAAGGAGUACACUCAAAUCAGGCAAAGGAUUACUGGUGGAUGAUCAAAGGAUUUCAAACGACUCUUUAGACGUUCUGAUUAUCUCAACGUCUCUUUCACGCCUCUAUAUAAAGGAGUGAAGACUUGAAGAUUAAAGAUAGAGAUAUACAAGUUCAAAAGCGCCAAAACUCUGUCAAAUUGAUUCUACAAAGCACACUGAAUUUCUGCACUGAUUUGAUACAUCUUAGAAAUUCAAAGUCUAGAGUCUUUAUUGUAUUGUAUUGAGAACACCACUGAUUGUAUAUCAAGUGUUCAAGUCAAACUCAAUUCUCUGUAUUUUUGUUUGAUCAGAAGUCUCUUGCCUGCGUGCUUGAGCAUUAGAAGUCUCUUGCUUAGUGCUUGAGCAUUGGAAGACUCUUGCGUGUGUGCUUGAGCAUUUUUGUGAAGUCUCAUACUUAGAAAGUAUUGAGCAUUUGUAAUCUUUGUGAUUAUAGUGAAAUCUCCUUGGAAGUGCAAGGGGGACUGGACUACUUCCGUGUUGUGGAAGGAACCAGGAUAACUGCUUGUGUCUUUGUCUUUCUUUUCUCUGCUCUGCUCUGUUCUUUUCCGCUGCAUAUCUAAUUCUGAUCAUUUCAUCAGAAGCACUCACAAACUGCUUCUGAAGGUUUAUCAGAAGAAGAUUUUUAGAGAGAAAAAGAAAACACAAUUCAACCCCCCCUUCUUGUGUUUUUCUCACCUUCAUAGUUUAGUCUCACAUCGACUAUAAAUUAAUUAAAUGUAGGAUAUAUAACUUAUAAGAGUGGCGACUCAUGCCUAAUGUCUUAAGGUUUUGGGGUGGAGAAGUUGUGUCCAAUCUCUUGAUGGUCCUGAUCAUUUACCAAUUGUUUCUCUUAGCGCUCUCCCGGACUCUGCAACAAUAUCUUGAAAAACCAAAUGGUUAUAAAAUCGUUAACUUGCAUUGCUUUUUCAGCACUGUCUUGUUUUUGCCAUGCCAUAUUGCAAAUUUACACUACUAGAUUUGCACAAACCUUGGUGUUAUUAAUUAACUUUUUCCAAACAUAAACUCUUGUAUUUCAUAUCACAUGUCUAACACAUACAAGAGGUACACACAUCAUGAGUAUUUCUUAUUGAUGUAAAGUAAACCAUAAAUACCAACAAACAAACAAACAAACAAACAAACAUAACAACAUGACCAUGAUGAGGUAAUUUGACUACUUCACACAUUUUAUUUAAAGCAACAGAACAAACAAUGAAACUCAUUAAAUGGAGAUACUAUUAGGAAUGCCUCUGCCAGUCAAUCCUUCCUCACUAGAAGGAUAAAGCAGAGUGUAUGGCAUCUUCACAGGCCCGUAUCGGUUUCUCAAUGACUCAUCAUUGUUCCUUUUGAUGAGCUUUGCCUCAAUUUCAGCCAACUUCCUUCCAAACCUCUUGAAAGCUUCUAAUGGCUGUGAAUCAAAAGUCCAAGCCUCACCUUCAUUUCUCUGUCCAAGGUAUUGCUCAUCAGAAGCAUGCCUUGACAAGACCUCUAUGAUUGUAAGGUCAGUUAGGGUAUCAUUUUUUGGUGUGAUUGUCCUCAGAUACGCCUUCUGAAAGUUCUUAGAAAGCUCGUCAUACUCAGCAGACCCUUUCUUAGGCAUGUGUCUCCGGCUCUUAGUUGGUCGGUUAAGUAUAUAUCCUCCAUAUGGGUAUUGACCAAAAUUAACAGCUGCAUGAUGUGCUGAAGCAAUCCAUAUGAGGAUAGUGCAAGCUUCAAUCAACUCUGUACAAGUUUGCAUCUUAAACCACCAUGUAGCAUUCUUCAAAUCACCAUGACCCACCUCUACAACUUCUCUCCAAAAUGCUUGCAGUUCAGAAUCUUGCGCAACAGCAACAUCUGACUUGUAGUAGAAAUUCACAUAUUCUUCAACCCAUGACUUGAUAGCAUCCCAUAUCUCUAGUCCAUCAGCAGCAUAAGGGUAGUCCUCUAUCAGAAGGCGAAUUCCAUGUGGGGAAGUUGGAUCCUCAACAGCCACUCCUCUAGAUAUAGCAUGCAAGGAAGAUAUCAUUAACAUAAAAAAUACUUUUGACAUCAAUAUCUUUUUUACCAAGAUUAUUAAAUUUCUAUUGUAGUCACAAUCCUAGCCAUUAUAGAGAAUUGCGGUAAAAUAUAGUUGAUGCCUUAUCUUAGAUCAUGGUUACUAGCAUUAUUUCAAUCCUUUUUUAACUAAUGAAUGAGUAGUAACUAAUUUUUUUUUGAAGGUUACCUUUUAAGUAGAUCAUUAGGUAGUCCUUGAUCUGGGAAAACCCAAUCCUUAUAUAAUACAGAAGACAGUUCUAUAGAAUGACUUCCCAAUAAGAAUGUUGAUUCUAUAAUACCCUCUGCAUUUACCAAGACACUCCUUGCAAGUGCAUUAAUGUUCAUUGUGUCACGAUAAUGUGGAAGCAGAAGUUUGUGAAUAGGGUGAACCACACUAAGAUGCCUAUUAGUUGCUAUGAUGAAUGGCUCAACAACAGCGUGCGUGUUCAACCUGUUACACAUGUAGAUAUUCAUGAAUCAAUCUUAGAUAUAUAAAAUUAAAUAUGUUUGAUUCUAUAAAAAUUCAUCAACAUAAUUGUACCAGUGGCUGACAAGUUGGUGAACAGAAGAGUCAUUUACAAUAACAUAAGCCUUGGCAAGGAGCCAAAUAGAAGAUUCAACACCUUCCUUUGCAGGCAAGUAAACAUCACUAACAGGACCAAAGCUAUCAGCCUGAGGAUGUGGGCUACUUAGCUCAAUGGCUAAUGGCUUCAAAGUUCCAUCAUUUUGUAAGAAAAUGAUAGUUCUAGUAGCAUAUGCCUUUGUUGUAUCAGCUGCAUUUAUUUUCCUCAGAUAUGGAUAUAUUGAGUCAUGGUGAUCAAGUAUGUAAAGCCUGUUGUUUUGGAUAGCCUAUUGAACAAAAUAUAAUUUAGUCAUUGCAAUUAUUUGAAUAAUAAAUAACCACAAAAUAACAUUGUCAAAGUUAAAUUAUAUGCAUAGUAUUAAUGUUAAACUAUGUCAUUACUUCUUCUACAGUGACCCCAUCCAUGUUUAGCUCUAACUGUUCUUCGGUUAUUGUGCUCGUAUUAUCACCAUAAUCGGUAUUUAGCUUGCUCUUUGGUGGGAACUCCUACAUUAUAUAUAACAAGUAAUACUGAAAUUAAGAUUGAAAAUAUAGUAUGUAAAGUGGACAAAAUAGAGUUUAAUUUUGUGUUUGUAAAGAAAUCGUUAAACUAUUAAGUUUACCUGAAUUCUUUUUAUAAUGUGUGGAUUCACACCAGCAAUCAUCUCCCUUGCAAAUUCUUCAUCAGUCAUCCACGCAGACUGAUUAACUGCUCAAAAUAAGAGCAUUGCAAAUGAUCUGUAAUAUUUUUAUUUAUUCUAUGAAAAUAUAUUGCUAGGACUAACUAAUAGAUACCUUGAAUCACUUUAGGCGGUGGAAACUUUAGGGCCGAUUCACCAUCAGUUCGGAAGAGUUCCUUGAAAAAUGGUAUGGGGCUAAGUUUGCUAAGUAUACUAGUAGGUAAUUUAAUCCCACCAUCAUAAAAUGAUCGCACAUCAUCAAAGCUAUUAAAUUCUGGCUUAUUGAGUUGUAAUGUAAUUGCAGAUUGUAAUUGAGGUAUGAAACUUUGAGAAGCUGAUUUGAGUAUGUAAACAAGAAAAUCUGAAGACUUCAAGUGACCAAAUGCUUCAUCUCUUGGAACGUAAACAAAGUCGUCCCGUCUCUCACUUUUAGGAUCUGUUCACAUACAAAAUUGAAGACACGCAUUAGCAAGUACUAGCAAAAAGAUCGAUAACUUUAAAGUCAUAAUAGAGAAAAUGUUUUGAUCACAGCACCAUUAAUUUAAUAUGGAACUUUAAAAUUAUAACCUUUUUUAGCUGGUUUCCUGCCGGUUCUGCCCCUUCGAGGGUAAGGCAAGGUGUCGGAUCCUCCAAUAACGGGACGAGCCAAGUGUGCGUACUUGUCAGGAUCACCCAAGUCAUUGUAAACAUCGUAGUCAUAGAUUCUAUCGUGUUCCUUGCGCUGACCCGUUCCAUCUCCUCUUAAAGUCUUCAAUUCUUCUUCUCUAUAGUAGACUAAUGGAGCUGGUGUUUCACUUGGAAGGUAUGUCUAUAUUUUUAUUUAUUUGAUGGUGUAAGAUUUCAGGAAAUAUAGUUCAUAUUUAAAGGUCUUGCUAACAAGUGCCCUAAUGUUAAGAUUAAAAUAUUGAAACCAGUUGAUAGCUUUCAUGUAGAAAAAAUUGUUUUUUGAUGUUCCAAUGUGUUAACAUUUCACUAUAUUUAACAUGCACGAUAAAUAUGGUAUAUUCAUUACCUUGUUGGCGAAGAAGAUGCGUUUCGUUUUAUACUUGUCAGCACUGUAAAUCCAUGAGUUGCAUACAAAGUUGAUGGUUCCAUGGUUUGGAAUAUCUUCAAGUGUCAAACUUACAAGGAAGAAUUCUCGUGUCAUGUUACUCUCAAUAUAAAAUGCUCCUGGAACUCCCAUGUCACUAUUCCAUUCAAAAUGAAUAUCAUAUGCAGACUGUCCUGCUCCCAAAAUUGGCAUGGAAGUAACAAAACCUUCAAUAAAUGUUUUCUCUCCGACUUUCCCUUUUCCGCUUCCUACAAAUAUGUUACAAGUUUGAUUUACAAUUUCAGCAAUGAUAAUACUCCCUCCGUCUCACAUCAGGUGUCACAUUUGAGUUUUACACAAUUAUUAAAAAAAUGAUUAAUAAUUUUGAUUUUAAUGAUAAAUAUGUAUCAUUUACUAACAUACUUUUAUUAAUUAUAAUUAGUGGAAUAUUUUUAAAUGAUUCAAAUACAAUAGAUACAGAUAUGUUAAAAGAAAAUAAUAAUAAAUAUUGUAUUAUUAGUGUUAUAAAAGGGACAAAUAAAUUAAGAAAAAAAACAUAUAAUUUAAGACGGAGGGGAAAAAACAUCUAAUUUGAAACGGGGGAGUAACAUUCAAGAUUAAUUUAUGUCAAAGUAACAAAUUACUCUUUUUGUGCCAAAAAAAUAUUAAUUCUUUCCACCUGAAUAAAGUGUUUUAUAUAGGAGUUGAUAGUUGAUUAUAUCUUUCAUGCUAUAAAUAAGUUUUUGGUCCCUUUAAAUAUCUCAAAUUUCAGUUUUUAUAGUUCAAAAUAUUUUCAGCAAAAUUUGGGUUUGCUAAAAAUAACUUAGAAGGAAAAACUUGCCAAAUUGUUUUAGAGAGACUAUAUAUAAAAUUUUAGAUAUUUAUACAGUAUCCCUAAAAAAAAAAAGAAAUUUAUACGGUAGAAUUAUUUUUUUUAACCCAUUUUGUAAUGAUAAAACAAAAGGGAAACUGAAUUGAAUCUUAUGGACUAAGGGUCAAAUAAUAGAGGAAAAAAAAAAUCAAAUUAUUGAUAAGUAUUAAUAAAAAAAUUAAACCUCACAAAGAUUAAUUUAAUGUAUCAAACUAAUAACUGAAGACUAACAUAUCAUAUGAUUUUCUAUGUAAAAUGUUACCAGAUCGAAAAUCAUAUGAUAUGUUAAUGAGGUAAAUCAAGACUAACUUCUGAUGUGUGUGUAUAAACUUCAAUUCAUUUGUAAACUUUAUUAAUGUUUACUCGUUAAAGCGUUAUUGAGCAGCGCAACACUGUCCAAAUACUAUAUGUGUUCAGUGUUGUAAAUUUAUGACGAGCAUUAUGUAGUCUUAGAAUGAGAAAUGAAUAAGUUUAUUACCAUCGGCAGUGGUAGCACUGAUCAACCUGAGAGCCACAGAACGGCCGACAAAGGCCCCGGCGGUGUCAAUUAGAGUGCCGGCGACACCACCAACAGCCUUGAUUCCAGUUUUGACCAAAUUAGUGGUGUUUUUAGUUGCACCAUUGAUGGCAUUGAUGUCGAAAACAUUUGUUUGCAUCAACACAACUGUGCCCUUCACCUUUUGGCCUCUCUUAAGCAUACUUUUGAACCCUGAAUACAUCUUAAUUUGCUGCUUAAAUUUUUUUUUUUGCAAAUUAAUGAGAGAAAAGUUUGUGGCUGGCAAGAUGCAACCAUCUCAUUAUUUAUAGGGCCAAAAUUAAGCUUCUGAUUAAGAACAAAUAAUUUUUUUUUAAUUGAUUAAUUGAUCAUUGACAUCGUGCAAAAACUAUUAGUAAUAGGCUAAUCGUGGAAUAUAAAAUAAUGAUGUAUUUUAUUAUAGAAAGAAGAUAACAAUAUGUGUUACACAAUCAUAUUAUGACAAAUGGAUUUUUGAACUAUAGUUAAUUAGAUUCUAACGCGUACACCAAUAGUAAUAGGCUAAUCGUGCAAAAAUUAUUUCCUGAUACGAGGUCGUCUUUCUUUCCAUUGUUAAUAAUAUCCCUUCUCACAACUCACAUUCACAUACCGUAACCAUGGUUCAAUUUAAUAAUAUUAAUAAUAAGAGGAUGUACAAGAGUUAAUUAAACUAUGCAAGUGCAACUCCUAUAUGAUUUUAAGAUGAACAUAACUCAACUCUUACAAAUAUGAUUUGUAAGGUGAGGGGUUUCCCACUUAUAAUAAACUCAUUUUAUCUUCAUUUAAUAUAGAACUUUUACACUGCUCAUAUAUGUUUAAGAAUGGACGACAGGAGUGUGACUCGAGUUGUAUGAAAAUAGAUGAUCAAAUAGAUUUUAUUACGACUAUAAUACAUAAUGAAGGUUGUCCCCGUGAGCAUACUCAGUUGAUAGGGACAUACAUAAUUAUAUGCAGGGGUUGGGGUUUGAACCCAGACACCCCACUCAUUCACCUUGAAAAAGGUGAAUUCUAGCCACUAGAUUAAAAAAAAAAAAAUUAAGAAUUCAUUUUCAGGUAUAGUUUUAUCAUCAAGUGUGAAACUAUUAAUAUAUGCAAUGUUAAAAUAUAAAAUAAAUUUGUUUUUAUUUUUUAUCGCAAGAUUUAUCAUUAAACUUUAUUUAGUUGUUUUGACUCAUUCCUUUUUCUAUAUUUUAGCUGUUUUAGUUGAAUGUAGUUCCGUUAGAACUAAAAUUUAAGUUUUUUUUUUUUUUUUUUUUUGGAAAGUUCCAUGAAAAAGAAAUUAGUUUUUUUUUUUUCUUUUUUUCUAGUACUGCAAACUUUAAAAAUAUAAUUUUUCUGAAUGCUUUUGUAUGAAUGAAUUUUGAGGAGUGUUAGAAACACUCUCUUUUUAACACCUACAUUGAUAUUUAAUUUACUCUUUUAUUGAAUGAAUUCAUUGAUAUUUACUAUUUUAUUGAAUAAAUUAAAUGUGUAUUAUACAUUUUAAAAUGAGUUUCACAUAAAAUGGUGGAUUCCAUAGAUUUCGUCAAAUAAAAUAGUGGAUGUUAGAAAGAAUGUUCAACUCUAUGGUCUAUUCACUAAUAUUUUCACACCCCACAAAAUAUUUCUAAUACAAAAUAUUUUGUCAAGAUUGAAUAAACUUUCAAAAAAACUUGAGCUAAAUUUUCCAGAAGAAAAAACUGUUGAUUGGAAUACACGGGGAAUUUUUUUUUGGAAUUUUAGUCACGCUUCAAAUGUGGUUAAACUGCCGAAUUUGUAAAACGUAAUACUUGGAAAAAGAUUUCCAAAAUUUUAUCCAUAGUUGCUAAAAAUCCUGAGGAAAAUUCAAUGAAUCUGCCGUUUAGUAUCAUUUCAAGAAACUUUUAAUCAAUUGUAAAAAACUUUUACUUACCAGAAAUAUUUUGUCCGAGUUAAAGUCAAAUGACAAAAAGAUAAAAUUAACAAUAGAAUUUUUUAUAGUUUGUAGGGAGGAGAUGUAUGAAUGCAGGGGUAAAGAUUAAAGUGAAUUUUUAUUUAAACUAUAGAGCAAAAGCAAAAGCCCGCGACAUGUGCAAUGAGGCUAAGGCUUUGUAGAGCAAGAGUGAUUUUUUAUUUUUUCACAAGAGUUGUUAGGGCAAUGAGGACUACCCUACUCUUCCUACCCCACAAAGUAUAUAACAUGUCUAAUUUAUUUCCAACGACUUUAAAUUAUUGAGGAAUAGGAGUUUAGUCCUUUCAUCAUUUCAGUUUUUGGGAUCGAAAAAUUGAAAAAGUCAAAAUUUGAAUUUUUUUUUUAAUGUACUAGUUUUUCUAGUCCAUACGAAGAGAUACAUAUCAUGUGAAAUUCACACAUAAGACUGUAAGAUUAUAAGUUUGAAGCGGACAAAGAUGUUCAAACUAAAAAUAUUGAUAUUAGUCAUUGAAAUAGACCAUGCAGACAAGAAAAUAUUAGUUUUUGAAAGAAAGAAAAAACAAUGUUACGAGGAACUCAAAUUUUGAGUUUUUGAUAAAUUAAAAAAUUUGAAAAAAUGGGAGUAUUUGUUAACAUUUCCCUAUAAAUGAAAACGAUAAAACCAAACAUUUUAAAAGAAUAUAGUAGUAUGAUUUUGAGGGGUAGGUAGAAUAAUUCUUCUGGAGCGAUAAUGCUAUGAGAAGAGCAACCAAUUGCAUAUACUUGGAUAUGGUUUGGAAGGAGCACAUUUUCCAACUCAUUAAUUAUUUUAGAGAGUGACUAAUUUUUUUUUUUGUUAGACAUGGUUACACGUAAGUACAAGUUUAGUUAGGGGUGCCCUACUUUCGUGUGGUGAAUUCGAUGAUUUUUGACUUUGGAUCGCGUGUUCAAUUUCAUCAUUCUUGGAGAGAAUGAGACUUUUUAUCUUGCACAACUCUCGAGUCUCCUUCUAAUUAACUUUAUAAACUUAUUUUUGAUCAUAUCUUUGGGGCUUGCAUACUUAGAAGUGUUUGUUUUGAUUUGUAGUUUUUCUUUGGGCUUCGACCAUCUUUUGUACCAAAACAAGAGAUUACUUUUUGCGUCCAAUGAGUUUCUCACGCACCAUAUUUUUUUUUUAAUACCCUUUAGAUUCUAUAAUUCAAACAGCACUUCAGCUUAUAUAAUCUGAAAACUUGUAUUUCCAAUAUUUACUUAACAUCGCUGAUUUACAAAACAUCAUUGACAUAUACUAUUAAGAAAACAUAAUUGAAAAUGACCAAAAAUUGAAACAAAAAUGUAGAGACAUAAAAACGAAUUCAAAUUCUCAUUAUAUUAAUAGAUCAUAUCUUGAAAGUACAUUUACAUUAACAUCAAAGCAUAUUACGCAAAAUUAUUAAACAUCUAAUAUUAAACAUAUGGUGCAAGAAGAUCAUGUAGGGGUAAAAAGAAUAUGAUGGAGGGGGAAGGAGGUUGGAGUAAGGUUUUUUUUUUUUUUUUUUAGGAUGAAGGAUACUUUGAUGGUCAACCUUACACCUAAACAUAUCAAAUUUACAUCCAAACAUAUGGUACAAAUUUGCAUAGUGGCACCAUCUUCGUUGAUCGCUCAUACGAUCGCUAAAAUAAAAGAGUAACCUUUUUGUAUAAAAGGUCAACGAUGGAAGCAUAUUAAUUGUGGAAGAAAACAGAAGGAGAAAAUGUGAAGAAUGAGAAUUUGUGAAGGAUUGGUGGGUAUUUACAGGAGGAACUUGUGAAGGAUGAUGCAUAGAGUGUAUAAGACCAUUGAUUACGGUCAAAAAACGUGGUAAACCUGGUUCGACCGGUCAAUGAAACUGAUAUGACCAAAGAAAAACUUGUUCAAUGAGUUAGUCUUGCUGAGCUGAUUCGAACUCUGAACUAGUUCAUAUUAGGUAAUUUGAACUCAUCCCAGGAAUGUUAUUAUAUAAUCCGAACUAAUUUAAGAUUGUGUUAAAAUUCAUACCUUAUAGGGUGAGGGAGAGUUUAAAUUAUAAAUUAUAUAAUUCAAACCAGUUCAAUACAUGUUCUUUUUGUGAUCUACAUUGCACCAACAGUUUCCUUUUAUGUUUUUUUUCUUUUUCUGUGUUCUGGUGUUGUGCCUUAUUGGCCUUUUUUUCCAAAACUGUGACACCAAUUUUUUAGGGCGAGAAUAGAAUUUGAUUGAUUCUCUUCAUUAAAUUCAAUGGAUUUCAUAAAUUUCUAAUUUUAAGGUCACACGGCUAAUACAUAUAUAACACAAAGUGUCGUCAGAGUCUUUUGGCAUUGGUGUCAUACUAAUCUUGUUUGAAUUCUCUACUCCGAUUAUUUUCUAUUACUUUGAGAAUUCAUGAAGUCAUUCAUAGACCUAUUUAACACAUAAUUGAUGCCUGUGUUUUAUAUUUACACUUUAUUAAAACUGUUGUAAAAGAAAAAAAAAACAGACAUAAUCAUAUUUUCGUUUUAUAGUUACGGUUUGCAAGCAUGAAUUCUCACCUCCGUUGAUCUCUUUAAAUUAAUUCGAAGCUUCAAUUCAAAGUGGGUAGAAGAAAUUGUAAACAGAGCAAGAGGUUUAGCUUGGAAUUCAGAAAAAAGUCUUGAAGCUUCACCCUUUCAUCAAUUCUUGAUUUUUUCUUCAAUUUGAUUAAGGGGGAUUACCACUAAAUGACUGUUUUAUCUUUAUCUAUUUUAUGAGCAUGUUGUUGCUUUAUGAAAUUUUUAGAGAUUCUUAGUUUAUGCAAUCUAUUUUAUGUGUUUCUGUCAAUCGCACUUUUGCUGCUGCGUAUUUAUCUGGUUUUGUGUUUGUGUCAGUUUCUGCAUAAUAUCUGCAUUCGUUUAGGUUUCCUUGUAGUUUCUUGUUUAAUGCAAUUACUACAUAAUUGCAUUUCUAUUUUUCAUGUUUCAUUAGUUAAUGUUAUUGCUCUUUUUAGAUUUUAUUUCUGCAUAAUACAUUCUUUAAUGAUUUCUACUUGGCUACUGGUUAGAACUAACAAUUAAAAAUAAAAGAUCUUAAAUAAGGGCAGGUCUUUAAAAAAUACCAUUAUAAUUUUCAACGUAACAUGCUUCUCUAUUUUACAUCUCUUUGUUAUAUAUAUUCAAAUUGGUGAGGUAUUUGAGAUUCUAGAGGGUGAUAAAUGCCUUCCUGAAGAACAAUUGCAAAGCUUAUAAAUGCCUUCCUGAAGAACAAUUACAUCUCCAAAUGUGGUCUUCCUGGAAACUCAGGUGGCAGACAAAUUAAAUCUUGUUCUGGUUUUGCUUGCAUGCAAUGUAAAUUUGAAUCCCUCUAAUAUCUCUUUUGUUUAGAACCUUCUCCUUAUGUCUAUGGUUUUUUUUUUUUUUUAAAUUUAUAAAGAUGAGCAUAUUUCUUAUUCAAAUUUACUAAUUUAGAGAAGGGUUCAUUGGAUUUGAAACUUGUUAUCAUACUUAUGCAUAUGUCAUCUUCAUUUAUUUGUGUGGAUUUACAGGGUUGUAUAUGGAUUUGUUAUGUUUGCAACUUAUUUUCUUUUAUUUUCAAUAGGCUACAUAUGCUUCUUGUACAGUUUCUUUGGAAACAAAUAGGUGAUGGAAAGAAAUGGGAGCUGCAGAGAAGAACCGAUCGAUGGCGGAAUUUUCAUGGAAAUAUAUGUGCUCUACCUAAUGGUCAGUGUAACAACUUGAAGGCACCAUGAUUUCUAGUCAUAGUUUAAAAUUGUUUGAUGUAAAAGGUCGAAACUAAAGCAUUAAGGUAAAAUAUAAUUCACUUUAACUGUUAUUACUUUUUGGGUAUUAACAGCAUUGCAACUGUUAUAUAAUCUUAGGAAAUCAAUAUUGUACAUUACUUUUUCAGCACUAUCAUCUUUUUAUCAUGCCAUAUCGCACUACUAGGUUUGCACAAACCUUGGGGUCAUUAAUUCAUUUUUUCCAAACUUAAACUAAUGCAUUUCAUUAUCAUAUCACAUGUAUUACACAUACAAGAGGUAAACACAUCUUAAGAACUUCUUAUUGAUGUAUAGUAAAACAUAAAAGCAAGCAAACAAACAAACAUACAUAAUAACAAGACCAUGACGAUGAGGGAAUUUGACAACUUCACACAUUUUAUUCAGAGCAAAGCAACAUACCAUCAAAUUCUUUAGAUGGAGAUACUAUUAGGAAUGCCUCUGCAAGUCAAUCCUUUCUCACUAGAAGGAUAAAGCAGAGUGUAUGGCAUAUUCACAGGCCCGUAUCGGUUUCUCAAUGACUCAUCAUUGUUCCUUUCAAUGAGCUUUACCUCAAUUUCAGCCAACUUCCUUCCAAACCUCUUGAAAGCUUCUAAUGGCUGUGAAUCUGAAGUCCAAACCUCGCCUUCAUUUCUCUGUCCAAGGUAUUGCUCAUCAGAAGCAUGCCUUGAUAAGACCUCUAAGAUCGUAAGGUCAGUGAGGGUAUCAUUUUUUGGUGUGAUUGUCCUUAGAUACACCUUUUGAAAGUUCUUAGAAAGCUCGGCAUACUCAGCAGACCCUUUCUCAGGCAUGUGUCUCCGGCUUUUAGUUGGUCGGUUAAGUAUAUAUCCUCCAUAUGGAUAUUGACCAAAAUUAACAGCUGCAUGAUGUGCUGAAGCAAUCCAUAUGAGGAUAGUGCAAGCUUCAAUCAACUCUGUACAAGUUUGCAUCUUAAACCACCAUGUAGCAUUCUUCAAAUCACCAUGACCCACCUCUACAACUUCUCUCCAAAAUGCUUGCAGUUCAGAAUCUUGCGCAACAGCAGCAUCUGACGUGUAGUAGAAACUCACAUAUUCUUCAACCCAUGACUUGAUAGCAUCCCAUAUCUCUAGUCCAUCAGCAGCAUAAGGGUAGUCCUCUAUCAGAAGGCGAAUUCCAUGUGGGGAAGUUGGAUCCUCAACAGCCACUCCUCUAGAUAACAAGCAAGGAAGAUAUCAUUAAUAUAAAAAAUUAAAAAGCUUGAGAUCAGUAUCUAUUUAACCAAGAUUUUAAAUUGGUUGUAGUAUGAUCUUAGUUAUUCUAGCGAAACGCGGUAAAAUACAGUUGAUGUGGCCUCAACCAACGGUGUUUGGACAUAAAAAAACCUUGAUUUCUCGUCUUACAUUGUGGUUACUAACAUUUUUUCCAAUCCUUUUUUUUUACUAAUUAAUUUAUGUGCAGGAUCUAAUAUUUUGUAAGGUUACCUUUUCAGUAAAUCAUUAGGAAGACCGUGCUCUAUGAAAACCCAAUCCUUAUAUAAUAGAGCAGACAAUUCUAAAGAAUAACGUCCCAUCAAGAAUGUCGAUUCUAUAAUACCCUCUGCAUUAACCAAGACAUUCCUUGCAAGUGCAUUAAUGUUCAUUGUGUCACGAUAAUGUGGAAGUAGAAGUUUGUGAAUAGGGUGAACCACACUAAGAUGCCUAUUUGUUGCUAUGAUGAAUGGCUCAACAACAGCAUGAGUGUUCAACCUGUUACACAUGUAGAUAUUAAUGAAUUACUCAUAGAUUGAUGAAAUUAAAUACGUUUGAUUCUAGAAAAACUCAUCAACAUAAUUCGUACCAGUGGCUGACAAGUUGAUGAAAACAGGAGUCAUUUACAACAACGUAAGCUUUGGCAAGUAGCCAAAUAGAAGCUUCAACACCUUCACUUGCAGGCAAGUAAACAUUACUAACAGGACCAUAACUAUCUUCUUGAGGAUGUGGCUUACUUAGCUCAAUGGCCAAUGGCUUCAAAGUUCCAUCAUUUUGUAAGAAAAUGAAGGUUCUCGUAGCAUAUGCCUUUGUAUCAGUUGAGUUUAUUUUCCUCAAAUAUGGAAAUAUUGGGUCAUGGUGAUCAAGUAUGUAAAGCCUGUUGUUUUGGAUAGCCUAUUCAAAAAAAUAUAAUUUAGUCAUUGUAAUUAUUUGAAUCAUAAAUAACCACAAAAUAACAUUGGCAAAGAUGUAUAUUCAUGGUAUUAAUGUUAAACUAUGUCAUUACUUCUUCUACAGUGACCCCAUCCAUGUUUAGCUGUAACUGUUCUUCGGUUAUUGUGCUCGUAUUAUCACCGUAGAGUUGGGUAUCUAGCUUGCUCUUUGGUGGGAACUCCUACAAUAAAUAUAGAAAGUAAUAAUGAAGUUAACAAUUAAAAAUAGGAAAAUGUUAUUUCUAGCGAAGGAAAUAUGGCUGCUCCUAAUUCUUGAAGAUUUCGUGAUGCUAUCUUUCGGGAAAUAUGGUCAAAAUAAAAAUUAAAUUUUCUGUUCGCAAAGAAAUCGUUAAACUAUCAAGUUUACCUGAAGUCUUUUGAUUAUGUGUGGAUUCACACCAGCAAUCAUCUCCCUUGCAAAUUCUCCAUCAGUCAUCCAUGCAGACUGAUUAACUGCUCAAAAUAAGAGCAUUUCAAAUGAUCCGUGAUAUUUUUAUUUAUUCUAUGAAAAUAUAUUGCUAGGACUGAACAUGUGUUUCUAAUAGAUACCUUCAACCACUUUAGGUCGUGGAAACUUUAGGGCCGAUUCACCAUCAGUUCUGAGGAGUUCCUGGAACACUGGUAUGGGGCUAAUUUUGCUAAGUGCAUUAGUAGGUAAUUCAAUUCCACCAUGAUAUAAUGAACGGACAUCUUCAAAAGUGUUAAACUCUGGCUGAUUGAAUUGUAAUGUAAGUGCAGAUCGUAAUUGAGGUAUAACAUUUUGAGAUGCUGAUUUCAGUAUAUAAACAAGAAAGUCUGAAGACUUCAAGUGGCCAAAUGAUUCAUCUCUUGGAAUGUAAACAAAGUCGCUCCGACUCUCACUUUUAUCAUCUGUAACAUACAAAUAGAAGACAUUAGCAACAAGAUCAAUAUCUUUAAAAUCAUAUAGAGGAAAUGUUUUGAUCAUAGGACCUUUAACUUAAGAUAGAGCAUAAAGUUUAUCACCUUUUUUAGCAUGUUUCCUGCCGGUUCUCCCCCUUCGAGGGUAAGGCAAGUUAUUGGAUCCUCCAACAACGGGACGAGCCAAGCUUUCUUUCUUGUCAGGAUCACCCAAGUCAUUGUAAACAUCGUAGUCAUAGAUCCUAUCCGAUUCUUUGCGCUCACCCGUUCCAUCUCCUCUUAAAGUCUUCAAUUCUUCUUGUCUGUAGUAGACUAAUGGAGCUGGUGUUUCGCUUGGAAGGUACGUCUAUAUUUAUAUUUAUUUAUCGGUGUCAAAUUUUGAGAAAUAUAAUUUGUAUUAGCAUGUUAAAGAAAUAUGAUUUUUUUUCAUUACCUUGUUCGUAAAGAAGAUGCGUUUCGUUUUAUACUUUUUAGCAUUGUAAAUCCAUGAGUUGCAAACAAAGUUGAUGGUUCCAUGGAUGGGAAUAUCUUCAAGCGUCAAACUUACAAGGAAGAAUUCUCCUAGCAUGAAAUUUUCAAUAUAAAAUGCUCCUGGAAUUCCCAUCUCACUGUCCCAUUCAAAAUGAACAUCAAAUGCAGAUUGCCCUGCUCCCAAAAUUGGUAUGGAGGUAACAAGACCUUCUAAAUAUGUUUUUUUUCCCACUUUACCUUUUCCACUUCCUACAAAUAUGUCAUAAUGCUUAAUUUAUGUCAAUAUAAACAACUUAAUCUUUUCUUAUGCUAAGUGCUAAAUUUAUGUUCACCCAAGUUGCUUAGAUUAUAUCAAAGUGAAAUAAUUCCUAAUUUCCUACAUAUAUUUUAGUAAUAGUUGAUUUAUUAUUUAAAAUAAGUUACGUCAAAGUGAUAAUCACAAAAAUAAAAAUAAAAAUUUAUAAUAAAACAAAAGGGAAAAUAAAUUGAAUCUUAAUGGACUCAGGAUCAAAUUCUUGUAAAAAUUAAAAUAUAAAGACAAUUUUCAUUUGGAUCCUUUGUAAAGCCAUUCAUUUAAAAACGAUAAACUUUGAAACUUAUAUCACCUGCAGAUUUAAAAAAUGGUGAGGCCUAGGUUGCCUUUGAAAACUCAUGGGCAAUUUACCUAAACCAAUCAAAAGUUUUCAUGUGUACUCCAUUAGAAUAAUAACAUUUAUUAUUUUAUUUUGCAAAAAUUUAGCAAGUAUUUUAUUAUUUGCAUAUUCACCCCAUCUUAAAUUAAUGAUUUUUUACAAUUUAAACCAUCACAAUAAUUAAAUUUCACCUCUAAUUCAAUCACUCUCCAAACCUCUUUUUUAGCUUGGCAAAAAUCAUUAAAAAUUAAAAUUAUCACCCCUGAGAAUCAAACCUGGAUGCUCCCACCUAUUUAAAAUGUACUCUGGAACCACUUGAUCAAUACAUUUUUUAUGAAAUAAUUUGGAAUUCAAAAUUAUGUUAUUAGUGAGCAAAUUAUUUUAUUUUUAUUUGCAGUGCCUUUAUAACCUAGCUUUAGUGAGAAAAAAAAAUCAUUUUAUGUGUGUAUAAUUAUGAAGUAGUAAAUUUUUCUUAAGAAAAAUGAAUUCAUUCAAUUGAUUUUUUAUAUUUUAAAUUUCAUUCUUUUUUAUAAAUUCAUACUUUUAUAUAGAUUCGAUGACCUACGACAAUGUUUCAUUUGUGAUCCACCGAAUUAUGAUUUAUUUUAGGUACUAUUUUUCAUUUGGAUCAGAUAAAUUGUUUAAAGGUAAUAAUUUUUUUUUUUGCAAGGUCUUAUAAGUUAUAACCUAGCUUUAGUAAAAAAAAUCAUUUUAUAUGUGUAUAUUUAUGAAAUAGUAAAUCUUUCUUAAAAAAAAUAAUUCAUUCAAUUGAUUUUUUAUAUUUUAAAUAUCAUUCUUUUAUAUAAAUUUAUAAUUUUAUAUAGAUUCGAUGAACUACAACAUUGUUUCAUUUGUGAUCAAACGAAUUAUGAUUUAUUUUAGGUACUAUCUUUCAUUUUGAUCAGAUAAAUUGUUCAAAGGUAUUAUUAUUAUUAUUUUUUUUGCAGUGUCUUAUAAGUUAUAACCCAGCUUUAGUAUAAAAAAAAUAAAUCAUUUUAUAUGUGUAUAUUUAUGAAAUAGUAAAUAUUUCUUAAAAAAAAAAAAAUGAAUUCAUUCAAUUGAUUUUUUUUAUAUUUUAAAUAUCAUCCUUUUAUAUAAAUUCAUACUUUUAUAUAGAUUCGAUGACUGAUGGGAUAAAACCGCAAGUGCACGAUUCUACCAGAAUUCAGGGCAUUACAAACGCAACAUGUGGCAUAAAAACAUUACUUUAUAUGUAUAUACUAUUGAUUUUCCUGUUCAUUUAAAAUAUUUUAUUUGCUUAAUUGCACUUUUGGACCCCUAUCUUUUCAAAAGUUGCGGUUAUGGAUCCCUAACUAAUUUAAAUACAAAACAGUCCCCUAUGUUUUGAUUCUUUAGCAGUUUUGGACCCCCAAGGCAAAAAAAAAAAAAUUUGACAAGUGGCACCUCACUUAGGGUGCCACGUCAGCGUUGACCGAGUCAACAAUGAAUUGGGGUCCAAAAUUGGCAAAAAAUCAGAACAUAGGGGGCUGUUUUGUAUUUAAAUUAGUUAGGGGUCCAUAAUCGCAACUUUUGAAAAGAUAGGGGUCCAAAAGUGCAAUUAAGCCUAUUUUAUUUACUAUUUUAUCCUUUAAUAAUAUUAUAUUAAAUUUGAAUUAGAAAAAUGAAAUCUCAUUAAAAUAGGAAAUAUACCACUACAACAGGAACAAUACUAUAUAUACUUUUUUUUUUUUUUUUUACAAAAUACUAUAUAUACUAUAUAUGAAGGGAAUAGAGACUUUGGGCUGAAUUUUUUAUAAUUUCAAUUAUACCCUUUAAACAAAUUUUCCUAUAUUAAUGUUCCAUUCUUGGUGGUAUUAAAAAAAGAUAAGAAUUUAUAUUAUAUUUGUUAAACUACUGUGUUGUUGUGGUAAAAGAUAAACAUGAUUUUUUUGGGUUUGUUACAAUUUUAAUUUCACAAAUAUUUGUACUUAUAAUUUUAAUCAAAAUCAAAAUUUCAUAUAAAAUACCGUUCAUAAUUUACACAUGUCACGUGCCCGUUUUUUCGCUAGUUAUAUAUAGUAUUUAUACUAUAUAUAAAGAAAACUAUCUCUUUCAGCACUUUUGGACAGGAUUUUUCUUUCCAAAAAUACCCUUAAUUUUUAAUACAAACAACACAUGUAACAAAUAAAUAAGAAUAAAUUUAAAUAUUAAAACAAAUGUAACAAACACGAUAUGUGUGUUUGGUUUUUUUCCUUUAUCAUUUAAAAAGUGUAACAAACUAUAUGAGUAUAUUUAAUAUUUGCUUUUUUUAUUAUCCCAAUUAUACCAUUAAAACAAAAUCCAUAAUCAUCAAUCAACAACAAGAAGAUCCAACAUUUUAAAAAAUAAAUAGAUAAAUUUAAAGGAAUUUUUUUAAGAUUCUUAUGUUGUUACAUAAUAUUUGGACAAGAUUCUAAUUCUCAUUAAUCUUUUCUCCCACGUCAAGAAUAUCUCUUUGCUUCUUCUGAUUCAUAUUCAUUCAUUCCUUAUUAUUCUAAUUUUUAACUCAAUUCAUCUUCCUAUAGAUUUGCAUCGUUUUUGCUGAACCAAGAAGGACUGUUAAGUAGAAGAAUUCCAGAAUCAUAGAUGUAAUCACAAUAGUUCUCAAUGACAAUGCUUAAAAAAAAUUGAUUUUUUUCCCAAUCUAUCUCUCUCAAUCCCGAUCUACUCUCUAUCCCCUUAAACCCUUUUUUCCUAAACUAUUCCUUACCUCUCAUGCUCUCUCUUCUCCAUCGGAUACCAUUUCCCCUUCUAUCAUCUUCAUUGCAUUCUCCUCUUUCUCUUUCAUUUUUGACUUCUCAAUAAAAAAUCAAUCGCAGCUUCAAUUUUUUAUUGUCGAAUUCGAAUUCGAAUUUGGGGUGCGUGGGUUCGAUUGAGAGAGAUAGGGAUCGAGAUGAUGGAUAUAUAGACAACGGUGUUGAUGGUGGUUUUGAAAAAGAGGUUUUGAUGGUGGUUAUCUGGAUUUUCUCUGGAUUUUUUUUUAUGAAGGUGAUGAAUGAGGGAAAGAAAGAAGAUGAAGUAUGGGAUAUAAUGCUAGAUGUUGUUGGUUCACAGUAAGAUACAGUGGACAUGCAUGAUCUAACAAUCUUUCUUUAUUAAAAAAGAUCAAACGGUUUAUAUUAAAAAAAAUAAUAGGAUCUAUAGUGGACCAGGGGGUUCACCAUAGAUAUUUGAGGUUAAAGUUAAUUUAUUUGCAAACUGUGGGAAAAGUGAAGGACUAAAACGUGAGUUUUAUUAAUUGUGAGACCAAAAUAAAACCAAAGAAUUAAAUAAGCCUUUUUUUUUACUAAAGCUAAGUUAUAACUUAUAAGACAUUGCAAAAAAAAAAAAUUAAUACCUUUAAACAAUUUAUCUGAUCCAAAUGAAAAAUAUUAUCUAAAAUAAAUCAUAAUUUGGUUGAUCACAAAUGAAACAUUGUUGUAGUUCAUCGAAUCUAUAUAAAAGUAUGAAUUUAUAUAAAAGAAAGAUAUUUACAAUAUAAAAAAUCAAUUGAAUGAAUUUAUUAUUAUUUUUUAAGAAAGAUUUACUAUUUCAUAAAUAUACACACAUAAAAUGAUUAUUAUUAUUUUUACUAAAGUUAAAUUAUAAGUCACUGCAAAAAAAAAAAUAAAAAAAAUUGCUCACUAAUAACAUAUUUUUGCAUUCCAAUUUAAUUCAUAAAAAAUGUAUUGGUCAAGUGGUUUGGGAAAACAUUUCAAAUAAGUGGGUGCAUUUAAGUUCGAUUCCCACGAGUGAUAAUUUUAAUUUUUAAUGAUUUUUGCCAAAUUGUUCAACUAAAUUUGAAUGAAUGCAUGAUCUUUGGCAUUAAAUUCCAAAUUUGAUAAAAAAAAAAGAGAGUGAUUGGAUUAGAGGAGAAAUUUAAUUAUUGUGAUGGUUUAAAUUGUAAAAAAUCAUUAAUUUAAGAUGGGGUGAAUAUGCAAAUAAUAAAAUACAUGCUAAAUUUGUGCAAAAUAAAAUAAUAAAUAUUAUUAUUCUAAUGGAGUACAAAUGGAAAAUUUUGAUUGGUUUGGGUAAAUUGUCCAUGAGUUUUUAAAGGUAAUUUAGAAAAAACCUUAAAAAAUUGGUCUGUUACUUGUUUAGCGUACAAUUUAGCGACCGAUUUCAAAGUUUGGUAAAAUGCAAAGUUCACUAAAAUUGUGAAAAUGCUACCACGUUUUUUUCCCCCUCAUCUCAAUUAUCUACUGAUGUGAAAUGUUAUAUGUUAUUAGGAAUUCUCUCAGGUACUUAUGGGUCUGUUUGGUUAACCCCAAAAAAGAGCUUUUAGCUUCUAGCUUAUAGCUUAUAAGCUCGUUUGAUAAAAAAAACUCUGUUUGGUAACACUUUUUUACCAUGAGCUUAUAGCUUAUUUCACGAGCUUAUAAGCUAUUUUUCAGAAGCUAUUCCAAGUAGCGUUUGAGCUUAUAGCUUAUAGCUUCUCACUUUUUCUUCCAAUUUUACCCUUAUUAUUUCAUUUAAAUUGUAUUUUUAUCCAUUAUAAUUUUUAUAAUAAGCUACGUAAUAAAGACUACUAUCCCUUUAUUCCAAUUUUUGUAUAUAUAUCAGCUGGCCUUUUUUUUUUUUUUUGAAAAAAUAUAUACCUUCGUUUUUUUUUUACGAAACAAAAUAUUAUUAUUCUAUUAGUGUUACUUUUUUUUUUUUUUUGAGAUAAGUGUUAUUUUCUUUAUUCUCUGUUAUUAUUAUUACUCUAUUAGUGCUACUUUUUUUUUUUGUUUUUGAGGUAAAUGUUAUUUUUUUUAUAAAGUGGAAACACUUAAAUGAUAAUAAAUAUAAGAUAAAAUUUUAGUGAAUAAAAUUUAAUUUAAUUUAUAAUACAUAGGAUAUAUUAAAUUAAUAAAUUUAAAGUAUUUUUUUAAAGAAAAAUUAGUUUACAAAAUUACAAAUACUUAAAUUAAUGAUAUAAUUUUUAUUAUGAAUUAAGAAUACCCUUUAUGUCAUUUUACAUUUAUCAGCUAGUUGAACCGCUAUUUUUACCAAACACUUCAGUUAGCUUAUCAGCUAUAAGCUAUCAGCUAGCUUAUCAGCUAAAAGCUAUCAGCUAACUUAUCAAUUAUCCGCUAUUUUUACUAAACAGAGCCUAUGUCCACCGAUGUGAAAGGCAAACCAAAGUUUACUAAAAUUUCAAAAUUGUCACUGUGUGCAUCUUUCCCAUUAGGUAUUUUCUGUGCCGAUGUGAAAACCCCUGUUGUAAGAUGUAUAUUUUCUAGUAGUGGUUAUGCCAGCUUGUAGCCUUAGAUCUCUCCAAGGAAGAAAAAAGCUACUAAAAAAACUUGAAUUAGUAAGAAGAACUUUAGAGGAAAAAAAUCUCCCUAAAUUUAGUGACCAAAGUAUAGGGAAAAAAAAUAUUUUUCCAUCACUAAUUUUCGUCCCAAUUUUAUUUGUUUUAUUUUUAUAGUGAAAAUUCUACCUCAUAUAUUAACAAAAGAAUAAAGUUUAAAGGAUCAUCAAAUCAUCAGCACAUUAUAUCUUCACCUAAAAUCAUAAGACACUUACUAUAUGAAUCACUUUUUAUAUGGCAUUUGUUAAGAUAGACUCAUUUAAUUUUUAGAAGUACUACUUUAACAAGUUAAAACUAAAAUAAUAUAUAAAACAAGGGUUUAAGUUAGCAACUUUUGCAGGCAUUUGUUAGAAUAUAUUCACUCAUUUUUUUAAGGGACAUCCACUCAUUUUUUUUUUAGAAGGACUAUAUGUUAGAAGUGAUAAUGAAAAAUUUGUUAAUUAUACACACAGUAAGGUGCAUGUUGCUAAAAUACUCCAAAAAGCUUCCCCCAAACACAUAUUUCAAGGUGCAAAGUUCAAAUUCUUUUAGGAGAGUUGUAAAAUGAUCAUUAGUGUCGAGUAGUAGUAUGAAAGAUUAAGAAGUAAUUACCAUCAACAUUGGUAGCACUAAUCAACCUGAGAGCCACUGAACGGCCAAAGGAGGAAGUGUAGGUAUCAAUUAUAGAGCUAGUGAUAUCACCAACAACAUUGAAUCCACCUUUGAUUAAACCAGUGGCACUUUGAGCUGCAGUGAUUUCGUUGAUAUCCAAUACAUUCUUAUGCAUCAAUAUCACUGUCCCCUUCACCUUUUGGCCUCUGUUAAAGAUACUUUUCACCCCUGAAUACAUCUUAGUAAUUUACUGCUUUUAAUUUUGUAUUCUUUUGCAAAUUAAUGAAAGAAAAGUUUGUGGUUUGCAUGUUGCAACCAUCUCAUUAUUUAUAGGGCCAAAUUAAUGUUCUGAUUCAAAACUAUAUUAUUUUUUUAGAGACUGAUUCAAAUCAUAUGAGUCAAUGUUCUUUCCAUAUUUUAUCCUCAUCCAAAAUAAUUGAUCUACUUGUAAAAAAAAAACAUUUACCAAAAUAAUUUAUCUUUUUCAAUUUGCAUGCAACAUUAACGACUUCUUUUCUACUGUACAAUGGAAUUAAUAUCAUCAAUUUCAACUCAAUAUCUUCAAUUUUUUAUAUAUAUGGUAAAAGUUAAUACAUGAUAAAAGUACUUCAUUAAAAGCAAUCUUCUCUUUACUUUUAACAUAGGUGCAGUUUUUUUUUUUGAAUGAACAUAGGUGCAGUGUUAAAAAAAAAUGGAGUAUUCCUUAAACGAAUUAGUUGUCUUUUUUUAUGUGACUAAAAUGAAGUCGUCUUUGUUUAAACAUACUCUUCUCACAGAAGAUAACCAUGGUUCAGUGCAAUAAUAAUAAUAAUAAUAAUAAUAUUAGCAAGAGGACGUUGAGGACUAUAAUUUGAGAGGUAGGUAGGCGAAUUUACCGGGGCAAUAAUGCAAUGAGAAGAGCACCCAAUUGCAGUGCUUGGCCCCAAAGAUGUUCAAAACUAGACUAUUAGUGUGUGAAGAGAAAAACAAAAGAAGAAAAACAUGAUUUCUCAGUAUGUCCAGUUAUAUUCAAAUUUGUUAUAAUACAAUGUCAAUUGUUGAUUGAAACUAGAGAUUAGUUCAGGUAGCAGAUGAUGUCCUCGAUUAUGAUUCUCUUUCUUUGCACGAUUGACGUUGAGGAAAGAAUUUUCUCCCUCAGCUACGGGUUCCUGAAAUUAUUUAGUAAAAUGUUAAAUAGAGUUGUGUUUUUGGCCAAGAAGUGUAUGUAAACUAAGAUAAAGAGAUAAUGAUAAAUGGAUAAAUUAGCGAAAAAAAUAGCUUGUGUUUGAUUGUGUGUUGACUGUUAACUCGGUCUAAAGUCUUCAAGGUUGAUGUACUAGCCAAUAGACUCGAGAAAGAAUCGACCAACCCUCUUUCGGCUAAAAUAACACUUGCAUAACCUUCUAUCGGCUCGGAAAAUUCUCCCAACCAAAUGUCAUUUUGUGUUGCGUUAUCACUUGAAUUUCGAGUGAUGAGAUGACGCAACGUAAUUGAAAUGGUUACGAACAAUAUCAUCAUUACGUCAUAAAAGUAGAAAAGUAGUCGUUGGGAUGAAUCAAUUUGAGAUCUUUUGUGUAAAAGUAUUUCAUUACUCUCAUUUUUUUUUGGGUAUAAUUACUCUCAUUUUAACGUCUUCUACUUAUAUAUAUGAUUAAAUUUUGAUACAUUAAUAUGAGAAGAGUACUUUAUUAAAAAUAAUUUUAUCUCUCUUUCAUUUAUACAUUGUUCUUCAUCCAUGUGAAUUAGUUAACUAAAUCGGUUAUUUAUGAGGGAGAGAGUAUUUUUCUUUUGAACUAUAAUAUUUAUUUUGUGUAAACCUUCUGAUUUUGGGAAAAUAAACCGCUUUUUUUUUUUUAAAUAAAACUCUAAACUCCAGUUUUCAGUACGUAGGUAAGUUUGAAAUCAUCAAUUGAUCAUUGACAUGCAAAAACUAUUAGCAUGAGGCUAAGCGUGGCAGAUAAAAUAACAAUGAAUUUGUUUAAAAAACAGUAAUAAAGUACUGAAGGUAAAAUACUUUAUCAUAAAAAAAUAUAAUAAUAAUAUAUGUUGAUUGAUCAUAUUUUGACAAAUAGAUCUAUUGAGCUAUUGUUAAUUACAUUCUUACGUGUAUACAAAUAAAAAUAUUCCCUGUACGAGGUUGUCUUUUUUGUUUUUGAUUUUGAUGGUACGAGGUCGUCUUUCUUUCUUUUGUUUAAACAUACUACUUUUCUCACAUAAGGUAACCAUGGUUCAAUGUAAUAAUAUCAAUAAUUGUACAAGAGUUAAUUUAACCGUGCGAUUAUUGCACAUUACGAUGCUCUCCAUUUUCAAUUGUCACUAUUUACUUGUUAACAAAAUUAAAAAUAGUAGAAGUAGGACUAUACUAGAUUCAAUAAUAUUUUAACUUUUAAAAAAUUAAAUUCAUUAGUUUUGACCGUUUCCUAAUACAAUAUAUUGAUAAAUCCUUAAUCAAUGUCUUAAAUACACUUUUUAGUAUUUUUCUUAAAUUAAAUAGUAGGUCAUAUCAGAUUUUUAAAAUGUCACAUUCAAACCUAAAUAAUAAACCUACGACACGCCACAUGCUAGACAUUGAUCUUAAAAAUUUUGGUAGAUUAGACUUAGAUUUUGCAAAAUUUAGUUCGGCCUAACCUAUUAUAUUUUGAAGAUUGCUCUAAUCCAUGUCCUAAUUAUUCAUCCCAUUAAUUCAGCUGUUCAAUAUUUUUCAACGGCAAUUACUGCUACGGGCAUUUUUAAGACCAGUUCAUUUACUUUUUAAAUUGUUUUAAUAGCAAUUUUCAUUAUUAUAUGUACCCCAUAUACGCUUCCCAUGACGUCCAACGCUGACAGCAGCAUGCAAGUGCACUUCACGUGAUCUUGUUCCUUAUUGCAUAGUUAGUUUUUUAUUUUCUAAUUUUACUAUACCGAACUCUAACAUUUUCACACUCAAAGUUCUUGCCCUGUCUCCCGUUUUUUUCUUUUCUUUUUUUAACAAAAACAACUUAUAUAUUUUCAUUCAUCAAAUCAAAUUGAAAGUAAUACAAGAUGGAAUUAAAUAAAAGAUAUGAUGCCGAAUAUACAUAGAUGUGAUAUAAGAUAGAAUAACGAGCAUAUAAUUAUAACACUUAAUAAUAUAUGAGUGACAUAAUUUGUUUGUGUUCAAGCUAAACUCAUCUUAAAGUUUUGAAACUGUUCUACUAAUAAUUUAACUGUGCGAUUGCGCAUUACGAUGCCCUCCAUUUUCAAUUGUGACUAUUUCCUUCAUCGCUCAUAUGAAUUAGCUGUUAAAAGGUAGGUCGUAUCAGACUUUCAAAAUGUCAUAUUUAAACCUAAAAAAUAAAUUUAUGAUAGACCGCAUGCUAGAUACAGGCCUUAAAUUUUUUAACAGAUUAUCCUUAAGUCUUGCAAAAUUUAGUUCGACCUGCCUAUUUCAAAAAUUGCUCAAAUCUAUUUCAUAAUUGUUCAUUCGCUUAAUUCAUUGGAAGUUAACUGUUGCUCGAUAUUUUUCAGCGGCAGUUCAGAUCGGUUUAUUCAUUUUUUAAGUUGAUGUAAAUAGAAAUAUGUACCCCAUAUUCGCUUCCCAUGACGUCCAAUGCUGAUAGAAGCAGCAUGCAAGUGCAAGUGUAUUAUAUUACCGUAUAGUCGCUUGAAAUGAAACCACACACUUCACGUGAUCUUAUUCUUUAUUGCAUUCGUUUUUUCUUCACUAAUUUUACUAUCCCAAAACUCUAACCUUUUCACACUCAAAGUUCUUGCCCUCUCUCCCUCUUUUUUGUUUGACCAAAAGCAACUUAUAUUUUUUCAUUCAUCAAAUCAAAUUGAAAGUAAUAUAAGAUAAAAUUAAAUAAAAGAUAUGAUAACAAGCAUACGAUUUUAACACCCUUAAUAAUAUAUGAGUGACAUAAUUUGUUUGUGUUCUUGCCAAAUUUAUCUUAAAGUUUGGAAAUUGUUCUACUUAUAUCUACAAUUGGACAAAAUACCGUCAAACUUCGAUUGAUUGCUAGAAUUAUCCAUGAUGUCUUCUGCCACUAACUUACAAUCUAGUUCAAUUUUCACGGUUGAUAAUCCUAAUUCUCGAACAUUCAUAGUGAUAUGUCCGGUGAAGAUGAGAUAAAUAUGGGGGUGGUUCUCUCCGGGAACUGCAUUUGUUCUCCGGAAAUUUUUCUUUAAGUUGUAAAUAGAUCAUUUAAGUUGUAUAUUUAUCGCACUCUUAUCCUUUUAAAGAUUUGUUUGAAACUUAAAAACUUAAAAAACUUCAUAUAGGUGUAUUAAAUUAACAAUUUAAAAGAUCUAUUUGAAUUUUUUAAAAAAAAAAAAACAAAAAAACUUAAAGGACAUAUUUAAACCUUAAAAAACUUAACUGAUCAACCUAAUAUUUUUGUCAAACUCAUAAAAAAGCGUUCAUGGCAUACGGUGUUUUCCUUCCAUAAAAAUAAAAAAUAAAAAAUAUCUGAAUGUAUUUUUGUUUUACAAAACUCACAUGGCAUGUUGUAGGAGAUUUGAGAUGUGUGUGGGGGUGGGUGUAAAAUUCCAUAAACCUGAUAAAUCAAAAUUGUUAAAAGUGAGAGUAAAUUGGAAUGGAAAAUUUAAAAAUUGUGGAAGUGGGGAACCACGUAAAAAUAAACUUUUCCAACUUAAACCAUAUGAUAAUUUCUUAAUCUGUCCUCUCAUGUUAUCAGCAGUACGCUUUUAAUAGUGUUUUAUAUUUGAAAUAUACUGCCAGAAAUACAUUUAUGAUAAUAUAAAUUGAUAGAUUUAAGCAAUAUAAGAAGAUUCAUAAAUUAUCAAAACAUGCGCAAUGCUAAAGCCCACAACAUGCAGAUGCACAAAGGAGGAUUCGAUUUGUAGUGCAAAGUUGUUGGGGCAAUGAAAAUCGGAUUUAAUUUGUAUGUAUAGAUAGUAUAAAACUUGUUUACACAUGUAUCAAAUCAAAUUACGCCAUUAAAAUAUUUAUGGAGAUAUUUAAACAAUUCACUUAUAAAAACGACACUUUAUUCUAAUUUGAUUGGAUGGAUAUAUAAAAAGAAAUUACACUACUUGUUCAGAAAAAAAAAAAGAAAUUACACUAUCGGUGCAUAGAAAUGACACUCAUGAAAAUUACCCUUCCUACCAAACAGUAUAUAAAGUCUCUAUAUUAUUGCCAACAACCAUAAAUUAUUGAGGAGGUAGAGGUUAGCCAUUUUAGCACGUUUGUGUUAUUGAGAUAACAAAAUUGAAAAAAGUCAAAAAUUGAGUUAUUUAAAAUGUAGUAGAUUUUGAAAGAAAGAAAAAAAGUUCCAAUGAACUCAAAUUUUUGAGUUUUUGAGAUAACCAAUUAAAAUUGUUCUUGGGACGUAAAACACGCUGAGUAUUAGGGGUGUUCAAAUCCAUACCAAUCCAAAAUAAAACCGCAAACUGAUCCAAAAAAACCGAAAACCGCAAAAAACCAAAUAUUUUUGGAUGUGUUUGGAUGUUGUUUUGGAAAAACCGCUAUGAUCGGAUCGGAUUUCGGAUUGCGUUUUCAAAACCAAACCGAACCGCAAAAGUAAAUUUUUAUACUUAUUUAUUAUUUUAUUAGUAUUAUAUAUUGCACUAAUAUAUUGCUUAUUGAUAUUUAAUCUUAUAUAUUGCAUUAAUUUAAUCUAUAUUAUUACUACUUCAUCUAUUUCAAAUAUAAUCAAUCAUUUUUAUUGUGUAAUGUUAACUUUUUAAAUAAAUUUGUGUCAUAUUUUGUAUCAAACCUAUUAUUUUAUUGUGUAUGAGUAAUAUUAAUAUUUAAAAAAAAAAUUACAUGUUACACUUUGGAUAUCCAAAAACCGAUCCAAAUUAAACCGCAUAUAUUUGGAUCGGAUCGGUUCGGAUUUUUUUAACAUAAUCAUCCAAACCGAACCGAACCGCACGUGAUUUUUAUUUUGGAUCGGUUGAUUUUUAACCUCAAAACCGAUCCAAACCGGACCGCGAACACCCCUACUGAGUAUGUAAGCUUAAUAUUGUUUUUCUUUUACAAAAAGUAAAUUUAAGGGGGUGUUUCUAUCAAGUAUAAUAUUUACAUUUAUGGGAAUACAUAGGUACGGAAUGAGUAUAUCCAUAUUUUUUAUAAGAUUGAGAAAUCAUUAUUCUUAGGUAUCUAAGGUUCUUAGGAAUGAAAUAACUUUUCUUAACUUUAAACAAUCUUACGAAAUUAUUCCCAAGGUAAAGGAUGGAAAAGUAGGUUCCCAUCAAAUUUUGUACACUUUUUUUCUAAAAGAAUAUAACUUGCAAUUCCCCUAGGAGUGUUCAAGAGUGUGCCAAACAUUUUUUUUUUUUUUUAAAUACCCAUGAAUAGAACUCCCGUCAUGAUAUCUUUAACUGUGAUUCCCUUUCUUCAAGCGAUUAAUGGUGAGGAUGGAACUUUGUUUUUAGGUUUUUUUUGCUACUAGACUAGUUGGAAAUGCAUGUAAAAUAACAACGGCAGAAAAAUAAAAGUGAUAAAAUAGGGAAAAUAGUUUGUGAUUGAUUGAUUAUGUGUUAAAUACAUUGUAUAGAGUAUGUACUUAUAGGCAAAACUAUUUCUACUGGCCACAAGAUAUUACCUACAGUGUUUAACCUUGUUCGACUAUUUUCACGAGUAAGCAUCAGCUUUCCCACGCUCGACUGUCAGCUUCCCAAUUAAUGGCAUGACAUGUUGACAAGGUCCAUAAUGUUUAGUACCUCAUUGUCCAGAUCUGCUUGAGCUUUGACUCAAUAUGAUGUCUUCAAGACAAUCGACCUACCCUUGUUUGGCUAGAAUAACACUUGCAUAGAUUUCCAUCGCUUGUCUAUUGAUUUCAGCUAACAUGACAUAUAUAAUUACUUUUAGGUGUAAACAUAUGCUUCCUUGCGUUGCAUUUUCGAUUGGCUUCCAAGUGAUUGGGAUGAUGCAACAUAAUCGAACUGAUUGCGCGUGAACAAUGCGAUCUUUUAUGAAUGGAUAUGAACUAAUAACCCUGUCAAUCCAAUAACUCCAACGGUUACCGCAGUUUUCUCAAUUGGUAUGGUGAUAUCUUCGCCUAUUUGAAAGACGAUCUUUACGUAUAAAUAACUUUUUAUAGACCUGGAUUAUUCCCCAACUUUUCACCCUUUGUCGUUCUUUUUAUGUGGCUUCCUAUCCACUAAAUAAUUCAUGACUAUUACUUUUUCUACCCUGCUGCCUUCUCGCGCGCCCUGCAAAAUUUACUAAAAUACCCCUGGUCCGGAUUACAUAAUCCGGAGCAAAUUGUUAGUGAUAUCCGAAAAACGAAAUUCGGACCAGAUGUUAUGCGUUUUUUUGUGUCUUUCUUUGAUGUCAAGGGUUUCUGUUGACCGUUAUAUGAACCCCACACAAGUUGCAAUGUUAUUCCAGGGUUCAUACGAACAGUCAAUAAUGACCAUGACACCACUAACACCCCAAAAAAACUAAAAACAUUUGAAGAAAAUGGAAGAAAAGAGGUGAAAUGAAGAAUGAAGGUAUUUGUUGAAGAUGGAAGCAUGUUUAUAGCCUAAAACAAGUCCUAGGUCAUUAGUACAGUAAAUGAAAACGUGUUAGUGGUUGUAACCGUCCAAACCCACAUUAAUGGCUCUCUUUCAAAAGAAUCCAAUGCUGAAGCUUUCAAGAUUUUACAUUCCGGAAUAACCUUAGCCCUACAGAAAGUGCCAACUUUUCCCUUGUUCACCAUUAUCGCAUUAAUCCGGAAAAUAUAUUCCGGAAAACAAAGGUGCAUUUCAGAUUUUAUUUUCUGGAAUGCAACAAUGUCAUGGCCAGUGGUCUGCACCACACAUUUUUGUCGAUGGUCAGGUAAUAAAAAACGUGUUUUAUCACGUUUUUUGACUGCAUUUAUGGUCUCCCAACCGUUUUUGCCCCUCCCUAUAAAUAACCUUCCAAACCCCACAAUUUCUCACACCAUCCUCUCUCACCCUCUCCUCCUCUUCUUCCUUCUAAAACCAUCGUUUUUCAUCGUUGGCCUUUCAUAGAUAAGGGUCUCGUUGAAAACUUUCAAGGUUUGUAUGAACGGUCAAUGUGGAUGGAACAGUGCUGCAACGAAGUGCGGUUCAUCUGAGGGUCAUGUGGGUCAGUGUGGUUCUUAGCUUGGCCUAUCUGGGCGUAAGUUUCAGCACCCCCACCUCCCUCAGGGACAUUGUUUUCUUCUUCCUGCCUUCCUCUUCCCUCCUCCUCCUCCGGUUUUCCUCCAUUAGGGAACCUACUGCUAUGUCCUAUCGCAUAGUAGUGAUUAGGAUCUUAGGAGAUUAGAAUUAGGCUCUUAGGAUAUUAGAAAUAGAUUUAGGAUCUUAUAUAAUAAGCUUAAAAAGCUUGAAAAUUAUUGUAAUGUAUAGUUCAUAUAUUAAUAAAAUGAGUUAUUUUUAUGUUUGUGUCCUUUUAUUUCUGUUUUUUAUUUUAUUUUACGAAUUGUAAAGCUUAAAAUUGCAAAAGUUAUGGUAAAAUAUUAUUCCGGAUUUUCAAAUCCGAUUUAAAAAUACAUUCCGGAAAACGAAAUUCGGACCAAGGGUAAAAUUGAAAAAAAAAAAAAAAAAGGGUGUGCAAGGAAAGAUAUAGGGUGGAAUAGGUAAAACUCACAAUUCAUUUUGGUGCGUCCUUCAACCCUCAAACCCAAUAGUCAGAGAGCUUUGCCAAUGAUUAUUCUCUAGUUUUACACCCGAUAAUUUUCUUAAUCUUGUCAUUUUCAAGAUAAAAGACCACUAAUUCAGAAAACGAGAAUGAGAAGGGAAGUGGCAAACGAACUUUGACUCGUAAAGGCAAAUUAAAGCAUGACAAUGUCUAGAUAGGGGAAACUUAAAUUCCUAACAUUUCAUGGGAAGGUAAUAAUUGUCUCAAUCGAUUUCCAGAACUAACACUUCCUUCAUUUACUAAGUAAUUUCUUAUCCUUGUUUUUAAGAGUCUUUGUGCAAUUUUAUUUAAGGAUUUUUAGAAAAUUCUAAGGAGGUGCUGAUAGUUUAGUGAAGAGUCUAUGAUGUUUAGAGAAACCAUUUUAAGUCUUGUAUUUUCCUACCUAGACAACUCUAUAAAUGUCAUAAGUCUUUUUGUUAUAGACGCUAUGAGUUGAUUUUAUCACUAUGACUAGAAAAACUCAUUGGAUUAGUAUUGAAUGAUCAACUUCAAUGAUGUUGUUUGAACUAUAUGUAAUCGAUGAUGUCCUCUAUUAAUGCAAUCUGAAAUAUGCUUAUAAGGUAUACCUUGUGCUUAAUGAUUUUCAAUGCCUGAUAAACUCUGAAUUGAUUUUAAUUUAUAGUUCACAAUCAACACUUGUUUUUGUAACACGAACUAGGUAGUGUUCUUUAAUCAAUUUAUCUAGACAUAAGGUAUUAAUUAGUAUGGUCGGUAGUUUAACUGUCAAUGAAUCUUUUGAUAAAAUUAGUUUCACCUAAGAAAUUAGGGUUCUAUUUUAGAUAAAUGGGACGUCGAGGCAAGAAAUUGGUCGUGGUCUAUUUCUUUAAACUGUUGUGAACAUAGAAAUCAAAUUGUUAUUGUCUAGGAACUAGUAUUAUCAAAGAAAAUCUUUCUAUAAUUUAAUUUGCGAAACCAAAUCUUACGAAAACUCCCCCCAAUUUAACUUUUUAAUAAGUAUUGUUUAAUUGUCAAGUAUAAACAAUAAUAUUUGUGGAGAGGGAUCUUUAUAAACACUAUUACUUGAUCUGCCAAAGAGUCCAUCAAGCUUUUGGCGCCAUUGUUAGGGAAUCGUUGAUGAUCUCAACAAGGUAGCUACGCUCUACUUACAUGAUUUGUUUUUUUUUGUAAUUUAUUAUAAAAACAUAAAAAUAUUUACUUUUGGCUCUUUAAUCUUAGUGUGUGUUGUGCUAAAUAAAUAUUCUUGAGUGUUGUUAUGCGAGGUGGAAGCUCAGGUACCUUGUUAUUUGAUUCUGAGGUUGAGAAGAUUACAAGAGAAAACCAGAAAGAUUCUUUUUCUAUCUCAGUACCCCUCAAAUAAUCUAAAAAUACUAUCAGAGGGAGAACAUAGGCAUGGUUAGAGAUGGUUUAGCAAAGGAAACUCAAGUUUGAGUUUUCCCCCCAAAAUCCUAAAAUACUCUUUUUUUCCUUAUUCUUUUUUUUCUUCCAGAAUUAAUGAACGAUGGUGUGCAAGUCCUAUAUUUCACCACUUAUAUGUCACGCAGGUUCUAUUGUAACUUCUUUCAUUUAUUACUUUCGUUGUUCUUUUGCUUGAUCUAUUCUUUUUUCCAUGUCUAUUCUCUGUUCCGAUUUGUUUUGAUUUUGUGAUCGAUAUUAUCUCUACUGUUACUUCUUUCGGUUAUUGUAUCCCUUGGUGUUUGAUUAUGUUUCACAUUGAUAAACUUAAUAGUGUUUUUACUUUUUACUUGUUGAAGAGCUUACAUUUGUGUCUAUAGAGUUCUAUUGGAAGUAAAUUGUUUAUUUUUAUGUUUUCUUAUAUUUUUGUUUGUUUUUGUAUUCAACUUGGCUAUUGUAAUCACACCUCUGUUUCCGGUAGCUGAAUUAUUAUUGUCUAAAUUUGAUCAAAGGCAACCUAGCAAUUGAAUAAUCGAGCCUUGUCGGAAAGUGUCAUUGUCACCACUCAAUGGAUGAGAAACCAACAAAAAAGCCGGAUUAUUAGAAGAAUGAAUGUGAAAGAAUUGUUACCAAUCAUGGAAGUCAUGGGAGGUACAUAAAGUUCAACAAGAUCACAAAAGAAUAGCGUGAGAAGGAGAAAAAAGUUGUGCGAGAAAUCAGAGAGAAUUGAGGAAAAACUCAGUUGAUACCAUAUUUGAACCAUAUGAGACAAUUGAUUCCUGAAAUAAAAACAUUAAGGCUGCAUUUGAUACAAGAGGACUAGAAUGUUACAAGGUACAAACAGACACAAUAAUUCUUAUUGAUGUAAAGUAAAACAUUAACAAUAAAACAAACAUACAUAAUAACAUGAUCGUAAGUAGGAAGUGAGGGAAUGGAAUUCCUUCACAUCUGUUAUUCAAAGCAGCAACACAACAACCAUGAUCCACUUUAGAUGGAGAUACUAUUAGGAAUGCCUCGGCAAGUCAAUCCUUCCUCACUAGAAGGAUAAAGUAGAGUAUAUGGCAUCUUCACUGGUCCGUACCGAUUUCUCAAUGUCUCAUCAUUGUUCCUUUGAGUGAGUUUCUGUUCAAUUUCAGCCAACUUCUUUCCAAACCUCUUGAAGGCUUCUUUUGGUUGUGAAUCUGAAGUCCAAUUGUCACCUUCAAUUCUAUCUCCAAGGUAUUGCUCAUCAGAAGCAUGCCUUGACAAGACCUCUAUAAUGGUCAAGUCAGUAAGUGUAUCAUUCUUUGGUGUGAUUGUCCUCAAAUAAGACUUCUGGUAGUCCUUAGCAAGCUCAUCAUACUCAGGUGAUCCUUUCUCAGGCAUGAAUCUUCUACUCUUUGUUGGCCGGUUAAGGAUAUAUCCUCCAUAUGGAUAUUGUCCGAAAUUAACAGCUGCAUGAAGUGCUGAAGCAAUCCAUAUAAGGAUGGUGGAAGCUUCGAUCAACUCUUCACGGGUUUGCAUCUUAAACCACCAUGUGGCAUUCUUCAGGUCACCAUGACCAACCUCUACAAGUUCCUUCCAGAAUGCUUGGAGUUCAGCAUCUUGUGCAAUGGCAGCAUCAGACUUGUAAUAGAAAUUCACAUAUUCACCAACCCAUGACUUAAUGGCAGCCCAUAUUUCUAGUCCAUCAGAAGCAUAAGGAUAAUCCUCUAUCAGAAGGCGGAGACCGGUAGGAGAGGCUGGAUCCUCAACAGCUACUCCUCUAAAUAACAAGCAAGGAAGAAAUAUUAACAUACAAAAAAUAUGUUCUAUGGAGUUAUUAUUAAUUAAAGUGAUUUUAAUGAUCAUUUUACAACUGUUUUAGAGGAGAUUUAAGCCCGUAUAACAGAAAUUAUUAGUUAGAGUUUGUUGAUAAAAAAUUGACAGACCAAAGAUGUAAGGUUACCUUUUGAUUAGAUCGUUAGGUAGUCCUUGCUCAAUGAAAUUCCAAUCCUUGUAAACAACAGCAGACAUUUCCAAAGCAUAAUUUCCCCACAAGAAGGUUGAUUCUAUAAUACCCUCUGCAUUGACCAAGACAUUUCGUGCAAGUGCAUUUAUGUUCAUUGUGUCACGGUAGUGAGGAAGUAAAAGUUUAUGAAUAGGGUGAACCACACUAAGAUGCCUGUUUGUUGCUAUGAUGAAUGGCUCAACAACAGCGUGGGUGUUCAACCUGUCACACAUGUCGAUAUUCAUGAAUUAAUCAUAGAUAGGUUAAUUAUGUUUGAUUGUGUAUACGUGAUUAAUGAGAUUCAUACCAAUGGCUGACAAGUUGAUGAUAGCAGGAGUCAUUUACAACAACAAAAGCCUUGGCAAGGAGCCAAAUUGAAGCUUCAACACCUUCACUUGCGGGCAAGUAAACAUUGCUAACAGGACCAAAACUAUCACCUUGAGGGUGUGGCCUGCUUAGUUCAAUGGCCAGUGGCUUCAAAGUUCCAUCAUCUUGCAAGAAAAGUAUGGUUCUGGUAGCAUAGGCCUUUGUCUCGGUUGCAUUUAUUUUCCUCAAAUAUGGAAAGAGUGGGUCGUGGUGAUCAAGUAUGUACAAUCUAUUGUCUUGGAUAGCCUGUAUGACAAAAUAAAAUUUAGCUACUGUGGUUUACUUGAAUAAAAAAAAUUCAAUCAUGGAGAAAAAUAUUAAUCAAACUAAGUCCAUGAGGUGUCAACCCAGUGGUUAAAGUCGACCUUAUAACCUCAAGGGAUAGAUUUCAAAUUUUCUCCCGGACGAAAUUCACGAACGCCACUUUGGAAAAAAAUAGAACUGAUCAAAUAUGUCAUUACCUGUUCUACGGUGACCCCACCCAUGUUUGGCUCCAAGUUUUCUUUGGUUAUGGUGCUGGUAUUAUCACCAAAUUUUUGGCUAUCUAGCUUGCUCUUUGGUGGAAACUCCUGUAUUAAAUUUAGCAAGCAAUAAUGUCACCAAUUACAAAAAUAACAUAAUGUUUACAAAAUAGUCUUAGUUUUAUUUUUUUAAUUUCUUAACAAAGUUAAACUAUUAGCUUUACCGAAAGUUUUUUGAUGAUGUGUGGGUUCACCCCAGCAAUCAUCUCCCUUGCAAAUUCCUCAUCAGUCUGCCAUGCAGAAUGGUCCACUGUUCAUAUUAAGAAAUUUUCAAAAGAUCCAUUAGAUUUCUUUAUAUGAUUUUGUAUAAAUAUAUUACUGCAAGGACUAGGUAUUAUGAUUAAUAUAUACCUUGAAUCACUUUUGGUGGUGGAAACUUAAGUGCUUGUUCACCAUCAGAUCGGAAAAGUUCCUUGAACAAUGGUAUUGGACUAAUCUGGCUUAGUACAUCAGUAGGAAGCUUAAUUCCACCCUCGUAGAGAGAGCGCACAUCUUGAAAGGUGUUAAACUCAGGGUUAUUGAGUUGUAAUGUAACUACAGAUCUCAGUUGAGGUAUGACAUUUUGAGAUGCUGAUUUGAGUAUGUAAACAAGAAAGUCUGAUGACUUUGUGUGUCCAAAAGAUUCAUCUCUUGGAAGGUAAACAGUGGGACUUCGAGUCUCACUCUUAGGAUCUGUUCAAAUAUAUAAUAACAAUAUAUGUUUUAGAAACAAUACCAAAAUCUUUAGAAUCAUAAGCAGGGUAAACAUUUGGAUCAACCAAAAAAACACAUGUUUAGUCCAAAAUCUGACAGAAGUGUUUGUGGCCUAACCUGUUUUAGUUUUUCUUCUGCCAGUUCUUCCCCUUCGAGGGUAAGGGAAAUCGCUUGAUCCCCCAAGAAUUUGACGCGCCAAUUGAGGUUUCGAGUCAGGCUCACCCAAAUCAUUGUAGACAUCGUAAUCAUAUAUUCUUUCCCAUUCCUUGCGCUCUCCAGUUCCAUCUCCUCUUAAAGUCUUCAAUUCUUCUUGUCUGUAGUACACUAAUGGAGCCGGUGUUUCACUUGGAAGGUAUGUCUACAUAAAUUUAAUCAUUCAAAAUAUCAAGUUUUAGGAAAUAGGCUUAAUAUUCAGCAAGCUAUAUAGUUAUUAUGAUAAAGUGGAUUUGUGAUUUGAGACAUCAGAAAGAGAUUGGGAGUUGCAAGUUCUCAACUCCCUCUACUCGCAUUUCUAAAAACUAAUUACUAAUAUUUGUCGUUAUAAUAGAAAUAACAAGCUACAUGUGUAAUAGAAUUUUUAUUCUUACCUUGUUGGCAAAGAAGAUGCGGUCGGUUUUGUACUUUUUAGAAUUGUAAAUCCAUGAGUUGCAGACAAAGUGGAUGGAUCCAUGGUUUGGAACAUCUUCAAGUGUCAAACUCACAAGGAAGAAUUCACCUUGCAUAAAAUUAUCGAUGUAAAAAGCUCCGGGAAUUCCCAUGUUACUGUCCCAUUCAAAAUGAAUACUGAAAGCAUUUUGUUUGUCUCCCAAUGUUGGUAUGGAGGUAAGAAGACCUUCCAGAAAUGUUUCCUUUCCCACUUUUCCUUUUCCAGCAGCUAUAUUAAAAAUGUCAAAUAUUAUUAGUUUCUCAAUUUCACUAAUCCAUGAUUUUCAAAGUUUAAUUUUAUUCUUUUACAGAUCCAUUUUUCUUUUUACAUGAUCAUCAUCCAUCUUGCCUGAGUUAUAUCGAAGGGAAAUAAUUUCAAUAUUUUAGUGGUAAUUGAUUGUACCUGAUCAUUUAUAACCAAUAUUCUACAUCAAAAUCUCCAUUGCACAUUUUUAAUUUAAUAAAAAAAACAAAAGGGAAAAUAAGGUAAAUCUUAAUGGAUUGAUGUAUCAAAAACUCUUCUUGAAUAAUAGGCUGGCUUGGUGGUGUGGUGGAAGAGUUAUGGAGUAAUUAAUGCAGUCUGAGUUCAAUUCUUACAUCUAGCAAAAACUAACAACCGACAUAAUACUCAUUCGAUAUUAUUUAUAAGAAAUAAUGAAUUUUUUGAUUUAUUGAAUAAUUAAUGUAUAUGAUAUAUAUUCUAGAUCGAAUACAUAAAUUAUUCAAUGAAUCUAAAAAAUUAAUUAUUUCUUAUAAAUAGGAUUGGAUGAAGUAAUAUUUAUUGCUUAAAAAAAUAAAACUCCUCAAUAUUUUGUUGUUAAAUCAGAGAUAUCCUCCACGUGCAAAUGUCUGUCACUUAUGUUAUGUCACACAAUGUUGGUAAAAGAGUCUAAGUAAAGAGAUCAUAGAAGUAUGAAAAGAAGCAAUUUUAAAUAGAAAAAGAUAGUAGAAUUUACAAUUUUAAAAAUCUAAUAAGACAGAAGUUCAAAUAUAAAGUAUAUAGAUGGGGAUGUCAAAUUUUAAAUAGCUUAUGGUACAAGAUUAAUUUAAAAAAUUUAAGUGAGCAUGUGCACCCAUCACGUAGAUCCAUACAUACCAAAUGACAAAGAUAAAGUCCAAAACAGUUGCCAAACGCCAAAUAUCACACUUAUUUGCAUUAUAUAUACUUCUUUUUUUACAAAACCAUUAGAUAUACUCCCUUUAAUAUACAUUGGAUAUAAGUUUUUAUAUAGUCAUUUUUUAUUCCAAUAGUACUAUUUUUUCCAUAUCAUUUUAUUACUUAAUCAAAUGUCCAAAUUAUUUUAAAUAGUUACUUAAAUAAUUUCAUAAUUUCUUUAUUUUAAUUAAGAAGAGACAACGAUGAAAUUUUUGUCUGUCAAGUAAGGAUAUAGUUUUGCAGUUAAUAAAAGAAUAUAAACACAAUUUUUUUCUUUUCAUAAAUUUCAUCAAAGAAGGUAAUCAAUCUUAUUCAGAAUCCGUCGAUCAGACACUAAAUGUGAUACCUCUCUCAAUCAAGAUUCUAAAAUCAUUCUCGUCCGUUAGAUCCAAUUACUUCCAUUGGUGUACACAUAAUUUAAAUAAGUUAUAUCAAUCAAUUAAUUAAAAUGCCUAUUUCUUGUAUGAAUUAAACAUAGUGAGAAAGGUCCUCGUGAACUAGCUCAAUUGAUAGAGACAUAUAAUAUAAUAUAUGCAGGGGUUGAAGUCCGAACCCUAAACAUCCGACUUCUCCAUAUUUAAAAUGUGUGAGCUCCCGUCACUGGGUUAAUUGACAAAAAGAAAAAUAGAGUGAGAAAGAGAAAUGAGUUAUUACCAUCAGCACUUGUAGCACUAAUCAACCUGAGAGCUAUAGAACGUCCCAAGAAGGAAGUGGCAGUAUCAAGUAUAUUGCCAGCAACAUCACCAACAAUACCAAAGGCACCACCAAUGAUACCAGUAGGGCUUUUAGCAGCAGUGAGGGCGUUGAUAUCCAAAGUAUUCUUUUGCAUCAACACCACAGUUCCCUUCAACUUUUGGCCUCUAUCAAAGAGACCUGUUACACCAGAAAACAUCUUUGAAUAUGCUUUAAAUGUAUUACACUAUAUAUGGUAAAUGAAAGAAAGGCUUGUGUCUUGUAACCAUAGGGGUGGUUAGUAUUUAUAGUAGUUGAUGAGAUUAGGAUCACAAUGUUAUAGUUCAAAUGAGGUGAUAUUUUUAUUCAACUACUCAUUUACAACAUGGUGGAAUGCAAUUGGUCACGUCUUAUGCUAAUUUUUUAUUAUGAGUGAUUAUCUCGUGGUAUAUAAAAUAAUAAUAUAUCCGAUUGCAAAAUUAUUUUGGUAGUUGUUAUAUGUGCCAGCCUUGGCAUUAUGUUCAAUAAUAAUGACUCUGUUUGCUCUAUUGUUAAUUAUUACUACUAUCUUACGUGUCUGCAUUGGUUUUCUCGAGUUUUCUCAUAUUUUUUAAAGUGGGAAAAUCUCUACCCUUAAAAUUCAUUUCUUUCUUAUUUUAAUUUCAAAAUCUCUCCUCUUUUUUUUUUUUUUUUUUUUUUCUUUUUCUUUUUCUUUCUCUCAUACUAUCAAAUCAAGAUUAGGAUUGGACUUGAGAUACAUUUGCUUAGUCACAAACAUAAAAAUGAGUCAUUUAACACACACAAUGUAAUAAAAAAAAUUGAUUUGGUGUUGUGGUCUAAUUUAACACUUACUAUAUAAGUAUUUCUCCAUCCAAAGAUGGAUCCAAAAAUCUAUUAGCAAUUUUAGUUCACGGCCUAAUUUAUUCUCUUGUUUGGGAGUCUUUUGUAACAAUUUUUGUUUUUUUAUUUUGGGUUGACGGCAAGACCUUUGUCUUUUGAUGUAACUAUACUCUUUUUCCUUGUUCUUUUGGCACUUUCUGUGCUGGAAUAGCAGAUAUUUUUCAAAUAUAAGCAAUCAACGUUUGUUCUAGGGCGCUCUAUAUAUGGAUAAUGUUAUCAGCCACGUUUUUGACAUUUGCAUCAAUUUUUUUCUUUAUAAAUGAUGAAUAAGACAUGUAUUACUAAUGAUGGUUGAUAUUCCAGCUAUCAUGGAAUCCAAGUCGCCAUAGUACAAUGUUUUUAAAAUCCCAGCUAUGUUGGCAACCCAAAACAUCGUGUGUCAAAUGCGCCACAUCUUAUAUAUUAUUAAUAAUAAAAAAUACAAAAACGAAAAAAGUUGAGUUAAACUCAACAAAGCUAAUUAAAAUGAUAGGUAUGCAUACCAAACCUAUCUAAAAAAACCACUGAUAAUAAAACUAGGACAUAUAUACCACCAUUGAAAAUCUCCAAUUAGUUUACAAAUAUCAACGAAAAAACUUCUCCUUUUCCUCUUGUGACAUAGAUGAUCUCCAGUAGGUUUCUGCGUUUUUCCUCUUCAGUUUCGUGUUUUGCUGCUUGCGUUGGGGGUGUGAAAAUUAAACACUGAUGACUUGUGAAAAAAAGAAGCAUAAAGGGCUGCUGGACUAAAGUCUGAUAAUUGUUGGUCCCUCUAUUAUUUUUGUUAUAUACACCCCUCUAUAAACGAUUAUUGUUAUAUACACCCUCGUAUAAAAAAAUUAGGUCCCUAAAGGCAUGGGCCCUAGGCUGCCGCACCCCAUCCUAUAUCUAUGGCUGGCCCUGAAUGUUAUCGUUGUAAUAGAAGUGGUUUAAUAUAUAAAAUGAAAGACAUAAGGUAAAUAGGGUAAUGUUGCAUUAAAAAUGGAUGUUGGUAAGGCAUGUGGCAUUGAUAGGUCAUUUGAAAGAAAUUUUGAUGAAGAUGAGGUUAUGUCAGUAGUGAAUGAACUAGAUAAUGAUGUGUAUUAAAAUGGUGGAUUAUUCCAUUAUUGUUAACAAUGAAAUCACAUGACCAAUCAUACUCGGACGAGGCCUUCAUCGGAGAGAUUCUUUGUCUCAUUGUUUAUUCUGUGUGCAGAAGGCCUAUGUGCUCUUAUUAAGUAUGUCGAGGCUAGUGGAGAGCUUCAUGGGGUCAAAAUUUGUCGAAACACUUUGAUUAUUACUCGAAUUUUAUUUGCAGAUGACUACUUUCUAUUUUUCAGGGAAGGUGAAGCGCCGAGACUCAAAAUAUGAAGCAAAUUUUGAGGUUGUACAGAGCAACGUCUGGAUAUUACAGCUUAAAUGCCCAACAAUCCCUUCAAAAUGCUUUUACAACAACCUUAGGGGGGUCAGGCGGUGUUAUGCACAAUGAAGUACAUCGGACUACCCUCUAUGAUUGGUAGAAGAAGGAAUGUUACGUUCAGCUUUCUCAAAGAUAUGACUGGAGCAACAAGUAUUUGUGAAAGGAAGAUAUAAUGAUAAAAACAUGUACUGCAAGCAAUACCAUCUUAUGGAAUUAGAAUUUUCUUACUUUCUACCAUGUUCUUUGAUGCCAACGAAAAGAUUAUUAACACGUACGUACUGGUGGGGUCAUGGUGGUUCCACAAUUAGAGGUAUUGACUGGUUAUCAAGGGACAUGCUUGUUGUCUACAAAUUUUUUGGAGGUUUGGGGUUUAAAUACUUGACGUCAUUCAACUAAGCAAUGUUAGGAAAACAAGAUCGGAAAUUCCACACACACUUGGACUGUUUGGUAUCAAGACUGUUCAAGGCGCUCUAUUUUCCUCAUGGAAGCUAUCUAGACCGAAAGUGAUGACAGAGCACUAUAUGACAUUUUGGGCUAUGUUUUUAGUACUUUUAUUUGCAUUUGAAGACAUAUAAGUUGAGAGAUAGAGGAGUUGUUAAUGGUUUGGGAAACAUAUUGUAUUGUUUUCAAUCGAGCCGUUGUUCUUGAUGCUUGACAGUUUAAGGAACCUCUAGGGUAUGUUUUUUAAACAUCGUUGUUCCUUGAUUGAGGAACCUCUAGAUAUUUCAUGAAGUGUAAUUCCUUUAGAUGACAAUUUAAGAGUCACACGGGAUGUUGCAGUCAAAAGAUGUGAUCAUGGCUUUCAUAAUUGAGUUAUGGAUAAAACGACAUCUGUAGGAAUAUUCUCUCUAUAGUAAACCACCGUUUAUGUAAUUUUUAGGUUUUAAUUAAUAGGUACUUUGCAUUAAUCCAACAAAGAGGGAAGAGGGAAGAGGGGAUUCAAGGAUUCCCUAAUCACCGUUAUACAUCUAAAUCACACAAACAUAAUCUUUCUUUGGAUAGGGAAAUUUAACCAUGCAAAUCUUUUUUUCAUCUCUUUUCUAUUUUCUUUCUAAUAAGUUUUGCUAAUUACCGAAAAACUUGCUACUUUAUUAAUUGUUAUGAUUUGGUGCACUUGCCAAUUUCGUCCUUCAGAAAGCUUGGACAUAAAUCAAAGCUUUAGUUGGAGAAGAAUAUUUACCGCUAAGAGAGUAGUACAAAAAGUUGCUCGGUGGAAGAUCAGAUCGGGUACAAAGUUUCAAUUUUUUAUGCUUUGUGGGUAAAAGAUGGGACAAGUAUUCUAGGAGAUGGUCAACCUCUCAAGGUAAUUCAACAGGCUAAAGUGCACAAUCUCGUUGAUCAAGAAUUUCCCGUAUAGAACAAUCAUAUUGUAAACCAGUGUUUUGAUCAACUUAUAAAUGAGCUCAUUCUGAGUACUCCUUUAAUUGAGUCUGUUAAAGAAAGAUAAAUUAAUUUUUAAAUCAAAGAAAAAUGAACAUUACUCGGUAAAAAUUGUGUACAAGAUUUAUACAUAAAAUAGUGCAGGCAACUCAUAUUUAUGUCAGUAAGGUCAUUGGCUGGAAUUUAGAAGUUAAAGGUGCAUCCCAAAGUGAAGGAUUUCAUUUGGCUGAUUUAUCAAGGUUGCUUACCGACGCGUGUAAGGCUGAAAGAUCGAAGUCUCCAUUGUCUGUCUAUUUGUAUGAUGUGCACCGGUAACUAUGGGGAUGCAAUGCAUAUAUUGUUUGAUUCUCCGUAAAUAGGAUAUGUAUAUAUUUUUCUCAAGUGCAUUAAUUUUAUCAUUCAUAGCUCCAGCCCAGUUUAUAUUUUUAAAUGUUUCUUCAAUAGAUGAUUUGAUUCUCACAUAAUCAACGGCAACAAUAAAACUUUGAUUGUGUGGAAAGUUGUUUAGUGGAGACAUAUUGAGAAAUAUGUAUGAUAUCUAUAUAUAGAGGGACAGAUCGAUAACAUUUGCAAUCAUCUACAACAGGCCAUGUUACCCAAGAACAAUCAUCAAUAAAAGAAACAAACCACCUUGCCCCAUAAAUAUUAGAAACAACAAGAAAUAUUAGAAACAGGGGCCGAUCGGCAGACAUCAAAAUGAAUAAGAUCAAAUGGUUCAACACUUUUACGAAGAUUCAACGAAAAAAGUGGUAUGUGUACGCUUAUAAAAUGGAUAUAUAUAUCACAUUUAAAAGACUAAAUCGAUUGCAUUAAAAAACAAAGAUGGAAACAUAAACUUCAUUAGUUGAAAAUGAGGAUGACAAAGACGUUUGUGCUGAAGCCAAAUUUGAGAGGCAGAAUAAGACUCUGACUAAGACUGAAGUGCAGAAGACAACACCUUCUGAUCAAUUCGUGCAUCAUACAAAUAAUAUAGCCCUCCUUGUUCCUAAGCAACUCCAAUCGUCUUUCCCAUUACAAGAUCCUCGAAAGCACAAUGUGAAUCAAAAAAUAUUACUGCACAAAUAUUAUCCUUUAUAAGCUUACGAACAUAGAUAAGGUUAUUCCAAAGACAAGGAACAUGAAGCAUAUCUUUCAACUUAAAAGGUUCAAGGUUAAUUUCUCCACAACCAUCUACACGAGUAUGAGAACCAUAUGCAGCCGCAAAAAAGAAUGUCAUAUGAAGAAAUUUACUUCAAAAAGGCCAAGAACCAAUGUCAUAUGAUCAAUAGCACUAUAGUCAAUAAUAUAAUCAACAUUUCAAGCAAAAACCACAUAUAACUAUUUUCAGUCACAUUGGCUGAUAACUACAAAAGAAUCUCCUCAAAAGAACAACAAAAAGAAGAGGCUUCAAAUAACAAAAAAUAGGCAACAAGGUAAAAACCGUAAGUCGCAACAACGUAAAAUCACCAAAUAAAAGUCAAACUGAAUCACAAAGGGUCCUCAAAGAUGCUGGUAGUCACAAACAAGCACAAAACAACCGCUAUCAAUCAGUUAGUGUCAAGAGUACCCACGUAAAAUAGUAUCUUGGUCUUGGAUCAAGAUUUUGACCCCUUAAACGAACCAAUUAUGUGAAGACUAUAAUUUCUAGGAAUAAAUGGUGUCGAAUGGUGGUUCACAAGGUGGCAUGUGCAUCGCACUUGAUGGAGCUUCACUUUAGAUUGGGCCUCUGCUCUCAACUUCUCAAGUUCUUCUUCAAAAAGUAUUUGAGAACAAAUUUUUAUAGCCCUUUCGUUUAAAAAAUCUUUUUAGUUUUGCCAUAUUAGUUGAUGUAUGAUUCUUUAACUGUAUUUACAUUGGAAAAACAAUUGGCAGUGGAAAUAAAAUCAUUAUGAUCUAUUAUUGCUUUUUCAAUGUUAUCAUUUUUUUGUCAUGCUAUAUUGCAUAUUUGCAUUGAGAGCUUUUUUGUCAUGAAAUAAAAUAUGAAGUUUGCAUUUUAUAUACAAAGUAAAUCACACAACAAAAUAGAAACAUAGUAACUUUUAUUGAUGAAAUACAUUAUAACAAUCAAACAUGAUAGUUUUUAUUGAUAAAACACAUUACAGAAUUAAAAACAAACGUACAUAAUAACAUAACAUGACGAUAUACAUAGGGGGCGAGGGAAUUGGAUUCCUCCUCCUCUUUUAUUAAUAGCGACAACGCAACAACCACGACGUUUUUUAGAUAGAGACACUGUUGGGAAUGCCUCUGCAAGUCAAUCCUUCCUCACUAGAAGGAUAAAGCAGAGUGUAAGGCAUCUUCACUGGUCCGUUACGAUUCCUCAGUGUCUCAUCAUUGUUCCUUUGAAUGAGUUUUUGCUCAAUUUCAGCCAACUUCUUUCCAAACCUCUUAAAGGACUCUUUUGGCUGUGAAUCAGAAGUCCAGAGAUCACCUUCAAUUCUCUCUCCAAGGUAUUGCUCAUCAGAAGCAUGCCUUGACAAGACUUCUAUAAUGGUCAAGUCAGUAAGAGUAUCAUUCUUGGGUGUUAUUGUCCUCAGAUAAGACUUCUGGUAGUCCUUAGCAAGCUCAUCAUACUCAGGGGAUCCCUGCUCAGGCAUGAAUCUUCUACUUUUAGUUGGUCGGUUAACGAUAUAUCCUCCAUACGGAUAUUGUCCAAAAUUAACUGCUGCAUGAAGUGCUGAAGCAAUCCAUAUGAGGGUGGUGCAAGCUUCAAUCAACUCCUCACGAGUUUGCAUCUUAAACCACCAUGUAGCAUUCUUCAAGUCACCAUGACCGACCUCUACAAGUUCUUUCCAGAAUGCUUGGAGUUCAGAAUCUUGUGCAAUAGAUGCAUCUGACUUGUAGUAGAAAUUGACAUAUUCAUCAACCCAUGAUUUAAUAGCAGCCCAUAUUUCUAGUCCAUCUGAAGCAUAAGGGUAGUCCUCUAUUAGAAGUCGAAGACCAUAUGCUGAAGUAGGGUCCUCAACGGCCACUCCUCUAUAGAACAAGCAAAGGAAGAUAACAUUAACAUACAAAAAAAAAAGAUAGUUAGGAAAGUUACUUAGAGUUUGUUUGAUUGGUAGUUACUUUGUUGAUUCUCUACUAGCUCUAUACAUGGCUACAAAGUCAAACAUUUACCAUUGAACUGAAACCGUGUGGUAUUAUACUUGAGAUCAAUAUCUUUUUAAAAAACGGACUGAGUCAAGAUGUAAUGUUUUGUAAGGUUACCUUUUGAUUAGAUCAUUAGGUAGGCCUUGCUCAGUGAAAACCCAAUCCUUGUAAACGACAGAAGACAUUUCCAAAGCAUACUUUCCCCACAAGAAAGUUGACUCGAUAAUACCCUCGGCAUUGACCAACACAUUUCGUGCUAGUGCAUUUAUGUUCAUCGUGUCACGAUAAUGUGGAAGCAGAAGUUUAUGAAUAGGGUGAACCACACUUAGAUGCCUAUUUGUUGCUAUGACGAAUGGCUCAACUACAGCAUGAGUGUUCAACCUGUCACACAUUGUAGAUAAAUUUUCAUCAAAUUACUCAUAGAUGUAUAAAAUUUAUUUGAUUGUUUAAAUAUCAUAAACGAAAUUCAUACCAAUGGCUAACAAGUUGGUGAUAACAUGAAUCAUUUACAAUUACGUAAGCCUUGGCAAGGAGCCAAAUUGAAGCUUCAACACCUUCACUUGCAGGCAAGUAAACUUUGCUAACAGGACCAAAACUAUCACCUUGAGGGUGUGGCCUACUUAGUUCAAUGGCCAAUGGCUUCAAAGUUCCAUCAUCUUGCAAGAAAAGAAUGGUUCUAGUAGCAUAGGCCUUAGUCUCGGUUGCAUUUAUUUUCCUCAAAUAUGGAAAGAGUGGGUCGUGGUGAUCCAGUAUGAACAAUUUAUUAUUCUGGAUAGCCUGUUCCACAAAAUAAAAUUUAGCACUGUUGAAUUAUUUUUUUAGAGUAAAGUUGUUGAAUUGGGUAGAGAUUUACCUGUUCUACCGUGACCCCAACCAUGUUUGGCUGCAAAUGUUCUUUGGUUAUGGUGCUGGUAUUAUUACCAAAGAGUUGGGUAUCUAACUUGCUCUUUGGUGGAAACUCCUAAAAUAAAUGUACGAAGCUGUGGUUAAUUAAAACUUAUAAACAUGGCAUGAAAAGUGGGAAAAAUAGCAUUUGUUAGUUUUUCAGUAUUUUCUUAACAAUGUUAAACCAUUAACUUUACCAAGAGUUUUUUUAUGAUGUGUGGAUUCACCCCAGCAAUCAUCUCCCUUGCAAAUUCCUCAUCAGUCAUCCAUGCAGAAUGAUCGACUGUUCAAAAUUAAAAUUUCAAAAGAUCCAUGAACUUUAUUUCUCUGAUAUAUGUUAAUAGUAAUAGGAAUGUGUGACUAAUUAAUAUAAACCUUGAAUCACUUUUGGUGGUGGAAACUUAAGUGCCGCUUCACCAUCAGUUCGGAAAAGUUCCUUGAACAAUGGUAUUGGGCUAAGUUCACUUAGUAUAUCAGUAGGAAGCCUGAUUCCACCUUCAUAGAGCGAGCGCACAUCUUCAAAGGUGUUAAACUCAGGCUCAUGGAAUUGUAAUGUAACUAUAGAUCUUAAUCGAGGUAUGACAUUUUGAGAUGCAGAUUUGAGUAUGUGAACAAGAAAGUCUGAUGACUUUGUGUGUCCAAAUGAUUCAUCUCUUGGGAGGUAAACAGUGUCACUUCGACUCUCACUCUUAGGAUCUGUUCACAAAUACAAUAACAAUGUAUGUUUUAGAAUCAUAAGCAGAGUAAACAUUUGUAUCAACAAAAAGACUUAGUAAACAACAUCAGGGAUAAAAACAUUAGUUGUCAAGUAGAAUACAAUUUCACAUUUUAGUACCAUAUCACUUAAUUUUUGCCAGAAUUUCUUAAAAUAUAACAUACUCAAGUGUUAAGAUAGAACGUAAAGUUAUAACCUUUACGAGCUGCUUUCCUGCCGGUUCUCCCUCUUCGAGGGUAAGGGAGGGUGCUAGAUCCUCCAACAACAGGACGAGCCAAACUAGCGUUCUUGUCCACAUCACCCAAAUCAUUGUAGACAUCAUAAUCAUAUAUUCUUUCCCAUUCCUUACGCUCUCCAGUUCCAUCUCCUCUUAAAGUCUUCAAUUCUUCUUGUCUGUAGUAGACUAAAGGAGCUGGUGUUUCACUUGGAAGGUAUGUCUACAAAAUUGUAGUCAUUGAUUGUGUCAAGUUUUUGGAAAAGAGAAUUUAUAGUCUAAAAAAAUAUUUAACAAGUUAUACAUGUUGGAUAUAAUUUAUAAAUAUUCUUACCUUGUUGGCAAAGAAAAUGCGUUUAGUUUUGUAAUUUUUAGCGUUGUAAACCCAUGAGUUGCAAACAAAGUUGAUGGUUCCAUGGUUUGGAACAUCUUCAAGAGUCAAGCUGACAAGGAAGAAUUCACCACCUUGCAGAUAAUUCUCAAUAUAAAAAGCUCCUGGAGUUCCCAUGUCAUUGUCCCAUUCAAAUUCAAUACUGAAAGCAUUUUGUUUAUCUCCCAAUGUUGGCAAGGAGGUAAUAACACUUGCCAGAUACGUUUUCUCUCCCACUUUGCCUUUUCCGGUUUUUCCUAUACAAAAAUUGGACUCUCAAUUUCACUGAUGAUGAUUUUAAAUAGUAGUAACACGUUAUAGCUAUUCCAAAAUUUGAUGUUUUUUACAGCUCAAAUGUUCUUUAUACCUACUACAUAAUUUCUCAACAUCCACUUGCCCUUAAUUAUAUCAAAUUGAAACUAAAUUUUAAUAUUUUAGUGGUAAUUGAUAGUAACUGGUUAUUUAUGAAUAAUAUUUGGGUAUUGUUAAAAUAAGAUAAAGAAGUUGUUACCAUCAGCAACGGUAGCACUAAUCAGCCAGAGAGCCACAGAACGGCGGAACAAGGAGGUGGCAGUGUCAGCUACAGUACCGGCAGCAUCACCAACAAAAUCGAAGAAACUGUCAACUACACCACCGGCGCUUUGAGCUGCAGUGAGUUCGUUGAUGUCUAAGACAUUCUUUUGCAUCAACACCACAGUUCCCUUCACCUUUUGGUGCUUAUCAAAGAGACCUUUCACCAAUGAACUCAUCUUUAAUGCUUAAAUGUAUUACACUAUCUUUGGUAAAUGAAAGAAAAGCUUGUGUUUUGUUACCAAGGGGAUGCUUAGUAUUUAUAGUAGUUGAUAGGUGCAAGGUUAGUUCAAAAGAAAUAAUUGUUUAUUGUUCAUUAUUAUAUGUUUUUUACAUAAUUAAUUUACUAAAUAACAACACAUUUAAAUGAAGAUGGGUAAUAUAAGCUGGCACAUUACAUAAAUAACUCUUACCAAAAAAAAAAUUACAUCAAUAACUGAUAUCUACGUGUUUUUUUGUUUCUGUCACUUGAGUGCGAUAUUUUUUGUUCGUCAUCUUGAUGCAUUGUUGUUUGAUUUUUUGUUUUGUUGUGAUGUUCUUUUAAUUUAAAUUCAGUCAAUGACUUUAGCUCUAACAUUAAAAAUUUGGAGGGAUAAAUAUUAAGUUUACUUUGAUUUUGUGACUUUUAUAGACAUUUUGUUACUUUAUGUUAUUAAUUUGGUUUUUUCUAGAUUACCUUUGAAGAAUGGUGGGUAAUUUACCCACCAACCAAUGAAAAUGAGCAAUUUAUUGGUGGGGUCAAUAUAGUUCAUGGAUACCACUUAAAAAUGUGCUUAUGUGGCUAAUGUGUAUUGGUUGGGAUAAAUUACCCACCAUUCUUUCAUGGAUACCCUAGUUGUCACCUAUUAAUUUACAUGUUGUGGUUUUAUUCUCAUGUUUAACUUAAAUCAAUUCAGCUACUCAAUCUCCUAUAAUAUUUUCCACGUGUUCUAUUAAUUUGAACUGAUGACUGUUUUGGUUAGUAAGAAAAAGCACGUUUAAAUGCAAUUGGGGCACAAUCUUAUGCUAAUUUUUCGAUGAUUAUCUUGUUUUAUAUUAAUAAUAUAUUCGUAGGUUUCAUUAUUAUUUAGAUUGUUUUAUGUAUUGUUAAUUAGGUACUGACCUGUAUGCAUUGGUAGUUUCGAUCAGGGUUGAAAUAGAUGGCCGUUUGGGACCCCAUCUUAGGAGGGACAUAAAUAUUUUUAUAAUUAGAAAAGUAAAACCAUAUGUACUUAAAAAACUAUAAAAAAAUUUGUUAAUGUUAACGAGUGGUUCAAAGACACUUGUUAAUUAGGUUACUGGAAAUUAGAUCUCAAGUUCACAAAAGAACAAAUUUCUAUCCACUUUUCAAUUCACUCAAACUAACAAUGAAUCCUAAGAGAAAACAAUAAAAAAAACGUUUUGAUCCUUUUUCUAAUGAGAUCUCACUGUUAAAGGUGUUUGUAAAGUGUUUCACUUUUCCAAGAACCUCAUCCAAAGACAUUAAACCAUAAAGUUCCCUUUGAUUUUUCCUAAGUUUAUCUCUCUUGAAGCCACAUAUUAAAUUGAAGAAUGAAGCUUUUUAUAGAACUCAGACUUAGAUAAUGAUUUUGUUUGGAUAAUGCCACGAUUUCGAGCUCGAACACAGUAAUGCACUAAACCUUAUCCUCAAAGUGCGUCAUGAUUUUCUCCCUUCAGACUGCAAAAUAAUGCGAACCAAACCUCAAAAAGUCUAAACCAAAUUGCGUCAUGAAUUCUUCAAAUCGCGCCAUGAUUUUUGACGAACUUCAACAUUAACUUUGAGCCAAUUUUAAAUAUUUCUCAUCCUUAACUCUAAAUUGUUGGUGAUGUCAUUUUAACCAUCAACAACCUAAAUGCUAUCUCCAAUGAUAAAUUAUUCUUCAACAAAUUUAAUCAAGUUCAAGCAAUCCUUGAACCUUGAUAUAGACAAUAACUUGGUGAACACAUCUGUCGGAUUUUCUUCCGUAGCAACUUUCUCAAUCAUAAUCUAUUUCGAUUCAAUCAUGUCUCUAACGAAGUGCAAGCGAAUGUCAAUGUAUCUUCACAAUGUAUCACAAUACACUUGAAGAUAUGUCAAAUGGAUGACAUUUUGGCUUUGGCUAUCACAAUGUAUCUUCACACAUAUUUGAGCAAUUCCUAACUUAUAUAUUGUUGUAUAUUAAUAAUAUAUCCCUGUUCCAGAACUAAAACAGUAGUCUAAACUGUUUUUUAUGUCAUCUAAAGAUCGUACCCAAUCACUAUCAGAGUAACCUUGCAACUUGAAAAUUUUCCAUCGAUAGAACUUAAUGCCAUAAUUUAAGGUUCCCUUGACAUACCUCAACACUCUUUUUUCUCCUUUGAAAUGAGAUUCUUUAGCACAAUUCAUGAAUCUUGAAAGAACAUUUACAACAUACGAAAUAUUUGGUCUUGUAGUUGUAAGAUACAUUAAGCAUCCAAUUAAACUUCGGUUGAGUGUUUCAUCCACGUGUUCUUCUUCAACAUCCCUUGCAUCUCAAAUUCUCGAAUGAAAUUAAGCGCUUGCAUUCCCCUAAUUCUUUCAUCUCCUUCGUAUUCAGUUUUGAGGAAAUUUCAUAUUUCAAAUGCUGGUUUGAUGGUCAUAAUUUUGGUUAAGAUUUCUUCUGAGUCAUCAGCAAAGGAAGAACUUCGUAGUCCUCCUCAAGAGCUUCGCAGAGGUCAUUUGCCUCUAAAUACGCCUCCAUUCCUGCUGCCCAUAUAUGAUAGUUUUCACCAUCAAACACAGAUAAUGGUAGGGCUUUGUAGGGUGUUUCAGAAUCCAUCAGUUUGAUGAAUUGAGGAAUAAUGUUUAAGCUUUUACGGUAGCUUUCACUCACUUCACUCGCAAGUCCCUCCAAGAAGAAGGCUUUGAUACCAAUCUGUUGGUGAUUAUACGUAACUCAUAGAAUAGGAAGGGAAAAACUGAAAUAUUAUUGAAUUGAAAAAACUGUUGUCAAAUACAAAGUUGUAACUUAAAUAAAAAACAAAUAUUGAGUAACUAACUCAUGAUCUUUAGCCACUACUUUAUUAGCUAAUUAAAAACUGAAAUAUUAAAACAAAUUCUCUUAGAGACUUGGUCAAAUAGUGCAGCUGGAAGUAACAACUGAUGAUACACAUGUUCAACACCUUCUCAUCAUUUAUUCAAAGCAACAAACAACACAACAACCAUGGUGUUUUUUAGAUGGAGACACUGUUGGGAAUCCCUCUGCCAGUCAAUCCUGGUCCACUGGAAGGAUAAAGAAGAGUGUAUGGAAACUUCACAGGCCCAUACCUGUUUUUCAAUGACUCAUUAUUGUUCCUUUGAAUGAACUCUUCCUCAAUUUCAAUCAAUUUCUUUGCAAACUUUUUGUAGGCUUCUACUGGCUUUGGAUCAGAAGUCCAAAGAUCACCUUCAGUUCUUUGUCCAAGGUAUUCCUCAUUAGGAUCAUGCAUGGAUAAUACCAGCAUAGUAUUCAUAACUUCAAGGGUUUCAACCUUUGGUGUGAUUGUCGUCAAAUAUGUCUUCAUGUAGUCCUUAGCGAGCUCCUUAAACUCAUGUGAUCCUUUCACUGGCAUGAAUCUUAUGGUUUUAGUUGGUCGGUUAAGGAUGUACCCUCCAUACUGAUAUUGUCCAAAAUUAACAGCUGCAUGAAGUGCUGAAGCAAUCCAUAUGAGGGUGGUGCAAGUUUCAAUCAACUCUGUACGAGUUUCCAAUUUAACCCACUUAUCAGUCUUCAAGUCACCAUGACCUACUUCUACAAGUUCUUUCCAAAAUGCUUUGAGUUCCUCAUCAUCUUUAACAUCUUUAUCUGACUCGUAAUAGAAAUUGACAUAUUCAUCAACCCAUGACUUAAUAGCAGCCCAUAUCUCUAGUCCAUCUGAAGCAUAUGGAUAAUCCUCUAUCAGAAGACGCAGACCAUGUGGGGAAGAAUCAUCGUCAACAGCCAUUCCUCUAGAUAAAUAAACAAGAAAGGUAACAUUAAAACACACGCAAAAAAAUACGGAAGGGGUUAUUGUUAAUUAAAAUAGUAAUAACUAAUAACUAUUUUACAAUUGUCUGAGAAAGAGUUCGUACUCUGUCAAAUAGAAAUAUAAUAAUAGUUAGUUUGAGAUUUUUAAUUAGUAUGUAAUUAGUUUGUUAUUUGGUUGUUAGGUUUUAAGUUAUUGAUUCACUUGGGAAUAUAUAAAAUGUAUAUAUUUUAGAUUAAUAUCUUUCUAAUAAAUGGACUGAACCAUGAUGCAAUGUUUUGCUAAAUUACCUAUUUUUUAGAUCAGUAGGUAGUCCUUCUUCAGCGAAAACCCAAUCCUUGUAAACAACAGCUGACAUUUCCAUACAGUAUUUUUCAAACAAAAAUGUCGACUCUACAAUACCCCCUGCAUUGAUCAAGAUAUUUCGUGAUCGUGCAUUUAUGGUCAUCGUGCCACGAUAGUGUGGAACUAAAAGUUUAUGAAUAGGGUGAAGCACACUAAGAUGCCUAUUUGUUGCUAUGACGAAUGGCUCAACAACAGCAUGUGUUUUCAACCUGUGACACAAGUAAAUAUAUAUUCAUAAAAUUACUACUCAUUGAUAAAUCAAAUAUAUAAUUUUAUUAUAUCAAAAUGAUCUAGGAAAUUCUCACCAAUGGCUGACGAGUUGGUGACAACAUGAGUCAUUUACAACAGCGUACGCCUUUGCAAGGAGCCAAAUUAAAGGUUCAUCAUCUUUAGCAUCUUUAUUUGGGGGCACGUAAACAUUACUAACAGAACCAAAACUAUCACCAUUAGGAUGUGGCAAACUUAGCUCAAUGGCCAAUGGAUUCAAAGUUCCAUCAUCUUUAACAAAAAGAAUGGUUCUAGCAGCAUAGGUCUUUGCUUCAGUUUCAUUUACUUUCCUCAAAUAUGGAUAGAUUGCAUCGUGGUGAUCAAGUAUGUACAAUCUAUUGUCUUCGAUAGCCUGUUAGACAAAAAAAAAAAAAAAAAAAAAAAUUAGCCUCUGUAGUUCAAUUGAUUGAAAAAAUUAAUUUUAAUAGAGAAAUAAUAAUAAUAAAAUUAAUUCUUCAUUACCUCUUUUACUGUGACCCCAUUCAUGUUUGGCUCCAAGUGUUCUUUGGUUAUUGUGCUGGUAUUAUCACCAUAGAGUUUACUAUCUAACUUGCUCUUUCUUGGAAGCUCCUGCAACAAAUAUAGAAAGCAAUGAGGUUAAUUACAAAUUACUAUGUAUGUAUUAUAUAUGAAAAGUUGAAAUGAUAACCUUCUUUAUUUCUUUUGUACAUGCUUAAAAAUAUUACAAAUUUACCAGAAGUUUUUCGAUGGCAUUCGGAUUCACACCAGCAAUCAUCUGUCUUGCAAAUUCCUCAUCAGCCAUCCAUGCAUGAUAAUCCUCUACUCAUAGUAACAAAUUUUCAAAAGAAUCCAUGAGCUUUCUUUAUAUGAUUUUGUAUAUAGUUAAAUAUAUAUUGCGAUAACUUGGAAUUUCUGAACAAUAUAUAUAUAUAUACCUGCAAUCACUUGUGGUGUUGGAUACGUUGAACUUUUAGCCACUGAUUUAGCAUUAAUUGGGGAAAGUUCGUUGGACCUCGAUGUUUUGUUGAAUUUACUUAGUAUAUCAGUACCAUGGUUAAUUUGAAUAUUGAAGAGUGACAACACAUCUUGAAAGGUGUUAAACUCUUGACUGAAUAUUAAACUCUCAUCUGUGUGAAGUAAUUCAUCUCUUGGAAUGUAAAUUCUGCCAGUCCGACUCUCAGUCUUUGGAUCUGUUCAUAUUUAUGAUAACAAAAUUAUGUUUCAGCAACAAUACUAAAAUCUUUAGAAUCAUAAGUAGAGUAAACAUUUGGAUCAACCACAAGACAUGUUUGAAAGACUAUUAUUUUGAGACACAGGCACUACAAAAAUAGAGGACUACACACAAAUAUUUGUAGCCUUACCUUUCUUACUUGGUUCUCUACCAGAUCUUACCCUUCGAGGGUAAGGAAAACCGUCUGAUCCCUCCAAAGUGCUUGAUCCCCCAAGAACUGGACGACCCAAGCCAGCCUCUUUGUCUGGUUCACCCAAAUCAUUGUAGACAUCGUAGUCAUAGAUCCUAUCCCAUUCUUUGCGCUCACCCGUUCCAUCUCCUCUUAAAGUCUUCAACUCUUCUUGUCUGUAGUAGACUAAUGGAGCUGGUGUUUCACUUAGAAGGUAUGUCUACAUUUUUUUAUUUCAUAGUGUCAAAUUUUGAGAUAUAUAAAUAUAAUAUAUAUAUAACAUGUAAGAUAAAUAUGAAUAUGAUAGUUUUCAUUACCUUGUUGGUAAAGAAGAUGCGCUCAGAGUGAUAGUUUUUAGCAUUGUAAAUCCAUGAGUUGCAGUUAAAGUUGAUGGUUCCAUGAUUUGGAACAUCAUUAAGGGUCAAACUCACAAGGAAGAGUUCACUUUGAUUAAAAUUCUCGAUAAAAAAAGCCCCUGGGGAUGGAGCUCCCAACUUUUCAGUGUCCCAUUCAAACGUAAUAUUGAAAUGAAAUUGGGUUUCAUCCGAGGCAAUAAGACUUCCCAAAUAUGUUCGCUCUCCCACUUUUCCUUUUCCAUUUCCUACACAAAUUGCAGAAAGUAGAUCUUAAUUUCCAGAUAUACUACUAAUUUAAAUUACAUCUUUUUGUGCAAAUUUAUUACUACUAUCAACUUAUUAUGGUAAUUUUGUCAUAUUCCUAUAUUUAGGGAUGAAAGUGGUAAUAAUUAUAAUCAUUGUUCCUACUUUUUUGAGAAGAAAACAUCGAAGCCUAUAUCAACAAAGAUAUUCACAAAUUUUUAAACCGGGAGUUUCUACUCUACACUCGCAGAUUAAACUAUAGUGAAAUACUUGAUUUUUUAAUCAAUAAAUUAAUUAUCGGUUUAAUGAAAUAAAGAGUUAUUUAUCAACUUUAAUUUUAUAUUGUAUGAAAUAUCAUUGUAUAAGGGAAAAAAAAAUCACAUCAUUGUUUAUAAGAAUCAUAUUAAAUUAAGAGUAAAUGAUAGAAAAUAACUUUUUUUUUUCUUUCUAAAAAACACUUUUUUUUUUCAAAAACAACUAAACUAACAAUUCGUUUAAAGAUCUGAUGUAUCGAUCGAUGUACUCGAAUUCGUCUUACAAAUAUUGUUUUAACUUGUCAAUUUUACGAUAACAUUUCUAAACAUUUUUAUCCAAGACUUUUUAUUCUGUUAAAAUCUAGUUCUAAAGGGAAAUAGGCAUCGGUAAUAUGGAGUUUGAUCGAGAGGUAAGUAUAGUUUGAUAAAAAAUUGUUCCAUUCAGAAUUGAACUCACGUUCUCUUAAAUAUUUUAUCUAGUGGAACUCAUUAACCACUUUUCUUUUUGGCAAGUAGCCUAGUGGCAAGAAUUCACAUUUUUCAAUAUGAAUAAGUGGGGUUAUAGGGUUCGAACCCCACCCCCUGCAUAUAAUUAUGCAUGUCCCUGCCAACUGAGCUAUCCUCACGGAGACCACUCAUUAACCACUUUAACCUACCAAUUAACUAAAUUUAUUAUUGCAUAAGUUUUCUAUAACUUUUACUCUUUUUAACAUAAAAAAUGUGUUCAUUUGCAUUGUUACUCCCUCGGUCCAACAGUUUACAAAUAAUCAUGGAUAUUAAGAAAAGUUGUUGGAUAAAUAAAGUUGUCCCAAAUUGUUACCAAAUUGUAUUUGUGUUAAUGUUGAUUUUUCAUUUUUCAAAAUACAUUGAUAGUAUUAAUAAAACAAACAGUCUUAUAAUUAUGUACGGAUGGAGUAGUGGAUAUAGUUAGAUAAAGAAGUUAUUACCAUCAACCGUGGAAUCACUAAUCAAUCUGAGAGCCACAGAACGGCCUGGGAUGGAAGGAUCAGCAGCAUCUUUGUUUUGCUUAAGAAUCACAAUACCCUUAAGCUUUGUGACCUUGUUCCUAGCUGACACUGACACGAAUGAAGUCAUCUUUGAUGCUUAAAUGUAUUACACUAUCUUUGUCAAAUGAAAGAAAUGUUUGUGUCUUGUAACCAUUGGGGAUGCUUACUAUUUAUAGUACUUGAUGGGAUCACAAGGUUAGUUCAAAAAAGAUAAACUAUUCUUUGAUACACAGCUGUUCACGAUAUCAUAUUGAGAAAGACGCCAAUUAUUUUACCUAUUUUACUACUAGUGUAUCUCAACAAACAAGUAGGGAAAUCCAAUUAUUUUACUAUUCUUUUUUUUGAAGGAAUUAUUUACUAUUCUUGGAAUAGUGUGUACAUGCAAUUACUCCCUUCUAAUCUUUUUAUAUCAUCAUCUUACAUAAACUAUGAAUAUCAAAAGGAUUUUUCUAUCAAGUACUCAAAACGUUUUCAAUUAUAAGCAAAUUUAACUUUUUAUAUUCAAAAUGAUUUUUCUAUCAAAAACCAUGCUUAAACGUAUUACAAUAUCUUUGGCUAAUGAAAGAAAAGCUUGUGUCUUUUAACCAUAGGGUGGUUUGUAUUUAUGUAAAAUAUGAAGAAAAAAUAUAUAUAUAUCCGUUGAAUAAUUAUUUUGUUAUAAUAAGGUGUAUCAAGUGAGAGGAGUUUUUAUAAUGAGAGAUGAGAGGGUUGAGUUGUAACUCUUGGAAUUUCACCUCCUUCAUCUUGUUACGCGCGCCUUCUUUCUUCUCUCACAUAUGUUUCCAAUUCCUCACAAAUCCCAGACACCUUGAACCUUCCUCGCGACCGCUGCAAGGACUGUGUAUUUGCAUAAUCAACUCAACGUGCGUAGAUCCACCAUGACAAAUUUCCAUCCAUAUUUGUAUAAUCGGUUUCUAGCCACGGUUGAAGAUCGUCGAAUUGACUUCAGAAAAUCAGAUAUAAUCACUGAUUGAGUGACUGGGAAAAUUAAGCAAGAAGUAAUUAUGUGAUUGUCUCUUUGUUUGUGUGCAUAUAGAACAUUUAUCCGAUCUGUGAGUCGCAUCUAUUGAUGACUGUUAUUAGAGCUUUUGGGUCUAAUUUCAUGAAAAACUAAUAAUAUAAUUAAUUGUUACUUUAAAUCCCAAAUAAAAGUAAGUCCAAUCAUUUUAAAACGGAGGGAGUAAUAAAUUAAAAAUUUCAGGCAAAAAAUUGACAUAUAACCAAUCAUAUGCGAUCAAUGAAGAAGAAGAAAGAUAAAACUUAAAGAGAAGGUGUACCUUCUUUUUUUACUCAAUCCGUUUUAAAGCGAGUGUCGUUUUAGCAAAAAAAAAAUUGUUUCAAAAUGAAUGUCACUUUCAGUUUUCAAUGCAAUAAUAACUUUUUCUUUUCAAUUGUACCUUCAAUUAAUAUUAUAUACAUUACUUCCAAAGUAUUAUUUUUUCUUUAAUGAAAAACAAACUAAUAGUUGAUUAUGAUAAUUUGGUAAAAUAACAUCUUUUUUUUUUAAUUAAUGUAUUUCCUAAUAUAUUUAUAAAAACCUUAAACGACGUUCAUUUUAAAACAGAAUGAGUAAAAAACCAAAAUCAAACUAAUCCAUCAAAAUUAACACUUACGAAAAUCUAAAAUAAAAUUUUAAGAUGAGCAUUCCGAAUUGGGUUGCAACUUCUCUUUUUUUAAUUGUCUCCGGUUAUUAAAUUAUGGAAAGUUAAACAAGUAGGUGUAUGGUUGUCUUAUGUGCGAGAGAUUCCAAAGUCACAGCUGCUUUGGUGCUAUUUUUUUUUUUGGUUACAUGCUGCAUUAUGGUUAUUAAUAACUAUUUUUUUCCCCUAAUAAAUAAUAUGGUCAUUAAUAACUGUGCUUUGCUCUAUUAUUAAUUGUAUUAAUACGUGUGCGAGAUGGUAGAUCCGAAUUUUCCGGUCAUGAGAUACAAAACUGUUCACGUUCCCAUAUUGAGAAAAACGCCCAUUAUUUUUAGUUAAUAGUGUCACAACAAACACGUUAGGAAAGCCAAUUAUUUUUUUUUGUCUGCUUUGGAAAACCAAUUAUGAAUAGGUAUGUAACUAAAAUUAGGGUCAUGCUAACCGGUAUCAAGGUACUGGUUAAGGGUAUCAAAAAAGAAAGUUAUUACUAAAGAAAUUUUUUAACUUUUUAUGGAUUUAUUACAUAAUUUUUAAUACAAUAACUAUUAUAUAAUUUUCUUUUUUAAUAUCCUUAACUGGUGCUCCGGAGAAACCGAUUAGCAAUUUCCCUUAGAGGGUCAUGAUCUUAUGAGAUUAAGGAUAAGUUUCUCUCUGGUUUCAACCUCUUCUAGAUUUAAUAAAUAAAUUGACACAAUUUCUGAUACUUUAUUUUUAUAUUUGGUAUAGUAACAUUUGUUCUAUGAGUACAUGUUGGCAUUCCCUUAAGAGUUAAAACUGGUAAAAGGUUUAACGAUUGAAAAAUAUAGAGAAUUUGAAAUGAUAAAACUAUUAUUAGUGGUGAAGAUGCACAUGAAUUGGAAAUUGAAUACAUGUUUUUUGAGUAAAAAAUUGAAUACAUGCUCAAUUAAGUAAACUAUUAUUGAUAAUCAACAAUUGAUUUACAUUAUUUAAAAAAAAAAAUAUUGAUUUACGUAAUCGAAUACUAGUUUGAAUAAAAUUCGCCAAAAUUUGUUUUUUUUAUCUAGUAUUAAUGAAAAGUUUGGCUCUUUAGAUAAGCUCAUAGCAUAUAAGUUGUUGUGAAAGUGAUUUAAAAUUGGAUUUUUGAAAGUGCAAAAUUAGGGUCCGGUUUGGACAAAUCGAUGACUGAUUUUGAAUCAUUUUCCAGCCUUUGUAUUCGACAAUUUUCGGCGUCCGAUUGGUGAAAAUCGGCGGCCGAUUAUGCAAAACAGAUUUUUAUGGGUUAGAUUUAUUCCAAUUUUAUGCGGGAUACUUUUACUAUAAAUAUAGACCUUGUAUCAGAGUAAACAUUGAGAAAGGGGGUUGAAAACAAGGGUUAUGAAACAAACAACAAACUAGGGUUUAGAGAGAUUUCUCUAAGCGGGAGACACUAGAGUUUGAAUUGUUUUGAUUCACCUUGAACAAAACACUGUUAAGAUUGAGUCUCUUGGUCACAUGAAGAGAUUGAGACUUUAUGUAGAAUUAGGUUUGAAGACUAAUUCUUGUUACCUUUUGAUAUCUCUUUGUAAAGUUACUCAUCAUUAUAGUGGAACAGAAGGCUGCUCUCUCCCUCAGACUAGGUCAGUAUUGGACCGAACUUAGUAAACAAAUUUUGUGUGUUCUCUCUCUCUUUCUCUCUCUCUCUCUCUCUCUCUCUCUCUCUCUCUCUCUCUCUCUCUUUCUCUCUCUCUCUCUCUCUCAUUGUUUUCUACUUUACUUGUGUUUAUAAUUGUUACCCAUGUUGAUAUUGAUUGCUUAAUUAUUUUGCUCCACAAAUCAAGUAUUUUAUUGGUGCGAUUUUCAACAAAUUCACAACAUAAGUUAACUUAUUAUAAUGGAUAACAUAUAAGCUAGCUUAUAGAUGAAGCAGAUAGACUAUCUGAAUGAAUUUAUAUUGUUUGGUAAAAUUUGCAGUAGAACUAACUUAAAAAUGAUACAUUUAAUUAAUAAUUGAUUUUUUUUUUUCAAUUAAAAUUAUAGGGGUAAAAUUGAUAUAAAUAAUGAUAAGCUAUAUGCUUCAAACUACUAUAAACUAUAAACUAGUAAAAAUAGGUGAUAAAUUCAUGCAAAAGAGACACUUAUCAUUCUCUUAUAUGACCUUAUAAGAUAUGUAUAAGUUAUAAGAUGGAAAUAGGUCUUGCCAAACAGACUCCUAUCAUUCUCUUAGAAGGAAUUUUUUUAGGGAACUCUUAUAAGGAAUUGAAAUGAUGUUACAAAAAUCUGUAAACAUAUCUAAAACAUGACAAUGGCUCCGUCUAUGGUGGGAGACCUGAAUAGGUCUCAUACCGUAGGAGACAUAGUUUUUUUUUUCUUUUAAAAUGAAUAUGAAUCAUUGGAUAAGGGUUUGAUCAAAAUGUUUACUAUACACCUCCAAUACAAUUGUUUUCUAUUAUUCUAAACUUGUGUAUUUAUUCGACGUUGUUUUUGUUAGACAUAUAAUUAAGGACGACCAAAAUUAUGCAUGCAAACAUAUUUGCAGAUAAAAUUUACCCCGAGCUAGUACAUGACCAAUAUUUUAAUGGGUAUACACGAAUAAAAGAAAAUCAUAUUUUAAAUACUCGUAAGUUAAUAGAUGCACAUGCAGAUGAAAUAUUUAAUGAGAUUAUCUUCAAAAUAUUUAAUUACCUUUUUAUUAUUAAAAAAUACUUUUUUAUGUGUGUGGGCCUAAAUACUAUUUAUUUGAUAUUGUGACCGUAUUAAAAUUGCUCUUCUUGAAGACUAUGCGGUUAAUUAGUAAUGAGUGAUUGUAUGAAUUUUUCCGCUUACAAUAUUUUUUACUUUUGAAACAAAUGCAAACUACUAGAAAUACUCGAUUUUUCUGCGGAACUACCUGCGGAUUUAUGUGAAUAUUCCGCAGAAAACGGUUUUCCUGUGGAUUUUGUCAAGAAUUUAGGUUCCCAUGUAACAGCUUCGUGGGUAAUUGUUUCCUGAAGAUUUUAGGAUCCGCAGGAAGAGUGAAAAAAAUCCGCAGGAAACGUUGGGUUAGUGAUUAGGGAAUUUUCCUGCCCAUAAAAGCACUGUUUCUGCGAAUAUAUUCUCAGGUAUUUCCGCAGUAAAUGAAGCAGGAAAAUCCCCUAGACUCUUUUUCCACAGGAAAGUGAGCUAUUUAUUUAAAAAAAAAAUAAUGCACUUCAUUGCAUUGAACGAUAUAAAUAAUAGAAUAUACAAUUCUUAUAAAUUUCAGAAAUUAUAGAAGACACAGUUUCAUUAAUCAUGCAACAAAAUAAAAUUGAAAGUACCACAUGUCUCUUCAUAGUUGAACCUCCUAUACACAAUUGCUAAUGUCUCAUGCCUUCAAGUCUGUUCCACUCACACCACCUAAUAAACUUCCUAUAAUUACUAGCUAUCCUCCAAAUAUAAAGAUGUAUCGGAAAAGGAGCAUGAACCUCUUACCAACAUCUUCAAGAAGCUGCUAAUCCAAAUUCUUCAUCCAUGCAUUCAUCUAGGUUAGCCUUCUCUAGUACAUACUCAAUUUCAACUUGUCCAACAACCCAAAAAUUAAGAAAAAAAUAAUAGCAUAAGUUUCCUUCCUAAAUGAAAGGAUAUCUGAGAAAUUUCACCCAUAUACAAAACCCUGAUCAGCUUUGAGAAACUAUUAGGCUGAGAAAGACAAAGACAAAAGUGGCAAGUGCACCAAAUCAUUCAAGUAAUAAAGUAGUAAGUAAUCGUAUUUACUGGGGAUCAUUUUUUUUCUACUUGGCAAUUUACUAAACCUUUUAUUAAAAACUAUAAAUGAUGGAAAGUUUGGAAGUUUUAAUUGAUUAACUACAAAAAUAAAAAUGCAUAUUGUGACGAUUAAAAAUAGGACAGUUGAAAAUCUGUGACGGCUCCCCGAUUGUCGAGGACAUGUGUGUCGCUAGAGAAUUUCGUGUCAGUUCAAUAAAUGGUCAUUCCAACAGUCGCACAGGACAUUGCGACAAUUGGAAACCGCCCUUACUUGCGACAAUCGGAAACCGCCCUUAUAAUUAUCGCAAAGAACGCAAUGUUUAUAUUAGAAGGGCUAUUUUGCUUCAAACCAUCGUAGACAUGUGAUUUAUUUUUAUUUUCUACAUUUUCCAUUUUGAUUUUGAUAGUUUAUUCAAUAAGAAUUAAUCUUAAAUUAAAAUAAAAAAUAUUAAUAAAUACUAAAUGCAAAAAUAUAUAAUUAUAUAUGAUUAAAUCUCAUUCAUAUAAUCCUUUCAAGAAUAACAACAUUGAUUCCCUAAAAAAAAAAAAAAGAAUAACAACAUUGAUACAUACAUAAACUUGAUUAAAACAAUAAAUAAAAUAGUUUAACAUUCAAAAAGCCAAAACACUAGUGGAGUGGCUGAUUAUACAAAAGAACUACAUAAAAAUUAAUUGAUAAAAAUUAUCCCCUAGUGACUUUGCUCCAUGAUUCUCAAGGGAACGCCUGCCAUCUAGAAAUAAGCCAGUCCUUCACUCGUCCAUUUAGAAAUUAUACAAACAAAUGAAUACGUUGGUUGGAUUUGGAUACAUCAUGUGGGUUGAUUGUGUCGUAGGCCUUCACAGAGUGUGAGAGAUGUGCGUUGAAAUCUUCAGACUCCUUUCCUGAAAAUUAGUUAUCCUUCAUAGAAUUGAGGACACGAUUCUUAAUAUCAAACACCAUGGGGUUUGCAGGUUGGAACCUGAGAGACAUUUAAUCAUAGUUGGUCUUCUGCUAUCAUGUAAGAACUGCAAGUGCAUGAGAAUGCAUCAUGCGCAGUGCCCAAGAGUAUAAAACUAUAAUCAUAGGAUUUAUAAAAGAGAAUCACAUCAUUUUAGCAGAUUCUGAUUUAGUAUGUUUAAGAGAUAGCAGAUCAGAGUUUGACUUCAUAUAACCCUCUUUCUGUACAUAUUGCCUUAUAUAGUUUAUUGUAUUUAAGUCCUAGUUUAUUGUCAUUAAUUCUCCUUUGUUGUUUGGGAUCAGCUAGGCUUGACUUUAGGGAUUUUGAUAGGAAAACUCUGUAUAUAUGUAACACUGAUUUACAAUGAAAGAUAUGACAGUGAAACACUUUGGUUCCUGUCUUUAUAUGGCAUCAGAGCAAUUCUGAUCCUAAAUUAGAAACGUUUGCUGAAAAUGGCGGACAAAAAUGAUUCCACCAUAGAAGGUGGGAUCAAAGGAGAUCGAAAUGCAGAAACAAAAAUAGCUGGGAAGAAGACACCUUCUCCGUAUGAUCUGAGUUCGCACGACAAUCCAGGAAGCGUUAUCACCCAAGUCCAAUUACGUGGUGAAAACUACGAUGAAUGGGCUAAGGCGAUGAAGACCUCAUUACGGGCACGACGUAAAUGGGGGUUUGUCGAAGGAAACAUAAAACAACCUGAAGAAGGAUCGACAGAAAUGGAGGAUUGGUGGACCGUACAAUCUAUGCUCGUGUCUUGGAUCCUGAACACUAUAGAUCCAACUUUGCGAUCGACCAUCUCUUAUAUGGAGAAUGCAAAGGAAUUGUGGGAAGACAUCAAAGAACGAUUCUCAAUUGUGAAUGGACCUAGGAUCCAACAAUUGAAAUCGGAUCUGGCACAAUGUAAACAAGAAGGAAUGGCCAUGGUGAAUUACUAUGGAAAACUCAAGAUGCUUUGGGAUGAGUUGGUAAAUUACCAACAAAUCCCAAUCUGCACGUGCUCAGGAUGCAAAUGCGGCAUCAAGUCGAAAUUAGAGAAGCAAAGAGAAGAAGAAAGAGUGCAUCAGUUCUUGAUGGGACUAGAUGAUGUGUUGUAUGGAACAGUCCGCUCUAAUUUGCUUGCUACUGAUCCGCUGCCAUCGCUGAACAGAAUAUAUGCUACUUUGAUACAAGAGGAGCGUGUGAAAUCAAUUGCUAGGACCAAGGAAGAACGAGGAGAGGUCGUUGGCCUGGCCGUGCAAACUGCUGGAAGGGCUAGAGGACGUGGUGAUAUGAAGGAGAAGAAUGCGGUAUGUUCAUACUGCAAUCGAACAGGACAUGAUGCAUUAAGCUGUUUUCAGGUAGUUGGAUACCCUGAUUGGUGGGGAGAUAGGCCACGAAAUGAAACUAAGAUGGGUGCAGGUCGAGGAAAAGGACAACAACAAACCAGAGGUUCUAAUCAAGGACGUGGGAGAAGCACAAUUAUUCGUGCAAAUGCUGUCCAAACAAAUGAAGGAGGCCCGGUCGUGACAAAUGCAGAUGCAAGCGGGUUGACAGGUUUAAGUAGUGAGCAGUGGCAGACUUUGGUAGAGCUUCUAAACACUCAUAAGGGAAGCAAUACGGAAAGAAUGACAGGUAAAAAUACAAUAUGGAUUGUUGAUACAGGCGCUUCUAAUCACAUGACUGGAAAUGUGAGAUUUUUGCACAAAAUGAAGAGCGUGCAAGGAUGCCCGGUGGGUCUGCCAAAUGGAGAACAAGCUGCUGCUACUCAAGAAGAAAGUGUAAUUCUUGAAGGGGGCCUGCAACUUAACAACGUUCUAUAUGUGCCCGGAUUAAAUUGCAACUUGAUAUCUGUAUCCCAAUUGAUAGAUGAUAUGGAUUGUGUUUGUCAGUUCACUAACUCUCUAUGUAUUAUGCAGGACCGCACUUCGAAGACGCUGAUUGGAGUGGGUGAACGAAGAGAUGGGCUCUACCAUUUUAGAGGGAUUCGACAUGAGAAAGUCUGCAAAGUAGGAGACAUGUCUUUGUUGCAUCUUUGGCAUAAACGCAUGGGACAUCCUUCCAUGAAGAUUAGUCAGUUAAUUUCAAAUGUUGGUAAAAAUAAGAGUGUGAUUGAAAAUAAAGCCUGUGAUGUUUGUCAAAGGGCAAAGCAAACUAGGGAUAGUUUUCCUUUAAGUGAUCACAAAGCUAGUAGUAGUUUUGAACUAGUUCACUGUGAUUUGUGGGGGCCUUACAAAACUCCUUCUUCAUGUGGAGCGUAUUAUUUCUUAACAAUAGUAGAUGAUUUUUCUCGAGCUGUUUGGAUCUAUUUAUUGCUUGAUAAAAGAGAAGUUUCACAAACUAUAUUAAGUUUUAUUGCUUUGGUAGAUAGACAAUAUGAGAAGCAAAUUAAAAUAAUUCGCAGUGAUAAUGGAACUGAGUUUACAUGUUUAAAAACAGAAUUUAUCAAGCGUGGGAUCAUUUUCCAAACAUCUUGUGUGGGAACGCCACAACAAAAUGGACGGGUCGAAAGAAAGCACAGACAUAUCCUAAACAUUGCCCGAGCACUGAGAUUUCAAAGCAAUUUGCCUAUUUCUUUCUGGGGUGAGUGUGUUUUAACAGCAGGAUACCUCAUAAAUAGGACUCCAACACCUCUGUUAGAUGGAAAAACCCCAUAUGAGAUGCUAAAUGGGCAGCCACCUUCAUAUGAACAUUUGAAGGUUUUUGGAUCUUUAUGUUAUGCACAUAAUCAAGGAAGGAAAGGUGAUAAGUUUACCAGCCGAAGCAAGAAGUGUGUAUUUGUAGGAUACCCUCCCGGGAAGAAAGGAUGGAAGUUGUUUGAUCUAGACAACAAAAAUUAUUUUGUGUCAAGAGAUGUAGCAUUCUUUGAGAAUGAGUUCCCUUUUGCCUCUAUUGAUAAAAUUUCGAGUGAGCCAACACAAAUUAUCGAAAAUGAGAACUAUGAAACUCAAAGUGCAGUGAGUGAACAUCAGGAGCUACCUUUGGAAGUGGAAAUUUCUGAAUUAAGGGGGGGUACUGAUGAAGAGAAUGUGCAAGAAGUUGGGACAUCACAAGUGCUACAACAAGAUGAUGAACAUGAAGAAAUUAGUGAAGAAGAUCUUGGUCGAGGUAAACGCGUGAAGAAUCCCUCUGUAAAGCUGAAUGGUUAUGUGACAUAUAAUGUACAAAAAAUGGUUAUGAGCCCAUCUACGAGUUCACUCCCUCUACAGCCGAAAUCAGGUGCGCCCUAUCCCAUAAUGCAUUAUGUGAGUUGUGAUAAUUUUUCAGUGCAGCACCGCAGGUUUCUUGCUGCUGUAAGUGCAGAGAAAGAGCCGAAAAAUUAUUCUACGGCCGUUAAAGAUCCUAGAUGGCGUACAGCUAUGCAGCAGGAGAUACAAGCGCUUGAAGAUAAUCACACAUGGACUAUAUGCUCUCUCCCAGCAAAUAAAAAGGCCUUGGGGUGUAAAUGGGUAUACAAGAUCAAGCAUCGUUCCGAUGGGACCGUAGAACGGUUUAAAGCUCGACUCGUGAUCCUUGGAAAUCAUCAAGUGGAGGGGAUAGAUUACAAUGAAACAUUCGCUCCUGUAGCUAAAAUGGUUACAGUUCGAAUUGUGCUAGCAGUUGCUGCAGCCAAGAAGUGGGAACUCCAUCAAAUGGAUGUUCAUAACGCCUUCUUACACGGAGAAUUGCAAGAGGAGGUGUUCAUGAAACUGCCCCCUGGUUUUCGUCCCUCUCAACCAGAGAUGGUAUGCAAGCUUGGGAAGUCACUGUACGGAUUAAAACAAGCUCCCCGUUGUUGGUUUGCUAAGCUUUCCUCAGCCCUCAAACAAUACGGAUUUCAUCAAUCAUAUUCUGAUUACUCUUUGUUUACCUUGUUUGAUAAAACUGUGCAGCUUGUGGUUUUAGUUUACGUUGAUGAUUUGAUCAUUUGUGGAAAUAAUCAUGAUUCGAUUGAACGGUUCAAGGAAUACUUGAGUCGUUGUUUCCAUAUGAAAGAUUUAGGAUUGUUGAAAUAUUUCUUGGGGGUGGAAGUGGCGAGAUCGCCUUCUGGGAUUUUUCUCUGCCAAAGAAAGUAUGCUUUGGAUAUUAUUAGUGAAGCCGGGCUACUUGGAGCAAAGCCUAUGCCGACUCCACUCGAGCAGAACCAUAAUCUCAGUCUUGCUCAAGGGGAGUUUCUUGAAAAUCCUGAAAGGUACCGUAGGCUUGUUGGACGCCUUAUCUAUCUUUGUUUUACUCGACCUGAGUUGUCGUAUAGUGUCCAUAUUCUCUCUCAGUUUAUGCAGCAACCACGAGAAGACCAUUGGACUGCUGCGCUAAGGGUGGUGCGGUAUCUUAAAGGGAAUCCAGGCCAAGGUAUAUUUCUUGACAGUACAAGUGAUAUGAAGCUGCACGGGUGGUGUGAUGCUGACUGGGCAGCUUGCCCUAUCACUCGCAGAUCACUCACAGGUUGGGUCAUCUUCUUGGGGAACUCGCCUAUCUCUUGGAAGACCAAGAAGCAGCAAGUUGUGUCUCGGUCAUCUGCUGAAUCCGAAUACCGUUCGAUGGCUAAUACAACUUGCGAGUUAAAGUGGGUGAAGAGUAUUCUUUGCAGUCUAGGUAUCUCUCAUUCUAUGCCUAUGCAACUCUAUUGUGAUAGUCAGUCUGCGCUUCACAUUGCAAAGAAUCCCGUCUUCCAUGAACGUACCAAACACAUUGAAGUGGACUGUCAUUUCGUUCGUAAUGAAAUACUUCAUGGUCAGCUUCAACCUUCUUAUGUUUCCACUCAUGCUCAACUCGCAGACAUACUUACUAAAGCAUUGGGUCGUGCUCCAUUUCAAUUCCUACUUGCCAAGUUGGGCAUUCGAAAUCUUCAUGCUCCUACUUGAGGGGGGGUAAAAGAGAAUCACAUCAUUUUAGCAGAUUCUGAUUUAGUAUGUUUAAGAGAUAGCAGAUCAGAGUUUGACUUCAUAUAACCCUCUUUCUGUACAUAUUGCCUUAUAUAGUUUAUUGUAUUUAAGUCCUAGUUUAUUGUCAUUAAUUCUCCUUUGUUGUUUGGGAUCAGCUAGGCUUGACUUUAGGGAUUUUGAUAGGAAAACUCUGUAUAUAUGUAACACUGAUUUACAAUGAAAGAUAUGACAGUGAAACACUUUGGUUCCUGUCUUUAUAAUUUACAGCCAUAGCUGUUCUCUAUAAUUGCUCUACAAUUCCCAGUAGUUAAAUUUAUUUACCUGGAGUUGAUGAAAUUUGAGCAAGUAAACAGUGGAUUCUACAUACAUUGGAUUGCUUUCUACAUAUCUAAAAUAACAAUCAAAAUGUCAGUGAGCAUAAAUAUUGUUUAAUUAUUACAAAUUUCAUAAAUGAAUGUUGUUUAGUACUUACGAGAUGCAUUCAUCAAGCCUUUUGAGAAGUGGGAGGAAGUUUACGAUUCCAACAUUCAUAUUUGAAGAAUAAAAAUUGGUAGCAACCUGCACAUGACGAUUUAAAGAAACCACAUACAUCAUCUAUAAAUUCAUAAGUAUGUGAAGUUUUCAGUUUGCAUUCGCAAAUUUUUAACUGCGUAUCUUACUCACCAUAACUCAUUACAAGGUAUAGUUAAAGCUAACCACAUUUUAGUGUCAUUUUAUUCACCAUAAACACAUGAGAAGAAUCUUUGCAAUAUGCAAUAAUCUUAUAUGUUCCCUGCAUUUCAAUUUUAAAUAAUGCUUUAUCCUUCCAGAUUGAGUACAACUUCAUACUUUAGUUUUGUAGAUUAAAAUACACUAAAAUGCACAUAGCUAUGUAGAUUAAAAUGACAUUGAUAAUGAUAUCCAGUAGUUGUAAAGACUUCAUUAGUAAGUUUAACUCAAGUUUAAAAAUUCUUGUAACUUCACAAGUUAAUAACUAAAACUCUUAAGCAUCAUAACUCAAUUAUUCCCUUUCCUUUAAUUUUUUGUAAUGGCUGUAUUCUCUUUCCUUGUCUUACCCAGAAUUGCAAAACACACCCACGACGACCUUAUGAACAGUCACAAAACAACCUUACAAAUAUGUAACGACACAAUCGACUUUCUCUAAUUCUUCAAUCUAUAGAGCUUGCAAUAAGAGAAGUUGAUAUGAGAAAUUCAAUGGGUUCAGUUCAGCACACAAAGAAUAUUUGUUAUUUGAAAAUAAAAAACCGCAUGAGAAUGUUAUGGAUCUUCUUCGGUUCCUCCUUCUGCUGCACUAUUGAAGAUUGAAGAUGUUGUAUUAAGGUGUUUUUGGAUCUGGGUACAGCACAAUUUUGUUGAGAAUAAUAAAAAAAAAAAAAAAAAAAAAUUAGACUUAUUUAACCGGUUGCCGGUUUAAGAAAUUAAAAAUGAAAUGACGCGUCCGUAACUGAAUGAGCGACUGCCCCUAACAUUACUCUAUUUAUUAUUCAAUGGUUAGGAUUUCAUCGGACCUUCUAGUCAUUAGAGAGGAUUCAUUCCUGUCCUUUAACCAUAGGGUGCUUAGUAUUUUGGUAUUUAAGUUGAUGGUAUCACGUGGUAAUGGCUCAGGAUAAGAUAUUUUGUUUGACUCAUCAUCAAACAAAACAAAUUCAAAUUGAUUCACUGCAUUAUUAUUUUUGGUUUGUUAUGUACUGCUCUGACGUUAUUUGAUGGUAUCACGUGCUUUUUUUCUUCUUCUUCUGUUUGCUCUGUUAAAAAAAGUUCUAUUAUUACGUGAGUGGUUAGCUAGAUCAUAUUUAGAAGGACCACCGAUAAACACCAAAAAAUAAAAAAUAUAAUCGAUGUUUAAUUUUUUAUUUAUUUAUUAAAAAAGACAAUUGUUCAUUCGAAUCUAUGGAAAUACAUGAAAAAACACAAAUUCAACCAAGGAAGACGGAAUUUACUAUUAAAACACGUAUAUUUGAUAGUGGUUCCGGAUGUAGAAAACUAAAGUUUGUGUUGAGGUUUAAAGGAGACGAUAAGCAUAAAGGAAUAAAGAUAAAGUUGAAACAAGAAGGCACAUGUUUAAGAAAAUGCAGAUGUUCCAUUCAGGUUGAGUGGUUUUUUUAGUGCAUAAAAAAUAUGGAGUCUUGGUUUUGUUUCACGAUUGCAUAAUCAUGAGAUGCAGUCAAAGUUAGAAGGUCAUAUUUUGGUGUGUCGUUUAAAUAUUUUGUCUACUUUAAAAGAUAGACGGAAAGACAACAGUUCCAAAGCAAGUUUACAAUCUACGUCAAAGAUAAAAAAGACCAUAAGGGUGUGUUUGGUUUGCAAAACAACAAGUACUGGACAGAACAGUACAAGAUAGAACAGUACAACACAAGGCAGAACAGCACAAAACAAAUUUUUUAUGGCAUUGAGUAAUUUUUUGUUUUAUACGAUUUUUGAGGGACAAAAUGCUAUUUUGGUAUUUUAGACAACUUGUACGUGAGACAAAAAGUUGUGUUGUGGUUUGGUGAGGGACAAAAAUAUGAGUUUUUGUCCUAUCUUUUACCUCCAGUUUGUCCUAUACCUGAAACAGUUUUAUAAAUCAAACACUGGACAACUACAGUUGUUAUGUUUUGUCCUUCAUUUUUUAGCAAAUCAAACGCACCCUAAGAGAUUGGAGAAAAUGAAGCAAAUUGUUGAAGUGUUUGAAGAAAACAACUAAGCUUUCAGGUAUAAAUGUUUGGGGAGUCAAAAAUUGUUCAAGACAUGUUUUUGGUACAUCCUAAACAUGUGAACUUGUUUAACACUUUUUCUACUCUUUUGCUAAUGCAUUUCAUUUAUUUCCUUCGAUCACUAUUAUAAUAAAAAAGCAUUUAUAAGAUUUAUUGAAUUACUUAUAUAUCCAGUAUUAUAGAUUAAAUACGUCAGUUAUUCUAUUAAUAAAAAAUGGUUUUUUUCUUAUAAUAGUGAAGGUAAUGAGUAUAAAAUAUCAAUUACUGAGAUGUAUUGUUUGAGAUAGUUUGCAUUAGUCAUAUAACUCAAUACCCAAAACACCUGACUCACAUUUUGUCAGCGGUAGUCAAGGUUUUACAACUCAAGAGUUUACCUCAACUCGUUUUGCUUAGGUAAACUCCACUCUUAAACUCGAUUCGAGAAUUCGUACGAGUUUACCUAAAAUUAAAAUUAUAUAAAAUUUAUUAUAUGCAUGACAUAUAUAAGUUAAUAUAAUAUUGUAAAUAGGUUAAUAGUGCAAAAUAUGACUUAAUUACAAAGGAAAAUUAUAUGAAACUUCUAUAAUGAAACGUUAUGCUCAACUUAGCAUCAAAAUACAAAAAUUAACGCACAUAAUUAUAAGUUUCAUAAGUCUCUAAGUUUAAGUCAUCCAUAAAACCAUCCAAAAAAGCAAGUUUCACAAGUUUAUAAAGUUGUUAAUAAAACUAGAGAAAUGCUAGCAACACUCUCUUUUGGACACUCUCUAACACUCACUCUUUUAUUGGAUAAAAUCAAUGUAUGUCCCACCAUUUUAUGUGGGUUCCAUUUCCAAAGUAUACGACCCACAUUGUUUUAACCCAAUAAGAGAAUGAGUGUUAGAGAGAGUGUCCAAAAGGGAUUGUUGCUAGCAAUCCUCAUAAAACUAUCCAAAAAAUAAACUGGCUAAUUUCUUCAAAAAGUCAUCAAACACCACCACCGCAACCCUAACCAACAUCGCAAUCACCGGCGUUGCAAUCGGAAUUUCCCCCAUCGAAAUCGCAACCCUAACUAAUAUGUGCUCUCAUGUUCAUGGUUUGAGAACUCAGAUAAGAAAAAAAAAAAGAAACGUUUCAUUUCAGGAAGCUAGCAAUGUGUUACUGUAAAAGUAACUAUUUGAUAAACGUUUCAGUCUCUGGGCUUUUAGAAUCGAAAUUGGGUUUUGAAAAAAACUUAGCCCAAAAAAAUGGGCCAAUUUUUACUUUUUUUUUAGAUUUAAACUCGUAAAACUCGGUCAAGUUUACACGAGUUUAUCGAGUGUACGUUAACUUGGUCAAACUUGUCAAACUUUCCGAUUUUACCAUAAACAGAGUUUACCUCCGAGUUAACACGAUUUUGGUACCUAAAAACAUAAAUUCGAUAAACUCGGCGAGUUACCACUCAAUUUGCGGAACAUUGCCGGUAGUACAAUAGUUAAAUUGGCAUAUUGGAUUCAAUAAUUCGAUAUGACAUUAACUUGGAGCAUUAGUCUCGGGUCUGUCCAGAGAUUGUGUCCCAUCUCAACUUCUAUGGUUUUUUCUUCAUGAAAUUCUUGCGGAAAAAAAUUCUGUUUUAAUUAGGCAUGGCAACAAAACUCAUACCCUCACGGUUACCCACAAAAAUCAAACUCAAUUUGACGGGCUUUCUCCGUUUUGACUGAGUUUGGGUAUGGGUUUGGGUCUUCCCCGAUUUUAAAACACGGGUACAAGACGGGUAACGGGGAUAUAGGUACCCAUGCUCAAACCCAUCCUGAAUGUAGAAAAUCAAUUUAUUACCCAUUUUAUAUAAACAGAAACCCAAACCCUAAAUCAUUUCACUCACACAAUUAGAGUCUCAGACUUUAAAAUGACACUCACUUAUCAUAGUUCUCUUCUUUCUCCUUCCAUGCCUCACACUCUCGGCCUCUCUCUUCUCCUUCACUAUAGCCAUCCAUUUCCAUAAUCUUUUUGCUGGAUAAUGCAUUACAACAUUGCGCUCGGGGAUGCAAAAUACUUUUAUUUCUAUCAACAACAGAAAACUUUCCGGGGAUGGGAUGGGGCAGGAAUAUCCGAACCCGUCGGGGACGGGGAUGAGAUUCGAUUUCUCAUCCCCGCUGGAUAUGGGUAGGGUAACAGGUAAGUAUAUGAGAGUAGAGUAUGGGGACGGGGAAGGUAAAACCCGUCCCCACCCCCGCCUCAUUGCCAUGCCUAAUUUUAAUAAAGCACUUUCAUAUAAAAAUAAUCAAUUUUUUACCUUAUGAGUUGAUGUAUGUAAGAUUCUUUAACUUACUUAUCUAUAGUAGAAAAACAAUUGGUACAUGAAAUAUAAUCACUAUUGUCUAUGAAUAUUUCAACGUUAUCAUUUUUUUUUUGUCAUGCCAUAUUGCAUAUUUGUAUAAGCUUCGAUGUUCACAAUUCAUUUUCUUAAAUUAUGAAGUUUGCAUUUCAGAUAUAUCAUAAAAUAAGUCCAUCACAAUAAAAGGUACAAUCAUAGUAGUGUUUAUUAAUGAAAAUGAUAACAAUCAAACAAACAUUGCAUAAAAACAUGACCAUACAAAGGGAAAUAUGAGGGAAAUGGAUUCCUUCUCAUCUUUUAUUCAAAGCAAGAAACAACAAAACAACCAUGACAUUUUCUAGAUGGAGACACUGUUGGGAAUGCCUCUGAAAGUCAAUCCUGGCUCACUUGAAGGAUAGAGCACAGUGUAUGGCAUCUUCACUGGCCCAUUCCUGUUUCUCAAUGAUUCAUCGUUGUUCCUUUCAAUGAGCUUUUGCUCAAUUUCAGCCAACUUCUUUCCAAACUUCUUGAAGGCCUCUACUGGCUCUGAAUCGUAAGUCCAAAGAUCACCUUCGAUUCUGUGUCCAAUGUAUUGCUCAUCAGAAACAUGUGUUGACAAUUGCUCCAUAACAGAUAUGUUCACAACGGUAUCCGUUUUUGGUGUGAUUGUUCUCAAAUAAGCCUUCUCGUAAUCCUUAGCAAGCUCGUCAUACUCAGGGGUUCCUUUCUCAGGCAUGAAUCUUCUGCUUUUAGUUGGUCGGUUAACAAUGUAUCCACCGUACGGAUAUUGUCCAAAAUUAACAGCUGCAUGAAGUGCUGAAGCAAUCCAUAUGAGGGUGGUGCAAGUUUCAAUCAACUCUGUACGAGUUUCCAAUUUAACCCACUUAUCAGUCUUCGAGUCACCAUGACCCACUUCU